CCUCUGAUUGAAUCUGUCACAAUGUAAAGAGAGUUAAGUAACAAUACUCGAUAUGUUUUUACACUCACAAAUUAAACAAAUAAAAUCAACUACUAAGACUAUAGUAGUAUUGAUUCCAAACCAAAAAUAAAGUAGUCUAAGCUUUUGUUUGGCAUGUAUUCGUAUAUCAACAUCCUCUCGUCUUCAUGAAUGCAAAAUCCAAGGAGCUGAACAAGGUUUGAGUGUUGGAGUUCAUGUAUGAGCAUAAAUUCACUCUCUUAAACUCUGAAUUUCCUUGUCCAGAACUUUUUGAAAGCCUCUUCACAGCUAUUUUCUCGUCCCGUCACCAAUUUUCCCUGAAUUGAUUAUCCAUAAUUUUCUCAGUUGUUUCCAAAAGAAUAUAGAAGACACUAUAAUCUAGUCAUUGAAGGCCUUACCUUAUAAACAGGUCCAAAAUCCCCCUUCUCCGAGCUUGUUUUCCUCCGAGAAGUUGGAUGUGGCAGUCAGAACAGAUUCAUACGUAAAUACGCUUAAAUCAUGUUUUUCCCAUGUUUUCUUGAUCAUGUUCAUCGGUAAGUUUAUCAGAUUUCAAGAAGCAAAGCCAUGUGUUCUGUUUCCUUGCUCUGUCCCCACCUAUUGAAUGGAGACACCAAUUGUCAAAGAUGUGAAUAAUAAUCCUGUCUUACUGGUGCACAUGAUUUAAAGAAAUAUACCAGCUGAUGCAAGGGCUGAUCUUCUUCGUCGGAGUAGAUAGUACGCGGUGCAAAGCACUAGAGCAGCAGCUAUAGAAAUGCCAAUCCAAACCCAUUUAUCUGCUGCAUCAUAAACAAUUAGCUAGCAACAUAUGAAAUCAGUGUAACACACACGCACAUGUACGCAUUAAUUGUCUUCAAUUUUUGGAUGAACUAGGUCUUGCAGGUUUCUUCCGUAAAAUGAAGAAAAAACCGAGACAGAGAGCAGAACUUAAGACAACAUUAACAAAGAUAGAGGUACCUAAUAAUACUGAUUCCACGCGUUUGCAGCCUCGGUAUAUAUCCUUCGGAUCAAGAAAAGAAAACCCUUUUGGGCAUUUGCAGGUUGGCCUUUUAUCUAGUUUGAGCUUACAGACACUGUUAUAUCCGCAAAAACCCAUUUCUUCACGAAGGUUUUGGCAAGUAUCAUCCGGCUUAUACCACAGAGGAUUACUCCACCUUGCAUUUCCAGUGAAAUUUUUCGGGUGAGAAUAUAACGCGAAAAUCCCAUCAAAAUCAAGAGUUGCCCUUAUGUAGUUGUCCCUCACCGAUACUCCCUCUGUCCCCGUAAGAGUGAAUCUUCCACCAUUUUCUCUCCGAACAAACAUGUCCCCUGAGCUGGUGAACACCAAUUGUUUGCCUUGACUACCUGACACGGUCCCUGCGGUCGUUUUUGUGUCGAAGUAAGGGAAGUUGGCAUUAUCUGUUGUCAAGUUGACGGUGUUGAGCACGAGGUUUCCAUCACCUUGCAAGCGCAGCUGGAACCGCCCUUUUGUGUAGUUAGUCUCCGAUUGUCUACACGAAAGCGUCCCAUUUCUCUCAAUUGUCUGUCCAGGCAAAAUGGUGUCUGUAGGAUUGCUGAAGGUCUCCCACAAGCUCCGAGAGUUUUGGUGUUGAAGGACAAAGUUUCCGGUGUCAUUCAUGACCCCGUUCGCAACAGUCCCCAAGGUUAUUUCGGAUUUCCAUGUCUCUCCACCCUGAGGAUUGUUAAGAACUAGUCCACUGUUGGCAGUCAAGUUCAGAACUGAUCCCCUAGGUGCAACCAUGGGGUUGUUACCGUCAUAUGCAUACCAAACUACGGUUUUGUCUGGGAUUUUCGCAUACCAUAUCGAAAGCAAGAAACGAUCAUUGUUUCCGAGGGGCGAAAAUCCAAACGCGAAAUCACCGGAUGGAGAAAGCCAUGAUGAGGAGUCGCCUGUAGUUGCAGUUAGAGAACUCCCAACUGCUACUGUUCCAUUAUUUUGGGAAAUCACAGAAAUUGGUAGCAAAAACAAAGAGGAGAACAAAAGCAUCUCUACAGAAAGAGCCACUGCCAUUGCAAAAGCACCAAUUUUUCAACUUGGCUUGAUUGAUUAGCUAUAUUUCUUAGUAAAGCAUUGGUCCUGGUUAUAUCUUUAAGUAAAUGUGUGUGCACCACGUGCCUGUCAUUUUCUAAGUUUUUGCCUGGAAUUAAAGGCGUCUACACCAUUUUUUGAAGUCACACACAACAAUAUCUCCGGGCCUACAGAAUAAAUUCUCCGAAACUACACAUAUCACAAGAAUUUCACUUUCAAAAAAAAUAAUAUAAUGAAUAGUUCUAUAUAUAAUAACACCGAGAUUUUUUGUGAUAGAACUUAUUGUCUCUUUCAACUCUUUGUAAUGUUGCAAGUUGUAACAAUAUUGAUGUAAUUAGUAAUGAUCCGUGACUUGUCUCUCUCAAAUCUCUUUUCAUCCUACUCUCAUCCCUCGUCUGUUUUAUGAUUCUACUGACUUAAGCACUUAUAAAUGUUCCAAAUCAGCAAAGGACUUGUAACUUAAAUAAUUAAUAAUAUUUAUCAUUACACUCGAGAUUCAUGACUCACGCUGCAUGUGUCGGCCAUUCAAGUCCACCAGUCAAAAUUCAACAAUGGGGACCACAAAGAAAAUUUGAAAAAGUACAUGCAGAUUGAGGACGGAUACAUAGAAAAUCUGAAAACAGACCUUCAGAACCAAACAAAGACGACUAACUAAGCCUUUAAGUCAAGUGAUAAGAGACUUUUUUUUUUUUUUUUUUUGAAGAAUAUAAGAGACUUAUAUCUUCACAAAAACAAAGACGACUAAGUCUCUAUUUCUGUAUUCACAAAAAAAAAGUACUAACCGAAGUUUUUAAUGUAUGAUUACGUCGUUGGGGUAAGACACCCGAGGCCGAGUUGAGAUAAUCACAGAAUCGAGAUCCUCUUCGAAUGUCACAGUCUGGCGCAAACGGACUUAGAGACCCGAACCACUCAUUUUAAAUCAUACGACCUUCAUUAGCUUAUCCUAUUGACCCACAUCACAUAAGGGGUCCGAAUCUCUCUCUCCCCUCUCUUGACCGGUUUGGAUAUCUCGGUCUAUCGAUUUUGGAUUGCGAGAUUCAGAGAGAAUCUGAUUUCGGGUUUGAGGUCUGGUUCGAUGACCAUUUGAAGCCCGUUGAGGCGUGGCCCAUCUCAUCAGGUCGGGUCAGCCAUUUCGUACCAAGUUGAAUCCCAGGUCAGGCCAGCCAUUUCAUUAGCCUAAGAUGGACCUGACGGACGAUGCGCUUGGAUAUUGCUUACUGCGACCAAAUGGACUCAUGGGCUCAUUAGAUGAUGAGUCUGGACCUGGUGUGUGUAAAGGCCACCUCAGCUCGAUCCAUAUUCGAUCGAUACUACAGAGAAGGUGGAUAUGAGGUAAAGGUAGAGUAAGCUCCAAGUCAUGUGGAGGUCAGUCGAGAUUGAACACACGUUCAUAGAAUCAUAGUAUCAAAUUCAAGUCAAAAUUUUAACACUACGAAACCGAAAAGCAUGCAACUCCGAAAAGCAUUGUUUCAGUCCAACAACCCAAACUUCCUUAAAAAACUAAGACCAAAACGACGACAUUAGGAAACGGAAAAUCAUGCAACUCAGAAAACCAUUGCUCUAGUCCAAAUGAGGUUCUUCAAUGCCUCAAGCUUUUCUAAACACCAUAGCCUGAACCUUUUCCUUUGCGCCUUCUUUACUUCACCAGAAACGUUCUUAAUGAGCUCUUCUUCAAAUUUGGGACGAGCAGGCAUUAGGCUGUGCACAAUGCUGUAAAUGCUCCUAGCCCUUGCCACACCCUAGGCGCAUACGCGUGCAUGUCCGACCUGAGUUAUCUCAUUACGCGCGCAGUUUGAUCUUCCCGUAUUGACAUCCCUGCUGUCUAUUCUCCUGCGAAUCCUUCUACUGGUGACUUCAUCCGGGUCCAUUUUCUUGCUCCUCAGUGCAUGUUCAUCUGCUUUUCCAUGUUAAUAGAUAUAGGAAUCCUAUGAGAAACAACAUUUGACAAAACAGAACCUAAUAAUAACAACAAAACUUGACUUCAUCCUCAGUGCAUGUUCAUCUGCUUUUCCAUUUCAAAGCAGCUGACGGCAUGAUUCGUACUUGGACUCCAAGAUGUCUAGAUUAUAGGGAAACCAGCCCUCUAUCCAAAACACACAAAGAAGUGUAUUUUCCGUUUAUACCAAUUAAGUGUGUUGAAGCAUGUCCCACAUGGCCACAUCGGAAACUUGUCGAAGCUUAAAUCCUCUUAUAUAGAAAGUUGAACUACUAAUGCCAUGAGGCCUUAAUUUUGUAUAAAACCAUACUUAUUGAAUUGCACACGUGCUUAAGUUAAGGUCAGUAUUGAUGGCAAUUAGUAGUGGGCCGCUGGGCCGUCUUAAAAAAACUGGUACAAAGGGCAAUUUAUAGAAGCAGUGUUGAGAUAAGGGCAAUUCACCUGUUCCUUUUAGAAGGAUAUAUACGAAUGAAGCAAGGUUUAUCUACUCACCCGUAAUGCGGCUCAGCCCUUCAUAAAAAAGUGAAAGAUCAAAAUUACUUUUACAGCAAGAGCAAUACCAGAAGAUGUAAUCUAAAUUAUUUAUAUUUGGUUCCCUUGAAAUCCUUUUGACUGCUUCAACAUACUAUAUGCAAACAGAACCAGAACCAAGUCCAGACUCACUCGUAAGAGGAAGUCCACCGGGGGUGGGAUAGGUCGGCACCCAAUGGAAAAAACAGGCUGAGACUCAGCCAAUCCACUCCAGCCCGUGGAAUCGACUGGCACCCAGCCCAAGCCAGUCCACAGGCCGACCUAAAAUUGACAGACCUUGGGACCGGCUCAAAUGACAACUAGCUGACGCCAGCGUGGUGUCGAGGGCAAGGAGCCACGGAGGCAAGGCAAAGACCAACUUCCCCACCCCCACUAAGCUCCAUCUCGACGCCGUCAACAUCGCCAACAUGAACAAUGCCGCCAAAUUAGCUGCGACGACGAACAUCAGCAACAGCCACAGCAGCACCGUGGAGUCCUCCUCCUUGCCGUCUCCGCGCCCGCUCGACCUCACUCUCAAAACCCCCCUCUUGUCCACCGACAGCGGCUACUUCACUGCUGCGAGCGGCUUCCGCCUGCUUCCCGCUUCCCGGGAAUUAUCCUUCCGCGAAAGAUCCCCCCGCGAAACUUGUAGGUUCGACCACCCCCCCUCCCCCACGAAACAUCCCCAUAUUUUCCUUCCGGACCAAGUUUGUUCCUCUUUUAUGUAAGAAACAAAAUCCCUGCCCAGCUUUAUAAUAAUUAAUUUAUAAUAAAAAAUAAAUAUUUUUAUUAUUUUAUAAUAAAAAUAAUAUUUUAAUAAAAUUGACUAGGCUAUUUUUUGUUAGGGAUAGAGAUGCAUUGGCCUAUUACUAUUCAUUAGAGUCUAUCGGGAAUGGAUAAAUGGGUUGGGUGCUGGCAUAAAGUCCUUAGAGGUGGACUUGCUCUAAUAGGUCUCCUCAUCCACAACAAUAUCCCAGCUUUCCCUUGUCGUGGUUUUCCCAUAUUUGUGCACCUUACUGCAAAGAGAGAGCAAGUUAACUUGUCAAAGAAAAACCAGAACAAUAGAUGCCAAUGCAGUUCAGAAAGCUUAUUUCCCUUCAUACCCAUUUCCAAAGUGCUCCUCCCCACGUCCUUGACCAACCUAGACAUGAGACAACAAAAACAAAGUUACAUCAGAUUAAAUUAUUGAAAGAAAAAGGUUCACUUCUGUUGUAACAAAUUGACAUUAGAAUCAAGCAACCACGCUAUGAAAUACAAAGUUAAAAUGUAACAAUUUACUGUGUCUUAAAGGAAUCUGUGAAAUAAAAUAGUUAAACCCUAAACAACACCACUGCAAAUUAGGGGUGGGCGCGGUUCAGUUUUGAUUGAAACCAAAACCAAAACCGCAAGUUUUUGCGGUUUGGUUCGGUGCGGUUUUGAAGCCAAAACCAAAAUGAAACCAAACCGUUUGGUUCGGUUCGGUGCAAUUUCAAACGGUUUCAGUUUGGUUUUUAAGAAAAAAUGUACGAUUUGCAAUUUAACAUAUUAAAAAGCAUUUCCCAAUAGUAAUAGGAAAAUGACAUUUGUUAUGUAAACAAUUAGCAUGUUGCAUGUAGUUGUGAUGUUAAAACAUGUUUGUGCAACAAAAAGGUGUCCCUUACAAUAUUUUUCAUAAAACAAGUUGAAUAAAUUUGAAUUCAUUAAACGUGAGCGAAAUUUUCAUACUAGAAUAUGUGAUAUCAUGCUUCAAAUGAGUGGCCUUUAGUAGAUCAUUGUUCGACUCUUGAUAACAAGAUUAGUCCACCCUUGUACAUAUAUGUGUGUGUGAUGGUAUAAAAUAACAAAGGUCAUUCAAGUUAAUGAACAAAAGAGAGUGAUGAAUGAUGAUAUUCUAGUGUGGUUGAGUCCAUACUAAGUGUAUGGAUUUUAACAAACGACCAAUUAAAACAUGAAAUCUAAUAUGGACAUUUAAUUAAAUGUUUAUUAAUAUUUGCGGUGCGGUUUUCAAAAGCCAAAACCGAAACCAAACCGUUUUCUAUGUUGCGGUUCGGUUACAAAACCGAAACCGUUUCAAAACCGCAAAACCAAACCGUUCGGUGCGGUUCGAUUUGGUUCGUGUUUCGAUUUCGGUUUUCGGUUCUAAGUGCCCACCCCUACUGCAAAUAGCAUAAGAAAAUUAAAAUUAACCCUAAAGAAAUUGGGAGAGAAGAAUAUGAAAAGGGAAUACCUUUCGGCCCUUUGAGUUAUUGGAAAAAACCCAACAGAGCAAAAGAUAAGCAAAAAUACAGGAGGAAAGAAAAUAAAUUUUCAACUUGUAAGAUUCAUACGCGAACAUAUUGGCGGUCAAAAGCAUUUCGGAACUCAGAGCCAUCAAGCUUUUUGAUCUGCAUGGAAAUUAUUUAUGAAGUUUGAGAUUCUUAUAGACGCUUUAGACACAUCGACAUAUUGAAAAAGCAAUAUUCAACAACCUAGUACCCAUGCUCCAUGAAAGGUUACAGAAAAUAUGAAUGACUGGACUCUGGAGUGAGAAAGUAAAAGGACUUACCGCAUACUUCAUAUCUUCUAAGUUUGUGUAGUCUACAAUCCCUGUUGUGCCUACAAAAAAGGCAUAGGACAAAAGCUAAAUCAAUCGAAAUUCUGAUGUCUCAUGAUCUAGGUCGUAGGAUUAAACUACUGAAAUAACACUAUAUGAAAUAGCAGUGUAUAUCCCAAAAAAAGUCUGAAAUCUGGUUGAUAAUUGAAGAGUUCGAAGGGAUUUACCUUUGGAUUCUUUGGCUUUCAGAUGGAGUUUGCUUAUGUGUGGGGGAGAGAGGUGGAGCGGCUAGAGCUUGAGUAUGGAAGAGAUGAAAAAUGCAGAGAGCACCUGUUUUGGCUGAAGCAACUCACACACUCUGGACAAAUCUGCAAAUGUCUAAAAGGGGGAAAAUAUAAAAAGAAACCUUAACAACUGAAUUCAAAGAAACAUUAUUACAUUGUAAAUAACAUUUCACAAAAAAAAAAAAAAACUAAACUAAACUAAUUACACUCGGAUUGCAAUGCUAUCAUUUAAUAAUAGGAAUUCCCAUAACUUAGCAGAAGACCUGCAUCUGCAAAGGAUUCUUUAAAACCUAUUUUUUUUAACAACCCCGCACCUGCAACACAUCCAGGCAAGGUAAACCAAUAGCACCCUCAUGCUGAGCUCUUCUGUGCAUAUAUACCCCUUAUAAGUAAUCUUAAUCAAUCAGUUAUCAUGAAUAUAGUCAGUUAUCAUGAAUAUACAACUUAUAUUAAUUUUCUACAAUAUCCAACACACAAAUAUAACAGAAGAGGAAACUUUUACUUAAGCAGCACAAAAUGAUAUCCUCUGCAUUUCAUUCCAAAAUCCAUCACUCUUAUGUCUUUGCCUGCACAGUUUUUGCUCCAACAUAGCACACCAUGAUGAUAGCACUAUCAAUAAUUAAGACAUAAAGAAAGGCUAUCCUAGCUAGGUAUUAUCAUUGGAGUAAACCAACAACACCAUAAGUAAAGUAGCAGACCAAAUUUUUUCUAGAAUUGAUGUCUUAACAUGUUUAAGUAGCGAAAAGAUUACAACACAUUGGAUGUGUUAACACAUCCAUAAGCUAAUGACUCCCUCUCCAGUUUACCGCAUCAUUCUUAAUGUAUUCAACAAUGCAGCAGUAAUUAAAAGUCCUUGGAAAAUGCCAAGCUACUACAAUGACAUAACGAAAACUAUAUCUCACCAUACCCCCUUGUUGGCAUAGACAGCAUAUCCGUCCUUGUUCAGGGUGAAUCAUUAUCCUGAACUCAAUUAUCAUCAUCGUCGAGAAUGUCAAACUUUAAAUCAACCAUGCAUGGAACAAAACCUAGAAAUUAAACAAUUAUCAAAGCUUAUGAAGAAUGCUAAACCCAACUAAUUCGAAACAUAAAGUAACCCAAAAGAGAGAAAACUUAUAAAUUUUACAUAAAUUAUAAUCCUUAACAGAAGGAUGGAACAAAGCAUGUUCAUUCUUGAGAAUAGGUGUAAUUUUGCACAUUGCAUAUAUGUACAUUAAGGACGGUGGUAACAUACCUUGUAAUUUGUACAAAUUAGGAUUUUCAUUCAAAGAACCAUAAUAUACACAAUUACAAAAACAGUGAUACAAACUUGUUCUUCUCUUAAGGAAAUUACUCACAGUUGAAAUUCUGAAUGGACAAAGUUUUGGCAUCCCUUUCCGACUAUAUUUGAUUAACCUUUUUUUAAUCCAAUGAGUGCCUUCAUGAGAGAGAGAGAGAGAGAGAGAGAGAGAGAGAGAGAGAGAGAGGAAUAUUCGGUGAAAAGUAUUGCCAAAUCACACAGAGAUCAAAAUCUUGAAUAUAUAUGUUUAACCAUAUCAAAGUGAGUGUGUGAAAGGGUGUAGUCUGCAGAAAGGGCAACAUUUUCACUGCUAGAAAGUUGGAAACUAAACUUUUACACAGAUAUUGGAUUUUAUUAAUUCCCUCCGCGAAUUGAAAAGCAAAUUGUUCGAGUAAUGCAGGUAAAUUCGAUAUACAUAUGCGUUGAUCUAUGUAAGACGGUUAUAAGUUAUAACUGUAUCGUCUUAACACAAAAAAUGAUCAUAAAUGUAAGUGUCUGUAUUAUGGAAGUAAGGGACUUGCAGCAAUUGCUAUGAGCUCUAACAGCAGUCACUCCAAGUACCCUAUUAUGGAAGUAAGGGACUUAGUAAGGGACUUACAUCAAUUGCUAUGAGCUCUACCAGCAGUCUCUCAAAGUGGUGCAAGGGCUAAAAUUAUAAAUAAAAAGUAAUUUAAACAAUUUAACUUAAUAAAAUAUUGUAAUUUAAACAAUGCCUAUAUAUUCAAACAUCCCAAAACAGGAAUGAACUUCCAGAAAACAUGCGCAUGAAAAUAAACGGCAUUACUCACCCAUUGAGUUGGACCAUCAAACUAGAGCGUAAGAAGGAUCAUCAUGUACCUAUGAAACCCAAAGGAAAAUUUUAGCAACCCCAAAGCUUGUAUGCAAGCGUGAAUAAGUAUGCAUGUAUGAAUCUAUUCAUAGUGAAGAAGGCUACCUUAAGAAAUAUUUGCAUCUGCAGCUUCAUAUGGCCAUACAACAAAAAGCACCGCAUAUGAUAACAAACCCCAGCUGCACCACAAAAGGAAUAUGAUCUUCCUCUCAACUUGUAUUUGUAGUUGUUACUGUAACAUCUGCAGACAGCAUACAUAAGCACUGAUUCGAUAAUUCUAAAGGGAAAAAAGUCCUUAUUCGAUAAUGCACCAAAUCCUAUCCAAAAACCAAGUGGGUGCCAUAUCCCUAGAUUAACAGAGCAUCUUUCUUUGUUCCAAAACAAAUUGCAAUUGGCUUUGGUAAAGUAGAAAGAUUACCAGAUACCGACUCUGUUCCAUUAUUCGACUGUCCUUUUAGUUCUGUCUCUCAACAUGGGAAAUACAAUAAGACAGUAAAAACAAAAGUUAGUGAUGCUAUUACAUAGUGAAAGAAAAUAAGACAUUCACAUAUUGAUAGCUAUUUACUGUCCUUUCUCAUCAUAAUCUUGGCCCCUAUAUAUACAUAUAUUGAAUUUUGAAAGCAAUGAGAGAAAUAUACCUUUGGGGCGUCACCGCCAGAAGGGUGAGUGAGGGAUCUAAGAUGUUUAAGAGCAGGAAUUUUUAAGUAAUUUGUGUGAAAAAGUUGAAGAGCUUCGAACAUAGUGGAGUGGGUUGGCCUGGGCUAAAAUAAAGAGGAUGAACUCUAGAAAGUAGAAAAUGUUGUUGUUCAACCAAACUCAAAAGUAAAGAAACCAUAUGAUUAACAUAUAAAUAAGUUUUAUAUACCAAUGUUUACAUGUACGUUGUUUGAGAAGGUAAAUUAGCAACAUAUACAGUGAUCAAAAGAUUAACAGCAAUAAACUGCUCAUUAUUCGAAAUAUACAAGAAAGUUGUCAUUCACAUGAUCCAAAUGGCAGAGGACAAAACAGAAGGAAGCAAAUAUUAUAGCAGCAUAAGUUGAAUAAUUGCAGCAAGUAAACAAAUAGAAAGGCUAGCUAGAUUACACAAUCCAGUUCUAGGUCGGACUAACCAUGUUAGCCAUCCGCCCACCACCAGCACCGUCGGCUUCUUAUUAAAAAUGUAGAAUAGAAGACUAAAAAAUUGGAAAUGAAAGCAGGUAACAUUGAGUUUUAAUAACCAAAAAGGGACACUGUUUAAGCAGCUCCACAACAGCAAUAAUACUUGGAUGAUGACCUGCAAAAACAGAAAAGAAAACACAAAUUAAACUAAAAAAAUAUAAAAUUUAACACUAAUCCAAGGAUUAAAUAUCAAAUAUAAAUUCAUUAGGAUUGGGACCUUUGCAUUGAGGAAUAUCUACUACAUUAUGAGUUCCCUCUUGAUAAAGCCCAAUCAGGGGGUUUUUCGAUGAGCCAAGAACGGCUAACUUUGCGUGACACCGCCAUCCCCACUAACACCAAACCCAGAUAAUAUCAAGAUCAAAACUAACCAAUACCAGAAAGAUUUUUUUAUUUAAAUUUUAAGAAAAGACCUAAACUUUACGAAAUUAAGGGGGAAAACAAAGUUAAGUAAAGCACCAAUUUGCAACUGUCAAAAGUGAAAUAUGAGACUCCAACUGUCUAGAAGAACUCCGUGGCCUCAUCGACGAUGACCGGAUGGUGGAGAUUGAACUGGUGCGUACACCCGAAACACCUGAUUAUACACCGAACAGAGAACAAAAUUUAAAUCAAGUCGAACAAUAAUUAUGAGAAAAUAAACUAAAAGGGAUUUGAGCUGAGAGUUACGAUUCGAAGUGCGGGCAAUGGAGGGUGCAGGUUAGCGGCGGCAGAGAAGGGGUUGAGCUUGGGUUCAGGUCCGUUUUAGGAGGUGGAGGCUCUUGAUAGAAGAUUGGCAUUGGAGUCGUUUUACAAAUCAGUUUCUUCCUGAACAUCCUAAUGUCAGCUUCUAGAGUUUCCUGUAAAAGAACAGACAACAUUCAUAAUAAGAAAAUCUCUCUAUGCAAUCGCAGAAAUCCCUCGGGUUUCAGGAAGCAAAUGGAAAAUGAAAUGCUUUUCUCCCGUAUCUCUCUCUCUCACCUCUGUCCCAUCUCUCUGUCUCCAAAUCGCAGAAAAGAAACCCUAAACAAAUCCCUGAAAUCCCUCGCCUAAAUCCUCCUACAUUUCUCUCGGACAACCCCCUCUUUCUCUUUGCAAACCCUAAACCAAAUCUCCUAAAUCCUAUCUCAGGCACCACACAUACAGCCAAGAAGCCAAGAUAUUAAAGCAAUCUCUAUAUAAUACUUUGGAACAAUGAAGAAAAAUGGUACUUACUUGUUCCUUGUCCAAAACAGUUGGUGCCGCCGCACAUUGUUAUCAAUUGUGGGUUGAUCAAAUCCUUCAUGGCUUAGACUGCAUGAAGAAUUAGAAACUAAAAGAUGAAUAUAUGCCGUAAAUCAUCAUAUAAAUGUAACUGCAUUUAAAAAAAGAAGGGAAUGACAAAAUUGAAUUCUAUUUCAUCAGUAUGUAACUGCAUGAAAAGUUACUUUGAAUGAAGACUCGAUCAAUUUCCCCAAAGUCAUUGUUAACUGAAAAUCAAUAUCAAACCCAUAAAUACCACAUUGAAUUUGACCAAGUUAAAGGAUAAAGGCAGUCGCAUCAUCGUAUUACUCUUUGGGAAGAUCUUCUAAUAAUGGUUCUUCCUUUUUCUUGCUCUUCCUCAGAACUGCCAUAAAAACCCCAGAGAAGCAUACAAAUUCAGAAAAGAAAAGGUUCAAAACUGCCAUAAAAAAAAUCCAGAAAGCAUACAAAUUUAUCAGAAAGAAAAGUUCAAAUUACAAAUACCAAAUGAUGUGAGUGAGUAGUGAGAGGUUGUGUUAGGCACCUGAAACACAUUUUGGUUUCAAUUGAAAGGGCCAGAGACAACAUCCACAUUCUUUUUUCUUGGGUGAACUAACCAAAUCAUAUUAUAUACUAAAAUGACAUAAAAAAUCAUUCACAAACUCACAACAAAAUAGAACAAAAAGAUUCACAAAAGAUUUGGGAGUUGAGACGCUAACAAAAACAUUUCUUUUCUAAACAAAUACACAACCGCUAAUCUGGGUUUGGUCAAUUUAACUAAAACGGUGCGCUAUUUUGCAUCUAAAUAUAGUAUAUCGCUUAAAUAAAAUUAAUAAAAAAUACACAUCCAAAGCUUUUAGUCCAAAGCUAGAAUUAGGAAUAACUGAGGAAGUUAAUGAAGGCAAAGCAGAGGGUAGGAUGCAGAACAUACCAAGAGACCAGUAGGCCAUCGGGGCCGGUCUGCCGAUGAACGCUGUGUACUGGUCGACAACGCCCAACGGAGUCGGCGCAGAAAAAAAGUAAAAGUCGAAACCACCCCCAAUGACUUUGUAGGUGAGAGAAGUCCCUAUGUAGAACACAUUCAUGCCAUUGCUGUUGAGCAGCAGAACGCAGUGCGCGUAAGCCUCGUUGCCCACAUUCCGGAGAUCCAUGUAAACUGGGUGGGACCCGUACAAAUCAGUGUUGAGAUUGAUCGCCGAGAAGUCAGUGGUGAAGAUGAUGUAUGGAUCGUUCGGGUAGAGCUUGAUCCCGUGCGGCUGAGAGUUCUCUUCGAGGCCGUACAAGGAGGAGUCUUUCGGCACUCGGGUGGAUAUCUUGAUGUCUGGUCCUUAAACACCAGUACUAGUCCAAUAAACCACUCCGCUUUUAUUGAUUUUCAAUUCAUGUUCAUUCGGGUCCCAAACAAGACUGAACGGCCCCGGAGCCGGGUUGUAGGUAUCUACAUAUGAUAUAAGUGCCCAGACGUGGCCAGCACUGCGGUUGACACCUAACUUCAUACCCGGUAAAAAUGUGUCUCCAGGAUAAUCACUUCAGCAGAUCGAGGGUGAUUUGAGGUGUUUUCCCGCUGAAUUGGACUUCGACCCAGGUAUGAAAGUUGUUCCUCUUAUCGAGAUCUUCAUUCAUGUAAAAUUUGGGAAUUUUAGAAUUGUUGAAUUCUUCGGCGAGUCAGGGCUACCAGCCGCCACGUGCUUCGGCGCGUGGCCCUUUGGCCGCCGUCCCAUGGCGGCUCGUGCGGUGAUGUAUGCAGGAAAACCUAAGGUUCCUCCUUAGGUUUUUCGAUGUACCAAACCCGAAUCCGCCGUCCUUUUUCCAAAAUUCUAACGUUUUCAUAGAGUUUUAUUAAACGACCUUUAAUUGUGUUUAGGUGCAUCGGUGGAAGUGACCUCAUUCUUGAUGGUUCGAGCGGCUUUCGGGCAAUGGAAAACUUGUGAGUAGACCCCUUCUAAACUUAUAUAUUGUUAUAAAAUAUUAGCCUAGCAUGCAUUCCAUAUUUCAUGAUUUGAAUAUGAUUUAUAAUAUGCUUUAUGGACUUUUAAUUAUGGUUUACGAAAUAGUUUGAUUUAUCGAAAUUACGUUUUAUUAGGUAUUGAAUUAUUGGAUUUGCAUAUAUGGAUUUCUAUGGUUUUCAAAUACGAUUUAUAUUACGGUUUUACGAACAUGAAUUAUUUUAUGGAUUUCAUGAAUACAAUUUAUCUUGGAUUUAUGAGAUGAGACUUUGAGCUAGUGAGCUCCGGGUUUGAUAUGAGUUUUGAGAUAUGUUUUUGGUACUUAUCUAGUGGGUUAUCAUACAGCACAUCCGCACACCACGGGUAUAGAUGUGUAUGGCCAUAGGACACAGAUGAUGAGGAGGAGUAAGAUAUGAUAUAUUAUAUACCCCCAGUUCACUAUCGAAAGCAGUGUCAGAUAACCUCACUAGCCAUGGCUAGUGUCGGUAUGGAUGUUAUGCUAUUUCAUACAGCUUCACCUUCGGGUGAUAGACAGGUUAUUUAGCUUCACCGUCGGGGUGAUGGACAUGUACUACCUUCGGCCAACUAUGAUAGCCUUAGUUGAGCACUUCACUGACAAGAUUUACAAAUUUGCCUUCGGGCAACGACAUUUUCAUUAUCAAGCACUGGAUUUUACAUAUCUACCUUCUAAAUGGAUUUUCAUGGCAUGCUAGGGUUUUUCAUAAAGCCUAUAUGUAGUAUUAUAUAUGUUUUCAAAAUAAGGGGUUAUUAUGUUCAUAAAUAAAAUGUUUUCCUAUUAUUAGUAUUAUUAAUAUAAACUUUGGUCCACUCACCUUUUCAGUUUUUGCGCCUCCUCAGGAGUUAGGAUCGAGGCACAUGAUCCCGGCAUCAUGGCAUGUUGAUAUAGGUAUCCUUGAAUCUUCUCAGUGUAGGUAUCAUUCCCUUAUUCAUAUCUUUUUAUAGUGAUUCUUCCCUAUUAUUUCUAAUUAGUUGUAUGCUCUAAACACAUUCCUGCUUUGGUAAUCGUUAUAACUACUUAUCUUGUAAUUGUUUGCAUGUUUAAAAUGGUUUUGUCACCCUUGGGCGUGGGCUAGCACGUGCCUACCCUGGUAUGUUGGGAUAUCGGGGUUGGGGCGUGUCAAAGAUAGAGAGUGAAUUUCUAGCAGAUUCAAUGGUUGUCUACAUUUUAAAAAGAGCUUGCCGAAAAGAUUGAUUCAGAUGAAAUAACAAAGGAUUUCAAUUCCAUUAAGGAUUGAAGGGCACAACUUGAAUAGGUAUUUUUCUUUUUAUUUGUUAGGUUGUUAUGACAAGAUUGACGAUGUAUGUUUCUUUAUAUUGUAAGUUGCAACUUUAAAGGUUUUCUUUGUUAAAUCUAGUUGAAACUUGAUUCAUUUAGAGUUAAAUUUCUUACUUCAAAUUGUUGCUUUUAGGCUUAUUAUUGUGUAACUUUAUGCAAGCAACAAAAAAUUUUAACCAUUUGAUUUUGUACUAAUAAUUUUAGCUUAGCAUGCCACCAAAUAAUUCAUGGCUCCGCUAUUGAAAUCUUAGCAUGUGCAAUUUCAAAGUCUCGGUUGCCAAGUCUCCCCAGGCUGUUCAGCACCCAUUCUGAAUCUUGAUCGAGAUCUAGAGCAGUGCAAGUCAAGGAGUCUUCAUUCUCAUUUGAAACAAUGCUAAAAUUAUACCUCAGCUUGGACUCCUUGGGCAAAAUAUACCCAAAUGUAUUAGUACUACUUGUGGAUACACCACUAGUCCAAAAAAAUCACCUCUCCUUUCUUAAUCUUCAAUUGGUGAGGGUCCCAAUCAAGCGUGAAAGGCCCCGGCGCACGGUUGGCUUUAGUUUCCCAUGAUGAAAUCCACGAAACAUGGCCGUUUGUACGGUUGACACCCAAUUUCAUGCCCGGUAAAAAGGUGUCAACUGGUAAUCAAAGCUUUACGUUCACUUCUUCUUGUACAAAAUUUCCCGAAUCCAAAAGGAUAGCCACAACAGUAGCAAUACUGUUACUUAUGUUGGUAGACCUAGUAGUUUGUGGAGCUGAGAAAAACGCAAUUGGAUUAGGAUCCCCCCCGCAUAAUUUUCAAGGUUUUAUUCCUGUCCAAGGCAAGAGUGCGUACAAAAUAGGGGCUUUACGGUUGCAAAUCCAAGCAAUGUUGCCAUCGGCCUUGUUGCUCUGGAUAGAUACGUAGCUGGUGCUUUUGGAACUGUCGUCGUGUACACAGGAACUGAAACUGAACUUCUCCGAUGCAGAGACCAAAGAAUUUGAGGAGUUGAGAGUGUCUCCUGCUGGUUUCAGUGUGUCCCUUGCAGGUCCACAGUCAGCAUGCAAAAAUGAUUAAGUUGAUUAUUGCCAUGAUUAAUUAAUGACCAUAACAUGAAGUUUAAUUUCUCCAUAUGAUGAGGAAGAAAGACAUGAAAUCCAUCACCAGAACAUGAUUAAGAAUUUAAUCAAGCAACGCGUCUCAGUUAAACCAUUACAAUCUUUGUACAAGGCAUUUAUAAAUUAAAAAAAAAGGGAAUAAAGUAAUAAUUACAAGUUUUACACAAGUGACCAUUUAUUACAAUGGUGGAAAGGUGUUAAGCUUUUGCAUGACGGUGUGAGUUCGAACCUCGUCGGUAGUUAAUCUACGAACCCCGUCGGUAGUUAAUUUAACUUCUAAUCUAAUAAAAUCUAUUUUUUGACCAAAAAAAAAAUAAUUACAAGUUUUACUAAAAAUUUAGGGGUGUGAUAUCCACACACCCCUUUUUACUUCUCUUACACCUUUUUUAUUUUCGACCGUCGGAUAUGAUGAAUUGAAGAAAAUCAACGGACAAAAAUUAACAAGGAAUGUGUGAGAAGUAAAAAGGGGUGUGUGGAUAGCACACCCCAAAAUUUAUCGGAAGACUUGAUCACCCAUUUGUAUGCUGACAACGGUGACUAGAUUCACAACCUCUUUCCCACGUAAAUCACAUCAUCCAAUUUUAUUUUUCUUACAACAUAUCACGUAUCUGUCAUAUGCAAGACUUUUUUUUUUUGUUUAACAUGAAAACGAAGACUUUUUUGGAAUAUGGAGAGUGAAAUUGCAGCGGAAGCAUCCUAGAUUUUUGAUCGAAUAUUGAGUUUGGUUUCAUGCCAGACUUCCUGGAUCAAACACACCCUAAAAAAAUAUAUAAAAAACCAAUAAGGUCAUGUGAUACGACAUCAUUUCAAGAGGAAAGGUACAAACAAUCUAGUUUCUAUACUAGGAAGAUUCACUCGAACAAAUUCUUGGAAACUAUGACUCAAACAAAAUUCUAGGAAUUCAGUAUUUUUAACAAAUGAUAAGCGUUUAAGAUAUAUUCUUUAUAAUAUUAGAGAAAUCGAACGGUUGAUCUAUAACUCGCAAAGUGGUUGUAGCUCAAGUAAUUUUACUCCCCAAUUUUACAUAAAACAUAAAAUAAAAACAAAUCCUAAUUUACAUGGUAAUUUUUUUUCAUAGCUAGGGACAACUUCGACUAUGGUAAUGCAAUUAAUAUACACUAGUUUUGGAUGGAGAAGUUUCAAGAUUGAGUAUGGGAUGGGGAGGGGCGAGAGACUUGGAUGGAGAGGUGAGGUUUUAUGAGUUAAACAGUGAUGCAAGGAUGUAUUACUUAAAACUUUAGAGACCGUAUGUUGGGCUAUAUAUAAUAUACGUUACAUGGAUAAUUGUUUAACUCAUAAACGUUUUGAGUGUUUCUAACAUAUGCUUAUCAAAAGCCUUCUCGUUCCAUCAAACAAUACGAAAAUUUUCAAUUGAAUGAAAGACAUACUAUUUUAUAUAUCACAGUACUUCAUGGAUCAUCAUCAUCACAUAUCCUUAAUUCAAAGGUAAUAAAUGAGCAUCUAGUUUUAUUUUAAUUUUAUUUUAUAUAGGGACUACAGAAGCAAGCACCCUCUGUAAAUUAAACUCUAAAACUUCUCAAGUAUCUUGAAAGGUGCCAAAAGCCAUCAGCCAACUCCAGUUGAUGCAUAACCUCCUACAUUUACAAAAACAGCGUCGCCGUUAAUUUAUUGACUUCUUCCCAGGACACAUACCAAUUUGCGAAAGUGGUUUGACUGAUGCUAUAAUUAGUCGAGUAAAGUACAGUCUUUUCAAUUAAGCAGAUGCAAAACACUUAGUUGAUGCACUACAAAUAUGAUUUUUACCUUUAAUUAACGCGCUUCAAAAUCAGAACUGGACUUGUAGUUUGCUGAAGCAACAGUUUCAAGUUGCUGAUUCCCACUUAUACCAGCCUCCACCGUCCUCCUUCCAACAAAAAAUGCUGGCUUUGUUGGUGAUGCUAAUGGAAAGCUUUCAUUUGUCAACAUAGAUAUGACAUCUGACAUGGUAGGGCGAUCUGCUGCAUUUUCUUCUACGCAAAGCAGACCGACAUGGAUGCAUCUUAACAGUUGCUCUUUAAUAAACGAAUUUCCUAAUGUUGGAUCCGUUAAUUCUAGCCCUGCACCUUUUUUCCAUAACUCCCAUGCCUGAAGAACAAGGAUUGCAUUUCAUUCUAAAGAAGAAAAAUAUGAUUAUAAAUUUUAAGAGAGAGAUUUGUUUGUCAUACAUAUCCUACUAAAUUGAGUGCGCGAUCGUCAUUGUAAAAGCUGUUGUUUUUCCUUCCACUUAUGAUUUCAAGCAUCAAUACCCCGAAACUGUAGACAUCAGACUUUACAGAAAUAAUUCCCCCCACGGACUCUGGAGGCAUGUAACCACUACACCAAAUGAAAAAGAAAAAUAGUCAGUAUACUUAUCUGGAAAAAUGCGUGUUUAGCAGUCAAAAGGGGAGGACCACGUCAAUAUGAUGCAGAAAUACUUACAGUGUCCCCGCAACCUUUCUAGUGUUUGCUUCCAAUUCAUUUUGGGUGAAAAUCCUUGCCAUACCAAAAUCUGAAAUUUUUGGGUUCAUGUUUUCAUCAAGUAGUAUGUUACUAGCUUUUACAUCUCUAUGAAUUACUUUCUUUCUUGAGUAUUUGUGCAGAUAAAGCAACCCUUGAGCAAUUCCUUCGAGAAUGCUAAAACGCUUCUUCCAAUCUAGUAGUAGACCUCUGAUUGGAUCUGUCCAAUAUGUUGAGUUAAGUAGGACUAAUAUUAAUUAAUAGUAGUACUCUAUGAACUUUGACAGUAAAAUAAAAAUCAGAUAGUAAAUUUAACAAAUGAAAUCAAGUAUCUUGGUUCCUCACCAAAUAAAAAGUGGUCCAAACUUUUGUUCUGCAGAUACUCAUAUAUCAACAUCAUUUCUUCACCAUGAAUGCAAAAUCCGAAAAGGUGAACCAGGUUUGUAUGUUGGAGUUCAUAUAUAAGUAUCAGUUCAUUCUUGAAUUCUGAUGUUCCUUGCCCUGAACAUUUCGAAAGCCUCUUCACAGCUAUUUCUUGUCCCGUUGCCAAUUUCCCCUGAAUUGAUAAUCCAUAUCAUGCUUUUGCUGUCAUUUUUAGGCAAUUGAAGCUAAUUCCAUUUUUUUUUUCUUACAGCUUUUGAAUUAGAAGCAGAAAUUUUUGUUUUUUCAAAAUGUUACCUUAUAAACCGGUCCAAACCCUCCUUGUCCUAGCUUGUUUUCUUCAGCAAAGUUUCUUGUGGCAGCCACGAUGGAUGAAUAGCUAAAAACGCUAAAAUCAUGAUGUCGCUUAGAUUCAUGAAGAUAAGCAUUUCGUUCUCAAGCGUUGUCCGGUUCUCACCUAUACAGAUCAAUUAUAAGAAAUUAAAGUUUCAAUGGAGACAACAAUUGUCAAAGAUGUGAUUAAUAAUCCUGUAUUACUGGUGCACAUGAUUUAAAGAAAUAUACCAGCUGAUGCAAGGGCUGAUCUUCUUCGUCGGAGUAGAUAGUACGCGGUGCAAAGCACUAGAGCAGCAGCUAUAGAAAUGCCAAUCCAAACCCAUUUAUCUGCUGCAUCAUAAACAAUUAGCUAGCAACAUAUGCAAUCAGUGUAACACACACGGACAUGUACGCAUUAAUUGUCUUCAAUUUUUGGAUGAACUAGGUCUUGCAGGUUUCUUCCGGAAAACGGAAAAAUUCGAGACAGAGAGCAGAACUUAAGACAACAAUAACAAAGAUAGAGGUACCUAAUAAUACUGAUUCCACGCGUGUCACAGAUUUCCGGCUCAAAUCGGGUUUGCAGCCUCGGUAUAUAUCCUUCGGAUCAAGAAAAGAAAACCCUUUUGGGCAUUCGCAGGUUGGCCUUUUAUCUGGUUUGAGCAUACAGGUACUGUUGUAACCGCAAACACCAACGCCCAGUCGUAGGCAAAUAUCAUCCGGCAUAUACACCAGAGGACUAAUCCAACUUGCAUUUCCCGUGAAGUUUUUCUGGUGAGAAUAUAAAGCGAAAAUCCCAUCAAAAUCAAGAGUUGCCCUUAUGUAGUUGUCCCUCACCGACACUCCCUCUGUCCCCUUAAGAGGGACUCUUCCAUCAUUUUCUCUUAGAACAAACAUGUCCCCUGAGCUGCUGAACACCAAUCGUUUGCCUUGACUACCUGGCACGUUCCCUGACGUGGUCUUCGUGGAGAAGUAAGGGAUGUUGGCAUUAUCUGUUGUGACGGAAAUGAGCACGAGGUUUCCAUCACCUUGCAAGCUCAGCCGGAACCGCCCUUUUGUGUAGUUAGUCUCCGAUUGUCUACACGAAAGCGUCCCGUUUCUCUCAAUUGUCUGUCCAGGCAAAACGGUGUCUGUAGGAUUGCUGAAGGUCUCCCACAAGCUCCCCGAGUUUUGGUGUUGAAGGACGAAGUUUCCGGUGUCAUUCAUGACCCCGUUCGCAACAGUCCCCAAGGUUAUUUCGGAUUUCCAUAUCUCUCCACCCUGAGGAUUGUUAAGAACUAGUCCACUGUUGGCAGUCAAGUUCAGAACUGAUCCCCUAGGUGCAACCAUGGGGUUGUUACCGUCAUAUGCAUACCAAAACUACGGUUUUGUCUGGGAUUUUCGCAUACCAUAUCGAAAGCAAGAAACGAUCAUUGUUUCCGAGGGGCGAAAAUCCAAACGCGAAAUCACCGGAAGGAGAAAGCCAUGAUGAGGAGUCGCCUGUAGUUGCAGUUAGAGAACUCCCAACUGCUACUCUUCCAUUAUUUUGGGAAAUCACAGAAAUUGGUAGCAAAAACAAAGAGGAGAACAAAAGCAUCUCUACAGAAAGAGCCACUGCCAUUGCAAAAGCACCAAUUUUUCAACUUGGCUUGAUUGAUUAGCUAUAUUUCUUAGUAAAGCAUUGGUCCUUGUUAUAUCUUUAAGUAAAUGCGUGUGCACCAUGUGCCUGUCAUUUUCUAAGUUUUUGCCUGGAAUUAAAGGCGUCUACACCAUUUUUUGAAGUCACACACAACAAUAUCUCCGGGCCUACAGAAUAAAUUCUCCGAACCUACACAUAUCACAAGAAUUUCACUUUGAAAAAAAAAAUAUAAUGAAUAGUUCUAUAUAUAAUGACACCGAGACUUUUUGUGAUUGAAUUUAUUCUCUCUCAACUCCUUUGUAAUGUUGCAAGUUGGAGCAAUAUUGACGUAAUUAGCAAUGGUCCGCUGACUUGUCUCUCUCAAAUCUCUUAUCAUCCUACUCUCAUCCCUCGUCUGUUUUAUGAUUCUACUUACUUAAGCACUUAUAAAUGUUCCAAAUCAGCAAAGGACUUGUAACUUAAAUAAUUAAUAAUAUUUAUCACUACACUCGAGAUUCUAGGUUCCAAAAUAUAAUAUAUAAUAUAUAUGAAUGUUUCCGAACCAAAAGGACAAGUAAAUACGAGCAUGACUCACGCUGCAUGGGUCGGCCAUUCAAGUCCACCAGUCAAAAUUCAACAAUGGGGCCCACAAAGAAAAUUUGAAAAAGUACAUGCAGAUUGGGGACGGAUACAAAGAAAAUCUGAAAACAGACCUCCAGAACCAAACAAAGACGACUAAGCCUUUAAGUCAAGUGACAAGAGACUUAUAUCUUCACAAAAACAAAGACGACUAAGUCUCAAUUUCUGUAUUCACAAAAAAAAAAGUACUAACUGAAGUUUUUAAUGUAUGAUUACGUCGUUGGGGUAAAACACCCGAUGCCGAGUUGAGAUAAUCACAGGGUUGGGGAAUCAAGAACCUCUUCGAAUGUCACAAUCUAGCGCAAACGGAUGUAGAGACUCAAACCACUUAUUUUAAAUCAUACGGCCUUCAUUAGCCUAUCCUAUUGACCCACAUGGUCCAAAUCUGUCUCUCCCCUCUCUUGAACGGUUUGGAUAUCUCGAUUUGUCGAUUUUGGAUUGCGAGAUUCAAAGAGAAUCUGAUUUCAUGUUUGAGGUGAGGUUUGACGACCAUUUGAAGCCCGUUGAGGCGUGGCCCAUCUCAUCAGGUCGGGUCAGCCAUUUCGUACCAGGUUGGAUCCCAGGUCAGGCCAACCAUUUCAUUAGCCUAAGAUGGACCUGACAGACGAGGCGCUUGGAUAUUGCCUACCGCGACCAAAUGGACCCAUGGACUCAUUAGAUGAUGAGUCUGGACCCUGGUGUGUGUAAAGCCCACCUCAGCUCGAUCCAUAUUCGAUCGAUACUACAAAGAAGGUGGAUAUGAGGUAAAGGUAGAGUAAGCUCCAAGUCAUGUGGAGGUCAGUCGAGAUUGAACACACGUUCAUAGAAUCAUAGUAUCAAAUUCAAGUCCAAAUUUUAACACUACGAAACCGAAAAGCAUUGUUUCAGUCCAACAACCCAAACUUCCUUAAAAAAACUAAGACAAAAACGACGACACUAGGAAACGGAAAAACAUGCAACUCAGAAAACCAUUACUCUAGUCCAAAUGAGGUUCCUCAAUGCCUCAAGCUUUUAUAAAACACCAUAGCCUGAACCUUUUCCUUUGCGCCUUCUUUGCUUCACCAGAAACGUUCUUAAUGAGCUCCUCUUCAAAUUUGGGACGAGCAGGCAUUAGGCUGUGCACAAUGCUGUAAACGCCCCUAGCCCUUGCCACACCCUAGGUGCGUACGCGUGCAUGUCCGACCUGAGUUAUCUUAUUACGCGCGCAGUUUGAUCUUCCCGUAUUGACAUCCCUGCUGUCUAUUCUCCUGCGAAUCCUUCUGCUGGUGACUUCAUCCGAGUCCAUUUUCUUGCUCCUCAGUGCAUGUUCAUCUGCUUUUCCCUGUUAAUAAAUAUAGGAAUCCCAUAACAAACAGCAUUUGACAAAACAGAACGUAAUAAUAACAACAAAACUUGACUCCAUCCUCAGUGCAUGUUCAUCUGCUUUUCCACUUCAAAGCAGCUGACGGCACGAUUCGUACUUGGACUCCAAAAUGUCUAGAUUAUGGAGAAACCAGCCUUCUAUCCAAAACACACAAAGAAGUGUAUUUUCCGUUUAUACCAAUUAAGUGUGUUGAAGCAUGUCCCACAUGGCCACAUAGGAAACUUGUUGAGGUUUAAAUCCUCUUAUAUAGAAAGUUCGACUACUAAUUGCCUUGAGGCCUUAAUUCUGUAUAAAACCAUACCUAUUGAAUUGCACACGUGCUUAAGUUAAGGUCAGUAUUGAUGGUAAUUAGUAGUGGGCUGCUGGGCCGUCUUAAAAAAACUGGUACAAAGGGCAAUUUAUAGAAGCAGUGUUGAGAUAAGGGCAAUUCAUCUGUUCUUUUUAGAAGGAUAUAUAUGAAUGAAGCAAGGUUUAUCUGCUAAUGCGGCUCAGCCCUUUAUCAAAAAGUGAAAGAUCAAAAUUACUUUUACAGCAAGAGCAAUACCAGAAGAUGUAAUCUAAAUUAUUUAUAUUUGGUUCCCUUGAAAUCCUUUUGACUGCUUCAACAUACUAUAUGCAGACAGAACCAGAACCAAGUCCAGACUCACUCGUAAUAGGUCUCCUCAUCCACAACAAUAUCCCAGCUUUCCCUUGUCGUGGUUUUCCCAUAUUUGUGCACCUUACUGCAAAGAGAGAGCAAGUUAACUUGUCAAAGAAAAACCAGAACAAUAGAUGCCAAUGCAGUUCAAAAAGUUUAUUUCCCUUCAUACCCAUUUCCGAAGUGCUCUUCUCCCCAUGUCCUUGACCAACCUAGACAUGAGAGAACAAAAACAGAGUUACAUCAGAUUAAAUUAUUGAAAGAAAAAGGUUCACUUCUGUUGUAACAAAUCGACAUUAGAAUCAAGCAACCACGCUAUGAAAUACAAAUUUAAAAUGUAACAAUUUACUGUGUCUAAAAGGAAUCUUGAAAUAAAAUAGUUAAACCCUAAACAGCACCACUGCAAAUAGCAUAAGAAAAUUAAAAUUAACCCUAAAGAAAUUGGGAGAGAAGAAUAUGAAAAGGGAAUACCUUUCGGCCCCUUUGAGUUAUUGGAAAAAACCCAACAGAGCAAAAGAUAAACAAAAAUACAGGCGGAAAGAAAAUAAAUUUUCAACUUGUAAGAUUCAUACGCGAACAGAUUGGUGGUCAAAAGCAUUUCGGAAUUCAGAGCCAUCAAGCUUUUUGAUCUGCAUGGAAAUUAUUUAUGAAGUUUGAGAUUCUUAUAGACGCUUUAGACACAUCGACAUAUUGAGAAAGCAAUAUUCAACAACCUAGUACCCAUGCUCCAUAGAAGGUUGAGAAAAUAUGAAUGUCUGGACUCUGGAGUGAGAAAGUAAAAGGACUUACCGCAUACUUCAUAUCUUCUAACUUUGUGUAGUCUACAAUCCCUGUUGUGCCUACAAAAAAGGCAUAGGACAAAAGCUAAAUCAAUCGAAAUUCUGAUGUCAUGAUCUAGGUCUUAGGAUUAAACUAUUGAAAUAACACUAUAUGAAAUAGCAGUGUAUAUCCCAAAAAAAGUAUGAAAUCUGGUUGAUAAUUGCAGAGUUCGAAGGGAUUUACCUUUGGAUUCUUCGGCUUUCAGAUGGAGUUUGCUUAUGUAUGGGAGAGAGAGGUGGAGCGGCUAGGGUUUGAGUAUGGAAGAGAUGAAAAAUGGAGAGAACACCUGUUUUGGCUGCAGCAACUCACACACUCCGGACAAAUCUGCAAAUGUCUAAAGGGGGGAAAAUAUAAAAAGAAACCUUAACAACUGAAUUCAAAGAAACAUUAUUACAUUGUAAAUAGCAUUUCACAAAAAAAAUAAAAUAAAAUAAAAUAUACUAAACUAAACUAAUUACACUCGGAUUGCAAUGCUAUCAUUUAAUAAUAGGAAUUCCCAUAACUUAGCAGAAGAUCCUGCAUCUGCAAAGGAUCCUUUAAAACCUAUUUUUUUUAACAACCCCACACCUGCAACACAUCCAGUCAAGGUAAACCAAUAGCACCCUCAUGCAGAGCUCUUCUGUGCAUAUAUACCCCUUAUAAGUAAUCUUAAUCAAUCAGUUAUCAUGAAUAUACAACUUAUAUUAAUUUUCUACAAUAUCCAACACACAAAUAUAACAGAAGAGGAAACUUUUACUUAAGCAGCACAAAAUGAUAUCCUCUGCAUUUCAUUCCAAAAUCCAUCACUCUUAUGUCUUUGCCUGCACAGUUUUUGCUCCAACAUAGCCUGCAAUGAUGAUAUAGCACUAUCAAUAAUUAAGACAUAAAGAAAGGCUAUCCUAGCUAGGUAUUAUGAUUGGAGUAAACCAACAACACCAUAAGUAAAGUAGCAGACCAAAUUUUUUUUAGAAUUGAUGUCUUAACAUGUUUAAGUAGCAAAAAGAUUACAACACAUUGGAUGUGUUAACACGUCCAUAAGCUGAUGACUCCCUCUCCGGUUUACCACAUCAUUCUUAAUGUACUCAACAAUGCAGCAGCAAUUAAAAGUCCUUGGAAAAUGCCAAGCUACUACAAUGACAUAACGAAAACUAUAUCUCACCUUACACCCUUGUUGGCAUAGACAACAUAUCCGUCCUUGUUCGGGGUGAAUCAUAAUCCUGAAUUCAAUUAUCAUCAUCGUCGAGAAUGUCAAACUGUAAAUCAACCAUGCAUGGAACAAAACUUAGAAAUUAAACAAUUAUCAAAGCUUAUGAAGAAUGCUAAACCCAACUAAUUCGAAACAUAAAGUAACCCGAAAGAGAGAAAACUUAUAAAUUUUACAUAAAUUAUAAUCCUUAACAGAAGGAUGGAACAAAACAGGUUCAUUCUUAAGAAUAGAUGUAACUAGUAAUAGGCCUGCGCGCUGCUGCGGGACUUGAAUGCACCAGCCUUAACAACAUGAAUAAGACACAUUUAACAUGAAAAAAAUUCAACAUAAUCAUGAACGAACAAAAAGGAUAGCUGAGUGAACAGUGUUCGUAAGUAAAACAGCUUAGUUUUUAUAUACAUUCAACCAAGCUGAUUACAAAAGAUGUGAUUGUAAAAAAUGUUCUGCUUACCUGAGAAACAAAAGCAACAUGCAUUUUACACAUACAAGACAUCUGAUAUUAAACCUAAAAUCAUGUAAUUCUGUAUGAAGUGGAGAAUAAUGCAGAAAGAUGGUUUUCUAUAGUGCUGCCAAUGACAAUUAAUUUCUCAUGAAAAAAAAGAAAAGAGAAACACAGGUAUAAAAGAAUAUUAUUUUUUAUAGUUGCAAACAUUAUGAAUUCCAAAAAGAAAAACUACAGAUAACACUUCAAUCACAGAUCUAAGCAUCUAAAACGUGGCAACCCAGAUACCAUUCAAGACAUUGCUCAGCAUCAUGGAUAAACUAACCUAUCUGUGUCCCUGUGCUCACUGCAUGUCAUAUACACCCGACCAACUGGGCAUAGGAGCAUAAUGAGGAAAACUUUCAGCACCAUUUUGUACCUGAAAAAUGAGGGAGGAACUAAUUAAAGCGUUCCUCACUUAGAAUAAAUAAUGCAUGCAUAAUAGCCAAAUGGACAUUGCGCAUAUAAAUUGUUGUGGCAAUAACUUGCAAUAGAAAACGUAGUUAAAAAUAAGAUAUACGAAAUACCAACAUUGCAAUGGUAUUUUUUUUUUCCAUUCGAUUGUACUGAAGCAUGCAUCUUAAAUUAGGUACUACGUGAGGUCUCUAUAAUGAAAUGGGAGAUUGAAUACACUUGACGAAACUGAAAAUUCAAAUAUGCACACGCUCCAUAGUGUAUCUUCACAACCAAAAGAAACGUUUAUAUAUACGACAUAUGUUUGACAUUGUUUUUCCCCACUCAAAUCGUCUUGAGAAAAUUUGACUACUAAAAACUACAAAACUUUGAUUAAAGAAUCAAAUAGAAUAGCAUGAGAAAGUUAUUAUUACACCAUACCUGACUUUUUUGCAUAUAAAAACACCUGUAUUUCACCUGAUUUUGUAAUGAAAUACAGAUGCUUGUAGUUCACCAGUACAUAGCUGCCUGUCAUUUGUUGUCUUCUUCGGGUUCAAGAUCCUUAUAUUGUCUGAGACGUGAAAGAAUCAGAAAUUGUAUACAGUUUGAUAAUGAAACAUGUAAUGUGAUUAUGUGACAACAAUGCACUCCUCUCUCUCAGAGAGAUAAACAAAGAUAUCAAAAACAGAGAGGCAAUGUUAAGAUAAACAGAAAGGCAAUGUCACAUUGUUUUGCAUGAUCUUGAAAAUUGGGGAUAAGGUAUUCAAAGUGCUAACAAACACGUGCAAAUGGGGAUAAAAAAGGGGAUAAAUUGAAAAAUAUAUAUGCUCUUAAUCGAGAACUUCAUCAAAUAAACAAUAAAAUCUAAUGUAAUCUGUCCAAAACCAAAGAGAGUGAUAAUUUGGAGGCACUAUAAUGUCUUGGGCAUCGCAUACUUGCGGUAUAUGAUUGAUGCAUCUGUUGCUCAAUCAAAUCAUUUGCUUGGCUAAAAAAGUUAUUUUUACAAUAAAUAGAUUCGCAUCCAAUUUAUGAGAAAUCAUGCAAAAGUAAAUGUAAAUGAUAACGGAAUCAUGAAUGCGAAUAAGAAACACAUACAUGCCAAAAAGAAAACCUACUAUAGUGUGUCAAGUUACUUGCAACAUAAUUUUUUAUGCCAUUAUCCAUUUCGCAAUACUUUAAAAAAAUUUCGUUUGAAAAAGCUUUGCUAUGAUUUUUAGGUUUGGGAAAAAUAAUACCAUAAAAAUUAAAAAACAAUUACUAAAAAUCAUGGCCUGUUAAUAGCAAAAUACACUCCUCAACAAUGUAUAUGAACAUGUGAGUUGAAAAUUUGAAAUAUUCAACAACUAAAAGAAAGAAGCAAAAUCAGAAGAAAAGAAAGAGAUACUCACUCAAAAAUAAAGAUGUAAUAAUGCCAGGCUUCUUCUCCUCGGCAUCCAGAAUUCCAUUGUUGUCUCCAUCUUCAACCUUCAAUGUAUUUAAAAUAUGAAAUGGAAAAAACCCAGAAGAAAUCAUUACAUAAAAUAAAAUUAUCCAAGUAAAAUUAAAGGAUGGAUAGAAAAGAAAUGAAGGCAGUUUAUUCGGACUUAAUUAGAGACUUACUGAAUAAGCUUGAAAUCUAUCUCACACAUCUCUUAAACUUCAACCCCUAUCCUCCUUGCCUCUGUAAUAUGCACACAUAUAGAAAAAGAAAUCGACUUUAGAACCUACAUUGAUACAUAUCUUGUGUGAGUAGGUCUUUCCUGCUUUUCCCCAAUCAUGCAUAUCAAAGAAACGAAAAAGAAGGAAAUCACCCAUAUAUAUAAUACCUUAAGUUUAAAUGCAUCCCAAUUUUGGGUUCCAACGUCACAGAAAGAAUGUCUUAUACAUAAUUUAACAGUACCCCCGACAUCGGUCCAUCCAUUCGUAUUAAUAGUUAUUGUCUGCACAAACCUCAAUUACCUUACAAUCUAUCAUUAUUGACAUAAAGUUCAUACAAUAUGGGACAUCAUGACCUCUCUUUGGCCAGCACCAGUUUUUCCAAAAUGAAAUCAACUAUUACUGCAUUAAUUAUGGGUCCAUCUGGCCAAUUCAUUGAAUUCGCAGACCCAAAAAUUUCACCAAUUAACUGAAUUUACAUACAAAUGGGAGAAGUACAAAAACAAAGACAAUGGCAUAAAUUAUACCAUAAAAAUUACACUACGAAAAAUUUAGAGACCAAAAUCCUUGUUAACAGAAUUUAUUCACAUUAAAAGACACAAUUUCGGUUCAAAAAACUAUCAAAUUUAAACUUUGAUAUCAUAUGAUAAAAUCUUAAUUAAACUCACAAUCUCAAGAAGUUGAAACCAUGUUAAGUAAAAGAAACAAAUUGAAAAAAAUUAAGAUGUAAAUAUUGAUAAGAACAACAAAAGUGGCAAAUACAUUAUACACAGAUAGGACCCUGAAAUAUCGGAACCAGCAGCAACAAAUAGAAUUAAGAAGAAAAAGGAUUAGCAGACUUAAUAAAUGAGAAAUAGGAUAACAGGUACGAACUCAGUUUUUCCACUAUGAAUAAGAGAUCCAGUGGCAUAACCUAACAUUAGGUAGAAUCAAUGCUGGUUGAUUGAAUUUUCAUUCCCUGAAAAUUCAGAAAAUGAUGUGUUUUGAUCUGCAGAUAGAAGCAUUCUAUAUAUAUAAAAAAAAAAUAUAUGGAGACAUGAUGAGGUUCAGAAACCAAACCAUGUCGGUAAAAUCCUCUUGGCAGGUUGCUCAAGGUUGACCUCCUAGCCCUUGGACCAGUCAGGAGACUUGGCCUCCUGCUUUCAAGUUUGGAAGGGAAGUAAAAGGUUCAGCCAAUAAGUAAAAGAAUUGAUUCAGAGGAUAGAAUCAAAAUUUCAAAAAUAUUAUUUGAUGCGAUUAAAACUGUUCCCAAUGAUAAAAUGAAUAAAAAAAUCCAUUGGAAUAAAAGAAAAAGAAUGAUUAAAAUUAUUCACAACCCUUGCUGUUUUUACCUAACCAUUUGUAGGAUCCAUAAAGGGCCAAAAAAAGUUUUUUACUUCUCCUCUAGUCCCAUAAAUUUGGAUUCCAUCUCGUCCAAGCAAACUAACAAUCAUUACUAUACUUUGUUUUAGCAUGCGAACACAAAUCUCAAAAAAAAUAGAUAAUUCAUUUACAAAUUUAAAUUCAAUUUUUAUAUCUCGAUAUUUGUUUGUUAAACUCAAUGAUCAAACUUCAGACUCAUGCCUUCCAAAAAGAAAAGAAAACGAAGAAGAAUUGAAAGCACUUCCCAUUCCAAGGAAAGAGCAGCCAUAAUUAGGAUCCAAAACUCAUUCUUUAGUCUCCUCAUCUGAAGCUAUAUAUAAUCAUUGAACAAAAACGUUUAACGUCCAGCAGAAAGCAAACUGCAAUCAAAAUUUCAAAAAAGCAAAAUAAUGCGCAGAUAAUCGACAGCUGCAACAAACAAAAAAUAGAAAAAUCAAAUGCAGAUUGAAGGAAAAAUCGAGACCGCAAUCGAAACUCAUGCUUGUAUGGGUAAUUAAUUGUAGAUACCAAAUCAUCAAAAACCACUUGUCUACACCAAAUUGCAUACAAAAGAUAUUGGGGCAACUCAGAUUGUGCAAUGAAAAACAAAGUCAAACUACGACGUAGAUGUCUAUCGGAAUUUCAUUCAAAGAAUGAUUAAAUAAAGACAAUGGCAUGCCAAAGAUUAAAUACCCUAAGCGACAGUGUCAGCCAUGAGCUUCCCUCUGUGAGAGCACAGGGGUGUAACUGCAAAAGAAAGCCGGAGACUGAGGGCAAACUGUAAUUUCGUCAAAAAGGAGGAAGUGUACAAAAGAGAAGUGACAGCAAUAAGCGUAGACGCCAAGGACAAAGUAAAUAUGUAUUUGUGAAUGGGGUUAAGCUGCUGCUAGCUUUGUAUAGUGUAAUAAUGCAAUUGCAAAUAGACCAAGUUACUGCUACUAAAAGCUUUUGCAAAAUCAUAAAACUCUUAACAGUUUGAACCCUACCGAAAAGUUUAUAUGAGUUAAAGAACAGUCGUACUUAAGUGCAGCAAGAUCAUAAGCUCUUGCAGCUUCUCCUCCAUAUCAGAACCACCUGCAGUCCAAAUUAACCAAGAUUCAAGGCCAAAGCAAGAACAAAUUAGUGAUAAUUUAAACUAAAGUCCCUAAUUAUUGUUGCAGAGAGAAUUCAUAUCAAGAUUAACGACAUUAUUUGAUUCGAAUGGAAUCCAAACGCAGCAUAAACAUGAAAGGUAAAAAAUUAAUACCAAAAGUCACAUUUAAGCAGCAAUUAAUAGCAUAAAUCAGAUUUUAGUGGCAUGGACCAAAAUAAUUCAGUAAAAAAGAAACAAUCCCAAACAAAUAGAAAGAACUGGAGAAACAAUUCGAAACAAAUCUUCGGAAAGCAACCCCAUCCCUCCCUCACCCUCUCUCUCUCCAAUUCCAACUUCUCCCUACAUCUCUCUGUCUAUAAUAGAUGUGCAGUUUUAUUAAUCUUUGUUGCCGAAGCGUGCAAGAUAGUGAAAAGAUUGUUUAUCUAAGAAAAAAAAGGGCACAUUUUAGAUGGAGACAGAUGGCAUUUAACAAAUUCUUCAUUAGUGGAGUAAAUAAUUUGCAACCACCUAUUUCCUGGUAGCAUUAAAAAAAAAAUUCAAUUUUAAAAAAGAAAUGUACUUUUUAGUUCAAUUUCCACAGCCAUAGUAAUUUAUGUGGACUAAAAUUAAGAUUAACUAAUACAUCCAAUCAACUGCAACUAAACAACUUAUAGUAAUUGAAUCUGUGUUUGUGGAUGUGAGAGAGAGAGAGAGAGAGUUAUCUAUUAUAAAGCCAACCUUCUUUGAAUUGGUCCUCUUAUGGCUUAUUACCAAAACUCUCCAUUGCAUUUGCAGUAAUGCCCUCUGCUUCUCCUCCUGCGAAUUAUCAUUCUGUAAGUAAAAGGUACAAAAACAUCAAUUACUUAAUGGUAGAUAUGUACUUUAGACUUUUGAAGAUCCAAUUCAUCCUGCAUCUUCUCACACUCAUCUUCAUGCUGAAGCUGCAAACCUGUCAGCUCAGCUUCAAGUUCGCUCCUCAUUGAAGUUAUUUUCUAUGAAAAUGAUAAACUGGUUUGUAACGUAAGCAUAUAACACUCUAGUUAAAUUAGUAGUUCCAACUUAAUUCAAAGCUAAAAACGACAUUAAUGACCACAAUUUAAGAAUCCAGAAACAGCCCAAACUAACAACACACACAGAGGACAGACACUGAAAGACAUAUUUUUUUAGAGAACCUAACUAAAAAUUAAAAACAAACCAAGUAAAAUUUUCAGAGUUUAAAAACAGGAAACCAUUACAAUCUUUACAGAAACCAACUAAAAUUGGAAUCUGAAAAAAAAUCCGCUCAAUUUUAACAGCCCUGCUGCAUAUAUUGGGUUUUUUUAGGCAUGAGACAACACAAACGAAGAAAACAUAACAUAGUUGUAAACCUUAGGCUCCAAUCAGGUCAAGUGUGAGAUUUCAAACACGGAGAUUUACUCCAUGUUUAAAAACUGCCAAAUACAUUGCCAACUGUUAAGAGUAUGAACUACAAAUCUAUAAAGUAAAAAGACUUGCAGAUAAGUUUAAACAAUCAACAUUCAACUUAUGAUUGUUACUGUUUUUUAGCUGGAUGUUCACAUUCUAAUAAGGUAUUAAAAGAGAUUAUAAGCGUGUGUGCUCUUAAACCACCCAACACCAUGUAUUAAUCAAAUAAUUAACAUCUAAAGAUGGAGACAUGAAACACGAAACCUGCAAUUAGAUCCCAAUCACAAAAUGCCAAAAAAAUCCUAAUCUAACCAUCCCUAUACUAAUAGCCCAUUCGAGCAGCUAUUAGCACCUAACCCGCUACUUUGGCAACCCACCAACCCGCCACACCGUCAUGUCCCAUCCCCUCUCCACCACUCACUAUAUCUCUCACCUUUCUUUCUUGACAUUUCGCUCGGUGCACACAAACACCAAGCCAACCAUUGCCGGCCUUUGUCUAAAAGUGGACAAAAUCCCAUAGGUCCUGGCAGAGGACCUAGCUAAAUCUCUCUCCCACUCAGUCGAAACCCGUAGCUACCAUUUCUCUCCAAUCUGUCAGUCUCUCUGUCCCCCUCUUCUCCUCCCCCCAACAACCCUCUGACCGAUGCAUCACCCACAGCCACACCCACCCGCACCCGAGUCAAAAAUCCCAACGAUCCUCUCCCUCCAACCCGUCAACAAAUUAUGGAUUCCGAGAAUGUAUCUUGAAAACUCAGAUGCACAUGAUUAAAAUUAGUAGAUAUUAAGGACGUGUACUUAACAGAACAACACGAAGAACGAAUGAGUACAUUACAAACUAAAUGACCGUGUCAGCUAGAUACUUCUUAAAGAACACCUCUAAUCUACCAGUAUGAUUACUCAGUUUUUGGUUUUUAAAUUAAUACCCUAAACCUUACAUUCAAACUCAUUUCGAAUGCAAACAAAAGUAAAUGAUAAGUCCCGAGCUUUUCUUUCUAGCCUCAACUCAACUCAAGUUCCCAACCUUCACCUUCCAAUACAAAGAAACUAACGCAUCAAUCUGCAAUUUCGCAAACAUAUAAUUCAACUAACCAAGUUCUGUGUCCACUCAAAUGCACAUAUUUGAGCUCAAUCAAACUUAAAUUUGAAACAAAUAGUGAUGAAAGAUCAAACAUUUAUACCUAGCUUAGGAUCCGAACCAAUCUCCUCUUUCGCCUCCCUCGUCGCCGUGUCCCCAUCGUCCUUGUCCCCCUCCUCUGUUUUCCCACCCGGCAAAGAAACUUCACCUGCAGAAACACAAAACCAAAAAUUAAAAAACCAAUCUUUCCCAUUUCCAUUUUUAUCAAUUUCCUCAAUUUUUCCCAUUUCCAGAAAAAUGAGCAAGAAGCUUAAGCAGGAAAAAAAUCAUAAUUUCAACAACCAAAACCCAAUACCCGUUUAAUCAUACACGAACGAAAAAUCUAAACACAGAGUCACAGAUUAACGAACUGAAAACCCAAAAAAAAUAAAGGAAACUGACCUUACUUAAGAACAAUACAUAGAACACAGAGAAACGAAACAAAUAAAGGAACCCCCAAAACCAAAUAAAGGAACCCUCAAAACCUGACCUAACAGUGCAACAAAAUCUGGAAAUAAUUCACAGCAAAAAGGCAGAAAUGAUGACAAUCUAUGCUAACAGUAAAGAAUCGAAUUAAAAAUUGAACUUAGCUUUUGAAAUCCAGCCACUCAUCCGACAUGCAAAAGGGAACGGAUGAUCGAGAGUGAAUCAUGGACUGAGGGACCUUACUCGACCCAUCAUUGGAGCUACGUUUGUAGCUUUUGGGGAGAAAAAAAUUGAAUGUGAAAGCUGCUUUUGAUGUGGCCAUUAAGGUGGUGCUUCAGCAACCGAAGCAAAAGAAGAAGAGGCAGAAAAAUGUGAGUAUUCCAUGAAGAAAAAAAAAAGGUUAAAAAAUCACUAAAAAGAAAAGGCAGAAAAAUGCAGGGUAUUCCAUGAAGAAAAAUUCAACAAUUAAAUAAUAUAGCUGUAAACCUUAGACUCCAAUCAGGUCAAGUGUGAGAUUUCAAACACAGAGAUUUACUUCAUGUUAAAAAACUGCUAAAUACAUUGCUAACUGUUAAGAGCAUGAACUAUCUGUAAAGUAAAAAGCCUUGCAGAUAAGUUUAAACGAUCAACUGUCAACUUAUUAUUGUUGCUGGUUUUGAGGUGGACGUUCGUAUUCUAACAUGGUAUUAAAAGAGAUUAUAAGUGUGUGCGCUCUUAAAUCAGCCAACACCAUGUAUUAAUCAAAUAAUUUAUAUCUAAAGAUUGAGACAUACAACAUGAAACCUGCAAUUAGAUCCCAAUCACAAAAUGCAAUAAAAAAAUUCCUAAUCUAACCAUCCAUAUACUAACAACCUAUUCGAGCAGCUAUUAGCACAAUUUACCUCCCUCUCUAUUCUUCCCCACCCCCUCUUUAACCAAAUAAAAACUCAUUUGUCUCACUAAAUAAAAACCUCAAAUUUGUUUUUUCAAAGCUGCAACAACAUCACUAAAAACACCAUGUAAUAAAAAUUUAAAAAAACCAAUCCAAUUUAAGUCGAGAAGCAAAUGACCAAACCUCCUAUUUUGAGGAAACAUUUUGCAUUCAAACCUAAAAUGCUUGCCUGCAAAGAAGGAUUAAAUAGCAAAGCAGACUUUCGGGGGAAAUAAAAAAAACAGACUAUUUAUAAUACAAUAAAAAUAAAGUAAUUCAUCAUCCCCACCAUCUCUGUGAGCUUUAACAGAACAGAGGAAUCAAAUUAAGCAAUAUAUAAAUUUAAGUUGACAUUCCAGUGUUCUACCUCUAACCUUGGUAGCAUGCAUGCACUGUAAGUUAUAAAGUGAAUUAAGCCAAGAUCUUCUAACUUCAUGAUUUUCACAUAUGCAUUAGAUGGAGAAAUACAAUAAAUAAUCAAAUAUGUAAGACUCUGAUAUUCAAAACCAAACAAACCCAAUUACACUUUUAGUUCACUAACCCCAUUGAAUAAAAUCCAAUUCAAUAAAAUAACAGAAAAUUAAACAACCCAAAAAUCAAAACAACCCCACUUGUAGUUUUAGCUCACUAAUCCGUUGGAUAAAUAGAUGCCAAAUUCAAUCAGAAAACAUACAAUUAACAACAACCCAGAAGAGCCAUCCGAAAACCCAACCAAUUAACCAAAAAAUACCACUUGUUCUUUUAGCUUAGUAACCAACCUCUACUUGUUUUCUGGCAAAUUUGGGGUCCUUUGAUUUCUAGACUUUCAGUAGAAACUGAUUAUACCAUGGGCUAAUAUUCAAGUACCACAAAAUAUAAUUUUACCGUAGUAAGCUUUUUGAUUCACUCCAAACGAAGAUAUUAUAUGUUCACAUAUAUAUAUUCACAACCAUAAAAAGAAGAACUUAUCUCUGGCAUUUUAAUAAAAAUAAAAAUAAAUUAUUCACCCACAGUAAAAACCGAAACAGCUAAAUUAAACCCAAAAAUUAAUCAUGAUCAUACAUAUGUAUUCCUGACAAAUGUUUAGCCCUUUAAUUAAAACACUAAAAUAAAAAAUUGCUCACCCACAGUAAAAAACCGAAACAUGCAAACCAAAGCCCAAAAUUUAAUCAUCACUAUUACUUUUUUUUUUUUUGGUGUUUUUAAGUUUCAGGGAAAAAUGGAAGCACAAACAAUCAAAAAACCCAAACAAAAAGAAAUUAACACCAAAGAGAUAAAUUAUAUACCUGACCCAGAAAAAGCUUGGAAGCUCACAUAAUGAAACCCUAAAACUCGAAGAAGGAUGCUUCCUGCAAACCAAAUACAAAAUCAGACUCUCUCUCUUAGAAAGAGAGAAGUUAUCAAGUCCUGUACUUGGUUAUAUUUGUUCAAGUUAGGAAAAAUCGAGUACAGGGUUGGUACCUGGAGCUUGAGAAAUCAGAGAGCUUGCCUGUUUGAGAAAAGAUGAUAACAACAGCUUCAGAUUCACACAGAAAACGUACAAAAAACGCACAACAUGCUCUCUGCCCUCUCUCUCUCUCCCUCCCUGUCCAUCCGUCCCUCAAAAAGUGGGAAAAAAAAUCUCCAAACGUCUCUCCCACUCAUGAAAUCGAGGAUCUGCAGCAAUGGCGCUGAGGUCGCCACUCCUCCCUCUCCCUUUCUCUGUCGCUCUGUCUCUGUCUCUGUCUCUGUCUCUGUCUCUCUCUAUCGAAGGCAUGGCCUUUCAUCCCCGAAACCCUCACUGAAUGACAGCAAACCCAAACCCACCCCAAUCCGUCUCAAACACACAGGACAAAAUUGCCCUUCCAACCCAGCCCCAAUACCAGCCCAAACCUUACGGUUUUGUUGUAAAUAGCGUGAAAUCGAGUGGCUCCCUGAUAAGCCAUAUGGACAAAAUUACCCUCUGAAAUUUUGAGAAUCACCCUCCCAACCCACUCCCAUUCGGCUGGUACUGUUGUAAAUAAAGCAAAAUAAAAACAAACGUGAAUAGUGCCUGCCCUCCCCCUACUUUAGUAUAGAUAAUUUUGCACAUUGCAUAUAUGUAGAUUAAGGACGGUGGUAACAUACCUUGUAAUUUGUACAAAUUAGGAUUUUCAUUCAAAGAACUAUAAUAUACACAAUUACAAAAAAAGUGAUUCAAACUUGUUCUUCUCUUAAGGAAAUUACUCACAGUUGAAAUUCUGAAUGGAUGAAGUUUUGGCUUCCCUUUCCGACUAUAUUUGAUUAACCUUUUUUUAAUCCAAUGAGUGCCUUCAUGAGAGAGAGAGAGAGAGGAAUAUUAGGUGAAAAGUAUUGCCAAAUCACACAGAGAUCAAAAUCUUGAAUAUAUAUGUUUAACCAUGUCAAAGUGAGUGUGUAAAGGGUGUAGUCUGCAGAAAGGGCAACAUUUUCACUGCUAGAAAGUUGGAAACUAAACUUUUACACAGAUAUUGGAUUUUAUUAAUUCCCUUCGCGAAUUGAAAAGCAAAUUGUUCGAGUAAUGCAGGUAAAUUCGAUAUACAUAUGCGUUGAUCUAUGUGACGGUUAUAAGUUAUAACUGUAUUGUCUUAACGCAAAAAUGAUCAUAAAUGUAAGUGUCUGUAUUAUGGAAGUAAGGGACUUACAGCAAUUGCUAUGAGCUUUAACAGCAGUCACUCCAAGUACCUUAUUACGGAAGUAAGGGACUUACAUCAAUUGCUAUGAGCUCUACCAGCAGUCUCUCAAAGUGGUGCAAGGGCUAAAAUUAUAAAUAAAAAGUAAUUUAAACAAUUUAACUUAAUAAAAUAUUGUAAUUUAAACAAUGCCUAUAUAUUCAAACAUCCCAAAACAGGAAUGAACUUCUAGAAAACAUGCGCAUGAAAAUAAACGGCAUUACUCACCCAUUGAGUUGGACCAUCAAACUGGAGCGUAAGAAGGAUCAUCAUGUACCUAUGAAACCCAAAGGAAAAUUUUAGCAACCCCAAAGCUUGUAUGCAAGCGUGAAUAAGUAUGCGUGUAUGAAUCUAUUCAUAGUGAAGAAGGCUACCUUAAGAAAUAUUUGCAUCUGCAGCUUCAUAUGGCCAUACAACAAAAAGCAUCGCAUAUGAUAACAAACCCCAGCUGCACCACAAAAGGAAUAUGAUCUUCCUCUCGACUUGUAUUUGCAGUUGUUACUGUAACAUCUGCAGACAGCAUACAUAAGCACUGAUUCGAUAAUUCUAAAGGAAAAAAAGUUCUUAUUCGAUAAUGCACCAAAUCCUAUCCAAAAACCAAGGGGGUGCCAUAUCCCUAGAUUAACAGAGCAUCUUUCUUUGUUCCAAAACAAAUUGCAAUUGGCUUUGGUAAAGUAGAAAGAUUACCAGAUACCGACUCUGUUCCAUUAUUCGACUGUCCUUUUAGUUCUAUCUCUCAACAUGGGAAAUACAAUAAGACAGUAAAGACAAAAGUUAGUGAUGCUAUUACAUAGUGAAAGAAAAUAAGACAUUCACAUAUUGAUAGCUAUUUACUGUCCUUUCUCAUCAUAAUCUUGGCCCCAAUAUAUAUACUGAAUUUUGAAUGCAAUGAGAGAAAUAUACCUUUGGGGCGUCAAUGCCAGAAGAGUGAGUGAGGGAUCUAAGAUGUUUGAGAGCAGGAAUUUUUAAGUAAUUUGUGUGAAAAAGUUGAAGAGCUUCGAACAGAGUGGAGUGGGUUGGCCUGGGCUAAAAUAAAGAGGAUGAACUCUAGAAAGUAGAAAAUGUUGUUAUUCAACCAAACUCAAAAGUAAAGAAACCAUACAAUUAACAUAUAAAUAAGUUUUAUAUACCAAUGUUUACAUGUACGUUGUUUGAGAAGGUAAAUUAGCAACAUAUACAGUGAUCAAAAGAUUAACAGCAAUAAACUGCUCAUUAUUCGAAAUAUACAUGAAAGUUGUCAUUCACAUGAUCCAAAUGGUAGAGGACAAAACAGAAGGAAGCAAAUAUUAUAGCAGCAUAAGUUGAAUAAUUGCAGCAAGUAAACAAAUAGAAAGGCUAGCUAGAUUACACAAUCCAGUUCUAGGUCGGACUAACCAUGUUAGCCAUCCGCCCACCACCAGCACCGUCGGCUUCUUAUUAAAAAUGUAGAAUAGAAGACUCAAAAACUGGAAAUGAAAGCAGGUAACAUUGAGUUUUAAUAACCAAAAAGGGACAUUGUUUAAGCAGCUCCAUAGCAGCAAUUAUACUUGGACGAUGAGCUGCAAAAACAGAAAAGAAAACACAAAUUAAACUAAAAAAAAUAUAAAAUUUAGCACUAAUCCAGGAUUAAAUAUAAAAUAUAAAGUCAUUAGGAUUGGGACCUUUGCAUUGAGGAAUAUCUACUACAUUAUGAGUUCCCUCCUGACAGUGGCGGAUCCAGGAUUUUAAACUCGGGGGGUCUCAAUAAUAAAGGUCAAAAAAUUUAUACACAAAAACAACAUUGAAAAUUUAAAUAUAAUACAUUUCAUUCAAAAAUCAUAUGCAAAACAAUAUUACAAAUUAUAAAAUCAUAAUUCAAGCGUCCAUUACAAGGUUUCAUAAGUUACUACCUAAGUUAUUGAUUAUCUAAUAUGGACCACUAAAUUUAAAACACCAGUCAAAUAAAACUCUUCCCAAACUCCCACUAUCUUUCUAACCAAACACACCAUUUUUCUCUUUUACUAGUUUCCAAACAUCCACUUUCUCUCUCACUAAGAACACAGCUGCCAUACCUCCACCAACCACCUCCCUCCCCAUUCUCCCGAAGCCAUGGCAGCUCCACCCCCAAAUUUCACCAACCCAUGACAGAUCAUAUCCAUCUUACUAACCUUAUGCAGGAAAUUUCACCCAUAACAAAAAUUACUAAGGUGGUUGAAAUAAUUUGGGGAAAUUUGGGCUUAUGUACUGCCCCGCCAGACGACAGAUGGAGGAGAAGUGGGUGGCACCGAUGGAUGAGACCAUGGCAGAAGCAAGGAGAGAGGCUGGAAGGGUCCCUAUUUUCUUUCUUCUCCGUGCGCGGUCAUCUUCUCCGAGAAGAAGACAGCCACUGCAACCUACAACCUGCACAGACCUCAUGCUCGAGUACGAGGGGUCCCCGGAAAAUUUCUAGCAGCGAUUUAGGAUCGCCGACGGGUCCUGGGACCUCCCAGGUCCCUAUGUAUGCAGGAAAACCUAAGGUUCCUCCUUAGGUUUUUCGAUGUACCAAACCCGAAUCCGCCGUCCUUUUUCCAAAAUUCUAACGUUUUCAUAGAGUUUUAUUAAACGACCUUUAAUUGUGUUUAGGUGCAUCGGUGGAAGUGACCUCAUUCUUGAUGGUUCGAGCGGCUUUCGGGCAAUGGAAAACUUGUGAGUGGACCCCUUCUAAACUUAUAUAUUGUUAUAAAAUAUUAGCCUAGCAUGCAUUCCAUAUUUCAUGAUUUGAAUAUGAUUUAUAAUAUGCUUUAUGGACUUUUAUAAUUAUGGUUUACGAAAUAGUUUGAUUUAUCGAAAUUACGUUUUAUUAGGUAUUGAAUUAUUGGAUUUACAUAUAUGGAUUUCUAUGGUUUUCAAAUACGAUUUAUAUUACGGUUUUACGAACAUGAAUUGUUUUAUGGAUUUCAUGAAUACAAUUUAUCUUGGAUUUAUGAGAUGAGACUUUGAGCUAGUGAGCUCCGGGUUUGAUAUGAGUUUUGAGAUAUGUUUUUGGUACUUAAUCUAGUGGGUUAUCAUACGGCACAUCCGCACACCACGGGUAUAGAUGUGUAUGGCCAUAGGACACAGAUGAUGAGGAGGAGUAAGAUAUGAUAUAUUGUAUACCCCCAGUUCACUGUCGAAAGCAGUGUCAGAUAACUUCACUAGCCAUGGCUAGUGUCGGUAUGGAUGUUAUGCUAUUUCAUACAGCUUCACCUUCGGGUGAUAGACAGUUAUUUAGCUUCACCUUCGGGGUGAUGGACAUGUACUACCUUCGGCCAACUAUAAUAGCCUUAGUUGAGUACUUCACUGACAAGAUUUACAAAUUUGCCUUUGGGCGACGACAUUUUCAUUAUCAAGCACUGGAUUUUACAUAUCUACCUUCUAAAUGGAUUUUCAUGGCAUGCUAGGGUUUUUCAUAAAGCCUAUAUGUAGUAUUAUAUAUGUUUUCAAAAUAAGGGGUUAUUAUGUUCAUAAAUAAAAUGUUUUCCUAUUAUUAGUAUUAUUAAUAUAAACUUUGGUCCACUCACCUUUUCAGUUUUUGCGCCUCCUCAGGAGUUAGGAUCGAGGCACAUGAUCCCGGCAUCAUGGCAUGUUGAUAUAGGUAUCCUUGAAUCUUCUUAGUGUAGGUAUCAUUCCCUUAUUCAUAUCUUUUUAUAGUGAUUCUUUCCUAUUAUUUCUAAUUAGUUGUAUGCUCUGAACAAAUUCCUGCUUUGGUAUAAUCGUUAUAACUACUUAUCUUGUAAUUGUUUGCAUGUUUAAAAUGGUUUCGUCACCUUUGGGCGUGGGCUAGCACGUGCCUACCCUGGUAUGUUGGGGUAUCGGGGUUGGGGCGUGUCAAAGAUAGAGAGUGAAUUUCUAGCAGAUUCAAUGGUUGUCUACAUUUUAAAAAGAGCUUGCCGAAAAGAUUGAUUCAGAUGAAAUAACAAAGGAUUUCAAUUCCAUUAAGGAUUGAAGGGCACAACUUGAAUAGGUAUUUUUCUUUUUAUUUGUUAGGUUGUUAUGACAAGAUUGACGAUGUAUGUUUCUUUAUAUUGUAAGUUGCAACUUUAAAGGUUUUCUUCGUUAAAUCUAGUUGAAACUUGAUUCAUUUAGAGUUAAAUUUCUUACUUCAAAUUGUUGCUUUUAGGCUUAUUAUUGUGUAACUUUAUGCAAGCAACAAAAAAUUUUAACCAUUUGAUUUUGUACUAAUAAUUUUAGCUUAGCAUGCCACCAAAUAAUUCAUGUCUCCGCUAUUGAAAUCUUAGCAUGUGCAAUUUCAAAGUCUCGGUUGCCAAGUCUCCCCAGGCUGUUCAGCACCCAUUCUGAAUCUUGAUCGAGAUCUAGAGCAGUGCAAGUCAAGGAGUCUUCAUUCUCAUUUGAAACAAUGCUAAAAUUAUACCUCAGCUUGGACUCCUUGGGCAAAAUAUACCCAAAUGUAUUAAUAAUUUAAUACUACUUGUGGAUGCACCACUAGUCCAAAAAAAUCACCUCUCCUUUCUUAAUCUUCAAUUGGUGAGGGUCCCAAUCAAGCGUGAAAGGCCCCGGCGCACGGUUGGCUUUAGUUUCCCAUGAUGAAAUCGACGAAACGUGGCCAUUUGUACGGUUGACACCCAAUUUCAUGCCCGGCAAAAAGGUGUCAACUGGUAAUCAAAGCUUUACGUUCACUUCUUCUUGUACAAAAUUUCCCGAAUCCAAAAGGAUAGCCACAACAGUAGCAAUACUGUUACUUAUGUUGGUAGACCUAGUAGUUUGUGGAGCUGAGAAAAACACAAUUGGAUUAGGAUCCCUCCCGCAUAAUUUUCAAGGUUUUAUUCCUGUCCAAGGCAAGAGUGCGUACAAAAUAGGGGCUUUACGGUUGCAAAUCCAAGCAAUGUUGCCAUCGGCCUUGUUGCUCUGGAUAGAUACGUAGCUGGUGCUUUUGGAACUGUCGUCGUGUACACAGGAACUGAAACUGAACUUCUCCGAUGCAGAGACCAAAGAACUUGAGGAGUUGAGAGUGUCUCCUGCUGGUUUCAGUGUGUCCUUGCACUUGCAGCAUUGUGACAGGUCCACAGUCAGCAUGCAAAAAUGAUUAAGUUGAUUAUUGCCAUGAUUAAUUAAUGACCAUAACAUGAAGUUUAAUUUCUCCAUAUGAUGAGGAAGAAAGACAUGAAAUCCAUCACCAGAACAUGAUUAAGAAUUUAAUCAAGCAACGCGUCUUAGUUAAACCAUUACAAUCAUUGUACAAGGCAUUUAUAAAUUAAAAAAAAGGGAAUAAAGUAAUAAUUGUUAGAAUAAGAAGAAAAUGUAGUACAACAAUGGAGGAUAUGCUGCAAUGACUAGAGUGAGAGAGAGAGAAAGAAGAGAGCAGAGAAUAUGACACUGCAAUUCUUUUCACACGCAUUGUUUGAUUGCUCACUUAGUGAGAGAGGAACAUCUCUCUACACUUAACAGUUACACUUCCAAACUUUUGGCAGUAUUCAAAAUUACAUCCAAGUAAUCCUAGCCAUCCAUCUUACACCCUAUGAGAUGAAGACACAUGUACACUCACUUACUUAAGAACUAUGAGACUUAGAUAAGAAAGCAUACAACCAAUUUAGCUAAUCAUCCUAGCAAUAUAAGCUAGAAAUACAACUACCACAUCAGAUCACAAUUUACACACUAACAGCCCCCUUUAAAUUGUGAACUGAUUUAACUCCAAGAAGUUCCCUCAGAUAACUGAAUUGUUCUCUUGCCAAUGCCUUUGUAAAGAUAUCAGCAAUUUGGUCUUUCGUAGGACAAUGCAACAGCUCAAUUACUCCUUGCUGCAAUGCUUCCUUUAUGAAAUGGUAUCUCCUGUUGAUGUGCUUGGUCUUCUGAUGAAAAAUAGGAUUUUUAAUGAUAGCUAUGGCUGAAGUAUUAUCACAAUUCAUUGGUGUUGCAACUAUUUGCAUUUCACCAAAGUCCUCCAAAACAAAUCUCAGCCAUGUAGCCUGUGCAGUUGCUUCAGAUGCACUAAUGUACUCUACUUCAGCUGUUGAUAAUGCAACACAUUGUUGCUUGACUGAAGACCAAGAGAAAACUCCACUGCCAAAGGUAAAUGCAUACCCCGAUGUACUUUUCAUAUCAUCUUCUGAACCGCUCCAGUCACUGUCACAAAAUCCCAUUAAGAUUGCUCCUUUGCCUUUCUUGUAUUCCAAGCCAAAAUCAAGAGUCCCUUGAACAUAUCUUAGUACUCUCUUUGCUGUCCCAAGGUGCUUGUUGGUUGGACAGUGCAUAAACCGUGAUAGCAGACAUGCAACAUACAUUAUAUCAGGUCUAGUUGCUGUGAGAUACAGCAAACUGCCUACAAUUUGUCUAUAUUGAGCUUCAUCCGUAGUCCCACUUCCAUCCUCUUUUCUCAAUUUAUCACUUGGAACCAAUGGAGUACUCACUGACUUACAGUCUUGAAGUCCAAAUUUCUUCAGUAGAGAAGAAGCAUAUUUUCUCUGAUGAAUGAAAAUAUACUCCUCAGUUUGCAUUACUCCCAUACCAAGAAAGUGAUGUAAGAGUCCAAGAUCAGUCAUUUCAUAUUUGAGCAUCAUAUUAGAUUUAAAGUCAUCCAUCAAUUCCUGACAACUUCCAGUGUAUAUUAUGUCAUCAACAUAGAUAGACACUAUAAUCAUUUCUGAACUUUUCCUCCACUUGGUAUACAGAGUUGCUUCGCUAGUGCUUUUCUUAAACCCACAGAGUGUAAGAUAUGAGUCUAUUUCACCAUACCAGGCCCUUGGUGCCUGCUUCAGACCAUACAGUGCUUUAUGUAACCUGUAGACCUUAUCUUCUUCCCCUUGUACAAUAAAUCCAUCCGGCUGAUCAACAUACACUUCUUCUUCUAGUACACCAUUCAAGAAUGCCGAUUUUACAUCCAAUUGAAACAACUUCCAUUUGUUCUUUGCUGCCAGGGCAAUUAAUGUUCUGAUUGUAUCCAACCUUGCCACAGGUGCAAAGGUUUCAUUAUAAUCAAUUCCGGGCUUUUGUGCAUAGCCUUUUGCAACAAGCCUAGCCUUGUUCUUUUGAACUGAUCCAUCCAAAUUCAAUUUAGUUUUGUACACCCAUUUCACACCAAUCACAGGUUUAUCAGAUGGUCUUUUCACUAAUUCCCAAGUCUUAUUUUUCUCAAUCAUGCUGAUUUCAUCUUUCAUAGCUUUCUUCCAUGCUUUAUCCUGUGCAGCUUCAUAAUAGGAUUCUGGUUCAACAAUACACAUGACAUCUUUCAUAGAUUUCACUCAAACUUCUAUAUCUCAAAGGAGUAUGAUCAAUCUGAGAUGCAAAAAUUGAGUCACUAGCACUUCCAGAUUCAAUGAGUGGAGAAUCUGUAAGUUGAGUCUGAGAACCUUCAGCAACAGCUUGUUCCAUGGAAUCCGAAUCCUCAUCAGCUUCUUUCAUCUCUGAAGAUUCACUUGCAGCAAUUGGAAUGUACACUUCUUUGAUCUUCUAUCUAUCCCAAUCCUAUGUACCAUUCUCAUAAAAAAUAACAUCUCUUGAAAUGAUUACUUUCUGAUUUUCAGGAUUAAGCAAUCUGUACCCCUUUUCACAAGUGCCAUAUCCAAUAAAAAUACCAAUGACACUUGUUUCAUCCAGCUUCUGUCUCAGGUUUCCAGGAAUAAGGGAAUAACCUAAUGAGCCAAACACUCUCAAGUGUUGAAUUCCAGGUUUUCUUCCACUGAAUUUCUCAAAAGGUGUCACAUUUUCCAAUACUUUUGUAGGACAUCUAUUUAGCAAGUAGACAGAUGUAACUACAGCUUCACCCCAAAGACUAUAAGGAAGACCUUUCUCAUGAAGCAUACACUUUGCCAUCUCCACUAUAGUUCUAUUUUUUCUCUCUGCAACUCCAUUCUGUUGUGGAGAGUAUGCAACAGUAAGCUGCCACUCCAAACCCAAAGCUUCACAAAACUGUUCAAAUUCAUUUGAGGUAAAUUCUUCUCCUCUAUCUGUUCUCAAUUUCUUCACUGAAAAACCACUUUGAAGUUCCACCAUAGCUUUGAAUUUCUUGAAUACAUGAAAGACAUCUGACUUGUGUCUCAAGAGAUAUAUCCAGCACAUCCUCGAAUAGUCAUCAAUGAAUGUAACAAAGUAUCGAUUUCCACUUAUGGUUGGUGUUUGCAUAGGGCCACACACAUCUGAGUGUAUAAGUUCCAAUGGCAUUCUUGCUCUCCAGAUUGACUCCCUUGGAAAGGACACUCUAUGAUUCUUACCAAAUGCACAUCCCUGACAUACACCUUCACUGUCAUGCAUUUCAGGUAACCCAAGAACCAUAUCAUGCUCCUGCAAUUGUUGCAAACUUCUAAAAUUCAGGUGGCCAAACCGUUUAUGCCACAUUGUACUAUUCUGAUGCACAUUGGUUUUCAGUACCAAAUGAUCGUUUGACUUGAACACAAGUGGAAAGCAUCUGUUCCCCUUUUGUUUCACACUAACCACUAAAUUUGUCAGAGUUCUAUCAUAAAAAAUAUCCACCUUAUAAUCACCAAAUAACAGAAAAUACCCAUGUUCAGUCAUCUGCCCAACACUGAGAAGGUUUUCUGCAAUUCCAGGUACUAACAUAACUUCUCUUAUGUACCUUUUUCCUUUAUCCGUGUCAAUGACCAAGGUUCCUUUGCCUUUCACAUCAACAAGAACCCCUGUGCCAACUUGCACUUUUGCUUUAAUACUUCUAUCAAUUUCCACAAGUAACUCCUCUCUGGAAGUCAUGUGAUUACUGCACGCACUGUCAAUAUACCAGGCAUCACUCACAGCUUUCACUUCAGUUGAUUGCUUGACCAUGAAGAGAUUUCCAGGUUCCAGGUUCUCCCACCUUGUUUCUAAAAUUUCUUUGCUCUCCCACUUUGUCUGCAAAAUUCCCUUGCUGAGCAUUUUUGUUUUGAUUGCAGAUCCUAGCAAUAUGACCAGGUUUUCCACACUUGUGACAUUUAAUCUUCCCUUUUAGCCAACAUUCACCAUAGUGAAGUUUAUCACAGUAUUUGCAUGCCCCUCCAGUGUUGUUAGCUUCAUUUCUUACACUUGGAGUAAACCUGUUAGUCCACUGCUUCCCUUUGAACUUGAAGUUCUUCUGAUAUUUUGAUCCACCAGUAUUGGUAUGUUGAUUACCAAAUUUACUAUUCUUAGAUGAGAUAUAUAUCUAAGCUAGCAAAUGCACGUUCUGUGCUACUCUCUUCAUGUCUGAUUAAUCUUAGUUCAAACCCUUUCAAUAUGGCAACCACAUCUUGUGCAUCAAUUACAUCAAUAUCUUUAGUAUUUUCUAUAACAGAAGCAAUGCUAUCAUAUGUUUUGGGUAAACUGAUCAAUAACUUUUGCACAAUUCUCUGAUUACUAAGAUCUUCUCCAUAGCUUCGCAUCUGAUUUAUCAGAUCAAACAACCUAGCUAAAUAUGCAGCUAGAGAUUCACUUUCACUCAUACGGGUAUAUUCAAAAUCACGACGCAGACCUUGUAAUUUCACAGAUCGUACCUGUUUGUCCCUACACAUACUCUUGCUUCAGAAUAUCCCAAGCUUCUUUUGCAGUUUCCAAGGUUGCAAUGCGUGGAAAAAUUUGAUCCGAUACGGCUCCCUGAAUGAUUCCAAGAGCCCUUGCAUCCUUGACCAGAUUUUCACUCCGCAACUUCGUUUCCACCUCAGUGAGUUCUCCUUCCCCUUUCGCUGAAGUGGUAAAACCUUUUUCAACAAUAUUCCAUAACUCGUGAGAUCGGAAGAUUGUUUUCAUUCGAAUCUACCAGAAAUCGAAAUUUUCUCCGUUGAACACCGGAGCUCGAAGCUCCCCUCCACCAGAUCCAGCCAUGUUAGACUUAGAUCACACCUCUCUCUACUAUUUUCUUUGCAACGAUGUGUUGCAAACACUUGCUCACUAUCUCUCACAGAAUCGACGCCCAGAGAUUCAGACCCAACAAGGCUCUGAGGCCAUGUUAGAAUAAGAAGAAAAUGUAGUACAACAAUGGAGGAUAUGCUGCAAUGACUAGAGUGAGAGAGAGAGAAAGAAGAGAGCAGAGAAUAUGACACUGCAAUUCUUUUCACACGCACUGUUUGAUUGCUCACUUAGUGAAAGAGGAACAUCUCUCUACACUUAACAGUUACACUUCCAAACUUUUGGCAGUAUUCAAAAUUACAUCCAAGUAAUCCUAGCCAUCCAUCUUACACCCUAUGAGAUGAAGACACAUGUACACUCACUUACUUAAGAACUAAGAGACUUAGAUAAGAAAGCAUACAACCAAUUUAGCUAAUCAUCCUAGCAAUAUAAGCUAGAAAUACAACUACCACAUCAGAUCACAAUUUACACACUAACAAUAAUUACAAGUUUUACACAAGUGACCAUUUAUUACAAUGGUGGAAAGGUGUUAAAAGCUUUUGCAUGACGGUGUGAGUUCGAACCUCGUCGGUUGUUAAUCUACAAACCCCGUCGGUAGUUAAUCUAACUUCUAAUCUAAUAAAAUCUAUUUUUUGACCAAAAAAAAAUAAUUACAAGUUUUACUAAAAAUUUAGGGGUGUGAUAUCUACACACCCCUUUUUACUUCUCUCACAUCUUUUUGAUUUUCGACCGUCGGAUCGGAUGAAUUGAAGAAGAUCAACGGACAGAAAUUAAUAAGGAUGUGUGAGAAGUAAAAAAAGGUGUGUAGAUAGCACACCUCAAAAUUUACCGGAAGACUUGAUCACCCAUUUGUAUGCUGACAACGGUGACUAGAUUCACAACCUCUUUCCCACGUAAAUCACAUCAUCCAAUUUUAUUUUUCUUACAACAUAUCACGUAUCUGUCAUAUGUAAGACUUUUUUGGAAUAUGGAGCGUGAAAUUGCAGCGGAAGCAUCCUAGAUUUUUGAUCGAAUAUUGAGUUUGGUUUCAUGACAGACUUCCUGGAUCAAACACACCCUAAAAAAAUAUAUAAAAAACCAAUAAGGUCAUGGUGAUACGACAUCAUUUUAAGAGGAAAGGUAAAAACAAUCUAGUUUCUAUACUAGGAAGAUUCACUCGAACAAAUUCUUGGAAACUAUGACUCAAACAAAAUUCUAGGAAUUCAGUAUUUUUAACAAAUGAUAAACGUUUAAGAUAUAUUCUUUAUAAUAUUAGAGAAAUCGAACGGUUGAUCUAUAACUCGCAAAGUGGUUGUAGCUCAAGUAAUUUUACUCCCCAAUUUUACAUAAAACAUAAAAUAAAAACAAAUCCUAAUUUACAUGGUAAUUUUUUUUCAUAGCUAGGGACAACUUCGACUAUGGUAAUGCAAUUAAUAUACACUAGUUUUGGAUGGAGAAGUUUCAAGAUUGAGCAUGGGAUGGGGAGGGGCGAGAGACUUGGAUGGAGAGUGAGGUUUUAUGAGUUAAACAGUGAUGCAAGGAUGUAUUACUUAAAACUUUAGAGACCGUAUGUUGGGCUAUAUAUAAUUGUUUAACUCAUAAACGUUUUGAGUGUUUCUAACAUAUGCUUAUCAAAAGCCUUCUCGUUCUAUCAAACAAUACGAAAAUUUUCAAUUGAAUGCAAGACAUACUAUUUUAUAUAUCACAGUACUUCAUGGAUCAUCAUCAUCACAUAUCCUUAAUUCAAAGGUAAUAAAUGAGCAUCUAGUUUUAUUUUUAUUUUAUUUUAUAUAGGGACUACAGAAGCAAGCACCCUUUGUAAAUUAAACUCUAAAACUUCUCAAGUAUCUUGAAAGGUGCCAAAAGCCAUCAGCCAACUCCAGUUGAUGCAUAACCUCCUACAUUUACAAAAACAGCGUCGCCGUUAAUUUAUUGACUUCUUCCCAGGACACAUACCAAUUUGCGAAAGUGGUUUGACUGAUGCUAAUUAGUCGAGUAAAGUACAGUCUUUUCAAUUAAGCAGAUGCAAAACACUUAGUUGAGGCACUACAAAUAUGAUUUUUACCUUUAAUUAACGCGCUUCAAAAUCUGAACUGGACAUGUAGUUUGCUGAAGCAACAGUUUCAAGUUGCUGAUUCCCACUUAUACCAGCCUCCACCGUCCUCCUUCCAACAAAAAAUGCUGGCUUUGUUGGUGAUGCUAAUCGAAAGCUUUCAUUUGUCAACAUAGAUAUGACAUCUGACAUGGUAGGGCGAUCUGCUGCAUUUUCUUCUACGCAAAGCAGACCGACAUGGAUGCAUCUUAACAGUUGCUCUUUAAUAAACGAAUUUCCUAAUGUUGGAUCCGUUAAUUCUAGCCCUGCACCUUUUUUCCAUAACUCCCAUGCCUGAAGAACAAGGAUUGCAUUUCAUUCUAAAGAAGAAAAAAUAUGAUUAUAAAUUUUAAGAGAGAGAUUUGUUUGUCAUACAUAUCCUACUAAAUUGAGUGCGCGAUCGUCAUUGUAAAAGCUGUUGUUUUUCCUUCCACUUAUGAUUUCAAGCAUCAAUACCCCGAAACUGUAGACAUCAGACUUUACAGAAAUAAUUCCCCCCACGGACUCUGGAGGCAUGUAACCACUGCACGAAAUGAAAAAGAAAAUUAGUCAGUAUACUUAUCUGGAAAAAUGCGUGUUUAGCAGUCAAAAGGGGAGGACCACGUCAAUGUGAUGCAGAAAUACUUACAGUGUCCCCACAACCUUUCUAGUGUUUGCUUCCAAUUCAUUUUGGGUGAAAAUCCUUGCCAUACCAAAAUCUGAAAUUUUUGGGUUCAUGUUUUCAUCAAGUAGUAUGUUACUAGCUUUUACAUCUCUAUGAAUUACUUUCUUUCUUGAGUAUUUGUGCAGAUAAAGCAACCCUUGAGCAAUUCCUUCGAGAAUGCUAAAACGCUUCUUCCAAUCUAGUAGUAGACCUCUGAUUGGAUCUGUCCAAUAUGUAGAGUUAAGUAGGACUAAUAUUAAUUAAUAGUAGUACUCUAUGAACUUUGACAGUAAAAUAAAAAUCAGAUAGUAAAUUUAACAAAUGAAAUCAAGUAUCUUGGUUCCUCACCAAAUAAAAAGUGGUCCAAACUUUUGUUCUGCAGAUACUCAUAUAUCAACAUCAUUUCUUCACCAUGAAUGCAAAAUCCGAAAAGGUGAACCAGGUUUGUAUGUUGGAGUUCAUAUAUAAGUAUCAGUUCAUUCUUGAAUUCUGAUGUUCCUUGCCCUGAACAUUUCGAAAGCCUCUUCACAGCUAUUUCUUGUCCCGCCGCCAAUUUCCCCUGAAUUGAUAAUCCAUAUCAUGUUUUUGCUGUCAUCUUUAGGCAAAUGAAGCUAAUUCCUUUUUUUUUUCUUACAGCUUUUGAAUUAGAACUUGGGAGCAGCCUCUCCAUAAAUGGGGGUAAGGCUAGCCGACAUUCACCUCUCCCAGACCCUGCGUAAAGCGGGAGCCUUGUGCACUGGGUACGACAGCUUUUGAAUUAGAAGCAGAAAUUUUUUUUUUUCAAAAUGUUACCUUAAACCGGUCCAAACCCUCCUUGUCCUAGCUUGUUUUCUUCAGCAAAGUUGCUUGUGGCAGCCACGAUGGAUGAAUAGCUAAAAACGCUAAAAUCAUGAUGUCGCUUAGAUUUCAUGAAGAUAAUCAUUUCGUUCUCAAUCGUUGUCCGGUUCUCACCUAUACAGAUCAAUUAUAAGAAAUUAAAGUUUCAAUGGAGACAACAAUUGUCAAAGAUGUGAUUAAUAAUCCUGUCUUAUGUUGGAUUAUGUGGCCAAGUGGCCAUAUACUUUAGAUUAAACAAACCAAAGGUGGACAACACCUUUCCUUGUUUUGGGGAGGAAAAUAGGGAAAAGGUUUUUUGUCUUGGUCCAUGGGAAGUCACGGUUGAGGUUUUGAAUAAUAAGUUUUGGUUGUAAUGAGAAGUAAGAGUGGGAUAGAAGAGAAGAAAAUAGAGUGCAGAAAAUUGAGAGAGCCGAAGAGAAGAGAGGGAGAGAAAGAAGGUACUGCUACAGUACCAUUUUCAGAGAAGGGGUUGUUGUUCCUUUCAUUGGAUAAUUCUCACUCCAUCAAAGUGUUAUUGUUGUAAUAGCUUUGAGCUUUGUAUAGAGAAGAAAUUAAUCACUAUAUUUCUUUCUCUAUUUGUUUCUUUGGAGUGUGAGUUAUUGGGUUAUUUGGGUUGUGAGAUUGCCAACACUUUGUAAACUCCCAUUUGGUUGAUAGUGGAUUCUUGGGUGAGCUCCUACUGCUCCGAGGACGUACUCUAGUUACACUGACUGUUGAGGAACCUCGUUAAAAUCUUGGUGUCUUUAAUAUUUUGUUCUUGCAUUUUAUUUGAUAUAUUUCCUGUGGGUUAGCUUGAGUUGGUUCCACAAGGGUUUGGUGCUAUCCUAGCACAACAAUUGGUAUCAGAGCACUGGUUGCUCUUGGGUACUGUCUAGUUGCCAAAAAUGUCAGACGGGCAAGAUGAAAAUCCUUUUGGAAGCAGCUCCGGGUUUGCAAGAACGACGGUGCAAAAUGCAAAGUUCGAAGUGGAAAAGUUUGAUGGCACACAAACAACUUCGGGAUGUGGCAAUGUGAGGUCAAAGAUGUGUUGGCUCAACAAGAUCUACUUGCCGCGUUGGGAGAGAAGCCGGAAACUAUGUCGAAGCCGGAAUGGGAAAAAUUAAAUUUGUGGGCUUGCUCUUCAAUUCGGUUGUGCCUUGCAAAAACUCAGAAGUAUUUUGUGAUGCGGGAGACGGUAGCAAGUGUGUGUUGUGGCAAAAAUUGGAAGACAAGUAUAUGACAAAGAGUGCAGAGAACCGACUACACUUGAAGAAAAAAGCUCUACCGCUUCCAAUACAAAGAAGGUACAAAAAUGAUUAGACACCUUGAUGCUUUUAAUAAGUUGAUUGCCGACUUGUUAAAUUUAGAUGAGGAUAUUAAGGAUGAAGAUAAGGCCUUAAUAUUGUUGAAUUCCUUGCCGGACUCUUAUGAGCAUUUUGUUACAACUAUUAUGCAUGGUAAAGAAACUGUGAAAUUUGAAGAUGUGUCAAAUGCCUUGAUGAAUUAUGAAAUGAGGCAUAGAGAUAAAAAUCAUGAUAGUACCUCUGAAGCUUUAUUUGUUAGAGGUAGAUCAUCGGAGAGGAGGUCAUCUUCUAGCAGGAAAAAAUCACAGUCUCGACCUAGAGGAAACUCUAAAGGUAGAAAACCUUUGGAAAGGGAUGAAUGUGCCUUUUGUCGUAAUAAGGGCCAUUGGAAGAAAGAUUGUCCCAAAUUGAAGACCAAAGGAAAAGAAAGUUCUGAAGCUAAUGUUGCUGAGGUUGAAACAGAUUUUUCUGAUUUUGCUUUAACCACUUCCUCAUCAUUUGAUUGUGCUACUAAGUGGGUGUUGGAUACGGGUUGUACUCAUCAUAUGACUCCUCACAAGGAUUGGUUUUCAAGCUUGAAAGAGUUUUGAUGGUGGCGUUGUGUUCAUGGGAGAUGACAAUCCUUGCACAACAAAAGGGAUUGGUACAGUUCGUUUGAAGUUGCAUGAUGGCAUGGUUAAAGAGUUGACAGGUGUUCGGUAUGUACCGAAUUUGAAGAAAAAUCUUAUUUCUUUGGGUACUUUGGAAUCUAAGGGUUUCAGGUUUCAUUCAGAUGGACAGACAUUGAAAGUUACUUAUGGUGCACUUGUUGUGAUGAAAGCUCCUAGAUGUGGCCAUUUGUAUUUAUUGCAGGGAAGCACUGUGACAGGUGAAGCAUCUGUAGUCUCUGAAAAUAUGGGCACAUCUGAUUCAGAUACUACUAGAUUGUGGCAUAUGAGAUUAGGCCAUGCCGGUGAGAAAGCUCUACAAGGGCUUGUGAAAAAAUGUCUUCUAAAAGGUGCCACGACUUGUAAGCUUGAUUUCUGCGAGCAUUGUGUCUUGGGAAAGCAAACUAGAGUGAAGUUUGGUACUGCUGUACAUCAGACGAAGGGCAUUCUUGAUUAUGUGCAUUCGGAUGUUUGGGGUCCUACAAAGACUCCCCUCUUUGAGUGGUAGACAUUGGUUCGUGACCUUUGUUGAUGAUUAUUCAAGAAGGUCUUGGGUCUACACUAUGAAGCAUAAGAGUGAGGUGUUAAGCAUUUUCUUGGGUUGGAAGAAAAUGGUUGAGAACCAGACUGGGAGAAAGAUUAAGAUUUUGAGAUCGGAUAAUGGUGGUGAAUACACAUCCGAUCCUUUCUUUAAAGUUUGCAAAGAGGAAGGAAUUGUGAGACAUUUCAGUGUUCGGGGAACUCCACAACAAAAAUGGAGUUGCAGAAAGAUUGAAUCGAACCUUGCUUGAGAAAGGUUAGAUGUAUGUUGUCUCAGUCGGGUUUAAGCAAGUCAUUUUGGGCAGAAGCAGUUAAUUAUGCAUGUCACAUCAUCAACCGGUUACCCUCAGCUGCUAUUCAGGGUAAGACACCAAUGGAGGUAUGGACUGGAAAACCUUCUUCUGAUUAUGAUCAUAUUCGUAUUUUUGGUUCACCUGCUUAUUUUCAUGUAACUGAAAAUAAACUUGAUCCUAGAGCCAAAAAGGCUAUCUUUCUUGGUUUUAGUAGUGGUGUCAAAGGUUACAGGUUGUGGUGUCCAGAGAUGAAGAAACUGGUAAUUAGUAGAGAUGUGACAUUUGACGAAGAAAGUAUGUACAAAGUCUCUGAGAAGAAUGUGAAAGAUGUCCAACAGGUGGAGCUUGAGAAAGUUGCUUCUGGUACUUCAAAUCCUAUUUCCGCUGAUGUCGAAGCCACUACAAGUGAAGAAGUUGGAGACCAUGAGGAUGUUGAAGAAGUUGAACUUGAAGAUUCUAUUCAAGUUGAAGAGCAAGUUUCACCUCAAGAGUCUAUUGCCAAGAACAGAGGAAAGAGACAAAUUACUAAGCCAGCUCGGUAUAGUGAUUAUGUUGCUUUUUGCUCUUCCUAUUAUCACUGAAGAGAUUCCAUCCAAUUUUGAGGAAGCUAUUGAGAGUGAGGAGAAGAAUAGGUGGUGCAAUGCCAUGGGUGAUGAGAUGAAUUCUCUCUUGAAGAACAAGACUUGGGAGUUAGCUAAAUUGCCUAAGGGCAAGAAAGCUAUUGGUUGCAAAUGGGUGUAUGCCAAGAAGGAAGAUGCUGAUGAGAAAAGCAAUGUGAGAUUUAAAGCAAGAUUAGUUGCUAAAGGGUAUGCACAAAAGGAGGGCAUUGACUACAAUGAAAUCUUUUCUCCGGUUGUGAAGCACUCCUCAAUUCGCAUUAUGUUAGCUCUUGUUGCACAGUAUGAUCUUGAGCUUGUGCAACUUGAUGUAAAAACGGCUUUCCUACAUGGUGAUUUGAAUGAAGAGAUUUAUAUGUGUCAACCAGAUGGGUAUAUAGUGAAAGGGAAGGAGAAUUUGUUUUGCAAAUUGAAGAAAUCACUUUAUGGUUUGAAGCAAUCUCCAAGGCAAUGGUAUUUGAGGUUUGAUAAAUUUAUGAGAGGCCAAAAUUAUUCUAGAAGUCAAUAUGAUCAUUGUGUGUACUUCAAGAAGUUGCAAGAUGGGUCUUUCAUUUAUUUAUUGAUAUAUGUUGAUGAUAUGUUGAUUGCCUCAAAGAAUGUCGAAGAGAUUGAGAAAUUGAAGAAGCAAAUGAAGAAUGAGUUUGAGAUGAAGGAUCUUGGUGAAGCGAAGAAGAUCCUUGGCAUGGAGAUCACUAGAGAUAGAGCAAAGGGUUUCGUCAGUUUGAAUCAAAAACAAUACCUUGAGAAGUUGAUUCGGAAGUUUGGAGUUCAUGAUUCAACCAAACCGGUUAGUACCCCUUUGGCUCCUCAUUUUAAAUUGAGUUCUCUACAAUGUCCUAAAAUCGAUAAAGAGAAACUGCAAAUGAAAAAUAUACCAUAUGCAAAUUUGGUUGGUAGUUUGAUGUAUGCAAUGGUAUGCUCUAGACCGGAUAUUGCUCAUGCAGUUGGCAUGGUGAGUCGAUAUAUGCAUAAUCCAAGUAAAGAGCAUUGGCAAGCAGCUAAGUGGAUAUUGAGGUAUCUCCAUGGUACUCGAGAUGUUGGUUUAUGCUUUGAGAGGGAUGACUCUGGUAUUGGUCAUUUUGCAGUUGGUUAUGUUGAUUCAGAUUAUGCAGGUGAUCUGGAUGGAAGGAAGUCUACUACAGGCUAUGUGUUUACUAUGGCUAAAGGGCCAGUUUGUUGGAGGUCCAUUUUGCAGUCGUCUGUUGCCUUGUCUACUACAGAGGCUGAAUAUAUGGCAGUUGCUGAAGCUAUAAAGGAGGCCAUUUGGAUACAUGGGCUUAUUAGAGAUUUGGGGGUUGAUCAGAAGCAGGUGGAGGUACAUUGUGAUAGUCAGAGUGCCAUUUAUUUGGCUAAGUAUCAGGUUCAUCAUGCGAGGACCAAGCACAUAGAUGUGCGUUAUCACUUUGUUCGUGAAAUUGUUGGUGAAGGGGAAAUCAUUCUCCAGAAGAUUCCAACUAAAGACAACCCCGCUGAUAUGUUGACUAAGGUUGUUGGUGUAGCCAAGUUUGUUCACUGUUUGAACUUGGCUCACAUUUUGCCUAUAUAAAGAAGGCGUUGAGUAGUAGGAGUUUUGGAGCAUUUGGCUCAGCAUGAGUUGUUCUCUUGCUAGUGUUUGGGAGUGAUGUUGUGUGCUAAUUGUGUUGGUUGGCUUAUCAUGGCGUUUUCGGAACUUGGCCAAGGUGGAGAUUGUUGGAUUAUGUGGCCAAGUGGCCAUAUACUUUAGAUUAAACAAACCAAAGGUGGACAACACCUUUCCUUGUUUUGGGGAGGAAAAUAGGGAAAAGGUUUUUUGUCUUGGUCCAUGGGAAGUCACGGUUGAGGUUUUGAAUAAUAAGUUUUGGUUGUAAUGAGAAGUAAGAGUGGGAUAGAAGAGAAGAAAAUAGAGUGCAGAAAAUUGAGAGAGCCGAAGAGAAGAGAGGGAGAGAAAGAAGGUACUGCUACAGUACCAUUUUCAGAGAAGGGGUUGUUGUUCCUUUCAUUGGAUAAUUCUCACUCCAUCAAAGUGUUAUUGUUGUAAUAGCUUUGAGCUUUGUAUAGAGAAGAAAUUAAUCACUAUAUUUCUUUCUCUAUUUGUUUCUUUGGAGUGUGAGUUAUUGGGUUAUUUGGGUUGUGAGAUUGCCAACACUUUGUAACUCCCAUUUGGUUGAUAGUGGAUUCUUGGGUGAGCUCCUACUGCUCCGAGGACGUACUCCAGUUACACUGACUGUUGAGGAACCUCGUUAAAAUCUUGGUGUCUUUAAUAUUUUGUUCUUGCAUUUUAUUUGAUAUAUUUCCUGUGGGUUAGCUUGAGUUGGUUCCACAAGGGUUUGGUGCUAUCCUAGCACAACAUCUUACUGGUGCACAUGAUUUAAAGAAAUAUACCAGCUGAUGCAAGGGCUGAUCUUCUUCGUUGGAGUAGAUAGUACGCGGUGCAAAGCACUAGAGCAGCAGCUAUAGAAAUGCCAAUCCAAACCCAUUUAUCUGCUGCAUCAUAAACAAUUAGCUAGCAACAUAUGCAAUCAGCGUAACACACACGCACAUGUACGCAUUAAUUGUCUUCAAUUUUUGGAUGAACUAGGUCUUGCAGGUUUCUUCCAGAAAACGAAGAAAAAUCCGAGACAGAGAGCAGAACUUAAGACAACAAUAACAAAGAUAGAGGUACCUAAUAAUACUGAUUCCACGCGUGUCACAGAUUUCCGGCUUAAAUCGGGUUUGCAGCCUCGGUAUAUAUCCUUCGGAUCAAGAAAAGAAAACCCUUUUGGGCAUUCGCAGGUUGGCCUUUUAUCUGGUUUGAGCUUACAGGUACUGUUGUAACCGCAAACACCAACGCCCAGUCGUAGGCAAAUAUCAUCCGGCAUAUACACCAGAGGACUAAUCCAGCUUGCAUUUCCAGUGAAGUAUUUCGGGUGAGAAUAUAAAGCGAAAAUCCCAUCAAAAUCAAGAGUUGCCCUUAUGUAGUUGUCCCUCACCGACACUCCCUCUGUCCCCUUAAGAGGGACUCUUCCAUCAUUUUCUCUCAGAACAGACAUGUCCCCUGAGCUGCUGAACACCAAUUCUUUGCCUUGACUACCUGGCACGUUCCCUGCGGUGGUCUUCGUGGAGAAGUAAGCUUUCUUGGCCUUAUCUGUUGUCAAGUUGACGGAAAUGAGCACGAGGUUUCCAUCAUCUUGCAAGCGCAGCUGGAACCGCCCUUUUGUGUAGUUAGUCUCCGAUUGUCUACACGAAAGCUUCCCAUUUCUCUCAAUUGUCUGUCCAGGCAAAACGGUGUCUGUAGGAUUGCUGAAGGUCUCCCACAAGCUCCCCGAGUUUUGGUGUUGAAGGACAAAGUUUCCGGUGUCAUUCAUGACCCCGUUCGCAACAGUCCCCAAGGUUAUUUCGGAUUUCCAUAUCUCUCCACCCUGAGGAUUGUUAAGAACUAGUCCACUGUUGGCAGUCAAGUUCAGAACUGAUCCCCUAGGUGCAACCAUGGGGUUGUUACCGUCGUAUGCAUACCAAACCACGGUUUUGUCUGGGAUAUUCGCAUACCAUAUCGAAAGCAAGAAAAGAUCAUUGUUUCCGAGGGGCGAAAAUCCAAACUCGAAAUCACCGGAUGGAGAAAGCCAUGAUGAGGAGUCGCCUAUAGUUGCAGUUAGAGAACUCCCAACUGCUACUCUUCCAUUAUUUUGGGAAAUCACAGAAAUUGGUAGCAAAAACAAAGAGAACAAAAGCAUCUCUACAGAAAGAGCCACUGCCAUUGCAAAAGCACCAAUUUUUCAACUUGGCUUAACUGAUUAGCUAUAUUUCUUAGUAAAGCAUUGGUCCUUGUUUAUAUCUUCAAGUAAAUGUGUGUGCAUGUGCCUGUCAUUUUCUAAGUUUUUGCCUGGAAUCAUUUUUUGAAGUCAAUGUUACCCAUCAGCCACGAUAUGACCUCAGACCUCGCUACAUCACACACAAUAAUAUCUCCGGGCCUACAGAAUAAUUUCUCCAAACCUACACAUAUCACAAGAAUUUCACUUUGAAAAAAAUAAUAUAAUGAACAGUUUUAUAUAUAAGACACCGAUACCGAUACUUUUUGUGAUAGAACUUAUUGUCUCUCUCAAUUCCUUGUAAUGUUGCAAGUUGGAGCAAUAUUGAUGUAAUUAGUAAUGGCCCGCUAACUUGCCUCUCUCAAAUCUCUUUUCAUCCUACUCUCGUCCCUCGUCCGUUUUAUGAUUCUACUUAAUUAAGCACUUAUAAGUGUUCCAAAUCAAACUUGUAACUUAAAUAAUUAAAAAUAUUUAUCACUACACUGGGGAUUCUAGGUUCCAAAAUAUAAUAUAUAAUAUAUAUGAAUGUUCCAAACCAAAAGGACAAGUAAAUACGAGCAUGACUCACGCUGCAUGUGUCGGCCAUUCAAGUCCACAAGUCAAAAUUCAACAAUGGGGCCCACAAAGAAAAUUUGAAAAAGUACAUGCAGAUUGAGGACGUAUACAAAGAAUCUGAAAACAAACCUCCAGGACCAAACAAAGACGACUAAGUCUCCAUUUCUGUAUUCACACAAACCAAAGUACUAACUGAAGUUUUUAAUGUAUGAUUACGUCAUUGGGGUAAAACACCCGAGGCCGAGUUGAGAUAAUCACAGGGUUGGGGAAUCGAGAUCCUCUCCGAAUGUCACAGUCUGGCACAAACGAACGUAGAGAUCCGAACCACUUAUUUUAAAUUCUACGGUCUUCAUUAGCCUAUCCUAUUGGCCCACAUCACACAAGGGGCCCAAAUCUUUCUCUCCCCUCUCUUGAACGGUUUGGAUAUCUCGGUCUGUCGAUUUUGGAUUGGGAGAUUCAAAGAGAAUUUGAUUUCGGGUUUGAGGUGUGGUUCGCCGACCAUUUGAAGCUCGUUGAGGCGUGGCCCAUCUCAUCCACGUCGGGAUAGCCAUUUCGUACCAAGUUGGAUCCCAGGUCAGGCCAGUCAUUUCAUUAGCCUAAGAUAGACCUGACAGACGAGGCGCUUGGAUAUUGCCUACCGCGACCAAAUGGACCCAUGGGCUCAUUAGAUGAUGAGUCUGGACCCUGGGGUGUGUAAAGCCCACCUCAGCUCGAUCCAUAUUCGGUCGAUACUUAAGGGAAGGUGGAUAUGGGGUAAAGGUAGAGUAAGCUCCAAGCCAUGUGGAGGUCAGUCGAGAUUGAACACACAUUCAUAGAAUCAUAGUAUGAAAUUCAAGUCCAAAUUUUAACACUACGAAACCGAAAAGCAUGCAACUCCGAAGAGCAUUGUUUCAGUCCAACAACCUAAACUUCCUUAAAAAACUAAGACAAAAACGACGACACUAGUAAACGGAAAAACAUGCAACUCAGAAAACCAUUGCUCUAGUCUAAAUGAGGUUCCUCAAUGCCUCAAGCUUUUCUAAACACCAUAGCCUGAACCUUUUCCUUUGCGCCUUCUUUGCUUCACCAGAAACGUUCUUAAUGAGCUUCCUUCAAAUUUGGGACGAGCAGGCAUUAGGCUGUGCACAAUGCUGUAAAUGCCCCUAGCCCUUGCCACACCCUAGGUGCGUACGCUUGCAUGUCCGACCUGAGUUAUCUCAUUACGCGCGCAGUUUGAUCUUCCCGUAUUGACAUCCCUGCUGUCUAUUCUCAUGCGAAUCCUUUUGCUGGUGACUUCAUCCGGGUCCAUUUUCUUGCUCCUCAGUGCAUGUUCAUCUGCUUUUCCCUAUUAAUAAAUAUAGGAAUCCCAUAACAAACAGCAUUUGACAAAACAGAACGUAAUAAUAACAACAAAACUUGACUUCAUCCUCAUUGCAUGUUCAUCUGCUUUUCCACUUCAAAGCAGCUGACGGCACGAUUCGUACUUGGACUCCAAGAUGUCUAGAUUAUGGAGAAACUAUCCCUUUGUCCAAAACACACAAAGAAGUGGAUUUUCCGUUUAUACCAAGUGUGUUGAAGCAUGUCCCACAUGGCCACAUCGGAAACUUGUUGAAGUUUAAAUCCUCUUAUAUAGAAAGUUCGACUACUAAUUGCCUUGAGGCCUUAAUUUUGUAUAAAACCAUACCUAUUGAAUUGCACACGUGCUUAAGUUAAGGUUAGUAUUAAUGGUAAUUAGUAGUGGGCCGCUGGUCGUCUUCAAAAAACUGGUACAAAGGGAAGAUUUAUAGAAGCAGUGUUGAGAUAAAGGCAAUUCAUCUGUUCUUUUUAGAAGGAUAUAAAUGAAGCAAGGUUUAUCUGCUCACCCGUAAUGCGGCUCAGCCCUUCAUCAAAAAGUGAAAUAUCAAAAUUACUUUUACAGCAAGAGCAAUACCAGAAGAUGUAAUCUAAAUUGUUUAUAUUUGGUUCCCUUGAAAUCCUUUUGACUGUUUCAACAUAGUAUAUGUUGGUAUUUAAAAGUUUAGAAACUUAAUACCAAUUAUGUGGGUGAUAGGUUUUCUAACUCUAUCACACCUCUAUCUCUUUUACUCUCUUUGAAAAUGGAUCGAUAGAAAGAAAAAACAGCAAGCUUCUUAAAGAAACAAGUACUUGAUAUAUUAAAAGAGUUUCAACUCUAUUGCUGAAAAUAUGGAAUGGAAUUACAAAGAGCCUUACGGAAAGGCAUUCUUAUACUUGCAAAAAACAAGAGAACCACACAAGUGGUUUUCAUAAACAAAUGCAAACAAAGACUUUCUAGACUUAGCUAGUGGAAAACUAUCCAUGCAAAAUAAAAUAAAGGGGUUCAAAGUCUUUACUUGCAGCAGUUUUAGACUAUUGAACACACACACACACACACUACUUUAUUCUAGUGGUUUACAACCACAUUUCGGCUAGCACAGAAGAGAAGCAUUAAUUUGGGUAAGUGCAGGAAGUAUGAGUCAAAAGAAACAGCUAGCAGCCCACUAACAUUGAAAUAAUGUUUUUAUUUGAACUUCCAACACUCCCCCUCAAAUCAAAACACCUUCAUUCCUAGCAUGUCAUGCAGCAGCCGGAAUGAUUCAAUUGGCAGUGGCUUUGUGAAGAUGUCAGCCACUUGUUCCUUGGUGUGACAAUAGAUAAGCUCAAUUAUCUUUUGCUUCACAUGAUCCCUCAGAAAAUGGAACCUGGUAUCGAUGUGCUUGCUCCUUCCAUGUUGAACAGGAUUCUUUGCAAGCUUGAUUGCAGACAUGUUAUCCACAUGAAUCACAGUAGAUUCCACUUGUGGAUGACAUAAAGAUUUCAACAGAUUUCUUAACCAAAUUGCCUCACACACAGUUAAGGCUGCAGCAACGUACUCGGCUUCACACGAUGACAGAGCAAUAAUUGAUUGCUUCUUUGAAGUCCAUGAGAAAGCUGUUGAUCCUAGAAAAAACACAUAGCCAGUUGUACUUUCCCUUUCAUCUUGGUCACCUCCCCAAUCACUAUCUGAAUAACCAAAUAAUUUUGCAUCUUCACCAAAAUUAUAAAACAGACCAUAGUUUAGAGUGCCUCUUAUGUACCUUAAAAUUCUCUUGGCAGCCAACCAAUGAGACUCAUUUGGUGUUUCCAUGUACCGACUCACGAGUCCAACACCAUAAACUAUAUCUGGUCUUGUGAUUGUAAGGUACCUCAAGCUUCCAACGAGGCUUUUGUACACGGUUGAGUUUACAAGCUCACCUUCUCCUUCCUUGGACAGUUUCAAUCCAGUUGCAACUGGAGUGUUGACAAUAUUGCACUUGUCCAUAUUGAAUUUCUCCAAUAUAUCUCUCAUGUACUUUUGUUGAGAGAUGUAGAUACCGUUACUUUCUUGCUUCACCUCUAUGCCAAGAAAGUAUGACAUUAAUCCAUUGUCAGUCAUCUCGAAUUCACUGAACAUGGAUUGCUUGAACUCACAGAACAUUGCUUCAUUGUUUCCUGUAAACAACAAGUCAUCUACAUAGAGACAAAUAAUUAAGAACUCCCAUUUUUCACCGUUCUUCAUGUAAACUGAAUGCUCGUAUGGACAUUUCUGAAAUCCAUUUUGGUGAAGGUAGUUAUCAAUCCUUGAGUUCCAAGCUCGUGGUGCUUGCUUGAGGCCAUACAAAGCCUUUUUCAAAUGAUACACCUUAUCUUCUUCUCCUUGUACUCGGAAGCCUUCCGGUUGUUUCACGUACACUUCUUCCUCAAGAACUCCAUUAAGGAAGGCUGACUUGACAUCUAGUUGAUAAAUUUUCCAUUUAUGAUGAGUGGCAAGAGAGAUUAGCAAUCUUACCGUGUCAAGUCUUGCAAUUGGAGCAUAGACUUCAUCAUAGUCCACUCCAUACUUCUGUUUGUAGCCCUUUGCUACAAGCCUUGACUUGUAUCAAUCCACACUCCCAUCUGCAGUGCGUUUGAUCUUGUACACCCACUUGACACCAAUAGCCUUCUGAUUUGGUGGGAGCUUUGUCAACUCCCAAGUGUCAUUCUUCUCGAUGGCAUGGAUUUCUUCCUCCAUGGUUAUUCUCCAACGAUCUUCUUCCACAGCUUCAUUGAAUGAGAGAGGCUCGUGGUCUACAUACAAGCAGAAAAAAUUGGUUUCUUCUUCUUCUUCUUGUCCAUAUAUCUCGGUGAGACUUCUUAGCCUCACUGGAGUUGAUGAGCUGCUUUCCUCACUGGAUGUAGGACCACUCCUUGCAAUUCUGUGCACUGGAGUUAUUGUGGUUAUUUGAGCAGGUUGUUGCUAGAUAGGUGGUACAACUUCUGGUUCUUCAAAAUCAGUGGAAACAAUCUUCUCUUUACUGACUUCUUUGUUGUUCCACUUCCAUGCAUCUUCCUCACUGAAGAUGACAUCUCCACUAACCACUAAUUUGCCAGUUAGUGGGUUGUAGAGCUUAUAUGCCUUUGACUCUUCACUAUAGCCCACAAACACACACUUUUCACCUCGAUUAUCAAGCUUCCUCCUCUUGGCUUCUGGAACCUGAGCAUAUGCAACACACCCAAAAACUCUUAGGUGUGCAACAUUCGGCUUGUAUCCACUCCAAGCCUCUUGUGGUGUCAUCCUCUUGACACUCUUUGUUGGACAUCGAUUCAACAAAUAAAUUGAACAAGCUACAGCUUUUGCCCACAAUUCUUUUGGCAAAUUCUUCUCCUUAAGCAUGGACCUUGCCAUGUCAAGGAUGGUUCGAUUCUUUCUUUCGGCUAUUCCAUUUUGCUGUGGGGUAUAGGCAGUAGUCAGUUGAUGCCUAAUUUCUUGCUCCUUGCAAUAUGCUUGGAAAGCAUUGGAGGUGUACUCUCCACCUCUAUUUGAUCUCACAGCCACAAGCUUGUGGUUGCUUUCAGCCUCUGUGAGUGCCUUGAACUCCUUGAAAACUUUUAGGGCAGCUGACUUCUCCUUGAGAAAAUAGACCCAAGUCUUCUUACUGAAAUCAUCAAUGAAGGUAAUAAAAUACCUAUUACCUCCAUAGGACAUAGGAUCUAACGGACCACAUAUAUCCGUAUGUACCAACUGCAGUGGUGCUUUUGCUCUCCAUGCAUCACCAACAGGGAAUGUGAGCCGUGUUUGCUUGCCAAGCACACAACCUUCACAUACUUGGCGUGUGGCUUCAAUCUGGGGUAGACCACGAACCAUUCCUCCACUUGACAGCAACUUUAGGCCAUUGAAAUGAAGAUGGCCAAACCGAAGAUGCCAUUUCCAUGACUUAUCUUCCAUUACACCGAUGUUGCAACUCCCAAUCCUUGUGUUCAACUUCAAUGGGAACAUUCGGUUCUUUGACAUUUGAACACGUGCAAUAAGUUUUCUCCUUGCAUUCCUAAGAGUGAGAAACAUAUCCUCCAUAUGUAUAAUAUACCCUUUCUGGAGCAGUUGACCAACGCUCAGAAUGUUGCUCUUCAUACCUGGUAUGUAGUAGGUAUCGAAGAUGUAUUCUUCUCUACCAUCCUUCUGGAUGAUUUUGAUCUUUCCUUUGCCUUCAACUGGCAACUUUGAGGAGUCACCAAGACUCACAGAUCCAUAAGGCCCAUCUUUGAGUUCGGCAAAAAACUCUUUCUUUCCACACAUAUGGUUGCUUGCACCAGAGUCCAAAUACCAAACAUCUUGUUGGUUACUGGAAUCAUGGUGUGCUAGUAAGACUGUAAAUUCCUCACCAGCAUUUCCACUUGAUUCUGCCAUGUUGACAUGCUCACCAUUUUUAUAUGAACAUUCACCUUUCCCAGACCCUGCGUAAAGCGGGAGCCUUGUGCACUGGGUACGACCUUUUUUUUUUUUUUUAUUCAUUGGCAUAAUGUCCAUAUUGCUUGCAACUGUGACACUGGAUAUGUGCCUUUCCUCGAGUAGAUCUGCAUUCUUGAGACUGAGCUCGAUUUUGUGCAUAGCCUCUACCUCUUCCUCGGGCUCGUCCUCGGCUACAGUUGGAUGAAUUCCCACGACGUGAGUUCCACUGCCCACGACCUCCAUUUGGUUUGUCAAUAUUCAACUUUGACUCCAAAGCUUGCUCUAGCGUUGUGGGGCUUGCAUUCUUCUGAAUGCGUUGCUCGUGAACUAUGAGGGAUCCUAGUAGCUCCUCUGCGCUCAUCGCCUCCAAAUCCUUGGAUUCCUCAAUGGCAGUCACCACAUGCUCAAACUUAGAUGUGAGUCAUGUGAGUGACUGGAGUAUCUUCUCCACAACUCGUACUUCAUCGAGUCUCUCGCUAUUUAUCCUCAUCUGAUUUACUAUCACAAUGAGCCUUGAGUGAUAGUCGGAGAUGCUCUCCCCUUCAUUCAUGUGAGUAGUUUCAAAAUCUGCUCGAAGUGACUGUAACCUCACUUUCUUGACUCGAUCUACUCCUUUGUAGAUUGUACUGAGUGUGUCCCAUACUUGCUUGCUCGUUGUUGCUUCUGCAACCUUCUCAAACGUUGAAUCUUCUAGACCCUGGUAUAGAAGAUACAACGCCUUCUGGUCCUUCUUUCGUAAGUCCUUGAGAGUGUUCCUUUGUUCUGCAGUAUAUGCGGCUUCUUGAUUGGCAGUGGGUACAACAUACCCAUUACUGACAACUUCCCAUAGCUCCUGUGAUCCAAACAAUGCUUUGAAUUGGAUGCACCAUCUUUCAUAAUUUUCUUUCUUCAAUGUGGGAACCUGGAGCUGCACUAAGUUGGACGCCAUAACUGCUGCACUUGCCAGAAUGGUAUUCUGGCUCUGAUACCAAUUGUUGGUAUUCAAAAGUUUACAAACUUAAUACCAAUUAUGUGGGUGAUAGGUUUUCUAACUCUAUCACACCUCUCUCUUUCUUUUACUCUCUUUGAAAAUGGAUUGAUAGAAAGAAAAAACAACAAGCUUCUUAAAGAAACAAGUACUUGAUAUAUUAAAAGAGUUUCAACUCUAUUGCUGAAAAUAUGGAAUGGAAUUACAAAGAGCCUUACGGAAAUGCAUUCUUAUACUUGCAAAAAACAAGAGAACCACACAAGUGGUUUUCAUAAACAAAUGCAAACAAAGACUUUCUAGACUUAGCUAGUGGAAAACUAUCCAUGUAAAAUAAAAUAAAGGGGUUCAAAGUCUUUACUUGCAGCAGUUUUAGACUAUUGAACACACACACACACUACUUUAUUCUAGUGGUUUACAACCACAUUUCGGCUAGCACAGAAGAGAAGCAUUAAUUUGGGUAAGUGCAGGAUGAGUCAAAAGAAACAGCUAGCAGCCCACUAACAUUGAAAUAAUGUUUUUAUUUGAACUUCCAACACUAUAUGCAGAGAGAACCAGAACCAAGUCCAGACUCACUCGUAAUAGGUCUCUCCUCAUCCACAACAAUAUCCCAGCUUUCCCUUGUCGUGGUUUUCCCAUAUUUGUGCACCUUACUGCAAAGAGAGAGCAAGUUAACUUGUCAAAGAAAAACCAGAACAAUAGAUGCCAAUGCAGUUCAGAAAGUUUAUUUCCCUUCAUACCCAUUUCCAAAGUGCUCUUCUCCCCAUGUCCUUGACCAACCUAGACAUGAGAGAACAAAAACAAAGUCACAUCAGAUUAAAUUAUUGAAAGAAAAAGGUUCACUUACAAAUCGACAUUAGAAUCAAGCAACCACGCUAUGAAAUACAAAUUUAAAAUGUAACAAUUUACUGUGUCUGAAAGGAAUCUGUGAAAUAAAAUAGUUAAACCCUAAACAGCACCACUGCAAAUAGCAUAAGAAAAUUAAAAUUAACCCUAAAGAAAUUGGGAGAGAAGAAUAUGAAAAGGGAAUACCUUUCGGCCCUUUGAGUUAUUGGAAAAAACCCAACAGAGCAAAAGAUAAACAAAAAUACAGGAGGAAAGAAAAUAAAUUUUCAACUUGUAAGAUUCAUACACGAACAGAUUGGCGGUCAAAAGCAUUUCGAAACUCAGAGCCAUCAAGCUUUUUGAUCUGCAUGGAAAUUAUUUAUGAAGUUUGAGAUUCUUAUAGAUGCUUUAGACACAUCGACAUAUUGAAAAAGCAAUAUUCAACAACCUAGUACCCAUGCUCCCUAGAAGGGUACAGAAAAUAUGAAUGUCUGGACUCUGGAGUGAGAAAGUAAAAGGACUUGCCGCAUACUUCAUAUCUUCCAAGUUUGUGUAGUCUACAAUCCCUGUUGUGCCUACAAAAAAGGCAUAGGACAAAAGCUAAAUCAAUCGAAAUUCUGAUGUCUCAUGAUCUAGGUCUUAGGAUUAAACUACUGAAAUAACACUACAUGAAAUAGCUGUGUAUAUCCCAAAAAAAGUAUGAAAUCUGGUUGAUAAUUGAAGACUUCGAAGGGAUUUACCUUUGGAUUCUUUGGCUUUCAGAUGGAGUUUGCUUAUGUGUGGGGGAGAGAGGUGGAGCGGCUAGGGCUUGAGUAUGGAAGAGAUGAAAAAUGCAGAGAGCACCUGUUUUCGCUGAAGCAACUCACACACUCUGGACAAAUCUGCAAAUGUCUAAAAGGGGGAAAAUAUAAAAAGAAACCUUAACAACUGAAUUCAAAGAAACAUUAUUACAUUGUAAAUAACAUUUCACAAAAAAAAAAAAAAAAAAAAAAAACUGAACUAAACUAAUUACACUCGGAUUGCAAUGCUAUCAUUUAAUAAUAGGAAUUCCCAUAACUUAGCAGAAGACCUGCAUCUGCAAAGGAUUCUUUAAAACCUAUUUUUUUUGAACAACCCCGCACCUACAACACAUCCAGGCAAGGUAAACCAAUAGCACCCUCAUUCUAAGCUCUUCUGUGCAUAUAUACCCCUUAUAAGUAAUCUUAAUCAAUCAGUUAUCAUGAAUAUAGUCAGUUAUCACGAAUAUACAACUUAUAUUAAUUUUCUACAAUAUCCAACACACAAAUAUAACAGAAGAGGAAACUUUUACUUAAGCAGCACAAAAUGAUAUCCUUUGCAUUUCAUUCCAAAAUCCAUCACUCUUAUGUCUUUGCCUGCACAGUUUUUGCUCCAACAUAGCCCGCCAUGAUGAUAGCACUAUCAAUAAUUAAGACAUAAAGAAAGGCUAUCCUAGCUAGGUAUUAUCAUUGGAGUAAACCAACAACACCAUAAGUAAAGUAGCAGACCAAAUUUUUUCUAGAAUUGAUGUCUUAACAUGUUUAAGUAGCGAAAAGAUUACAACACAUUGGAUGUGUUAACACAUCCAUAAGCUAAUGACUCCCUCUCCGGAUCACUACAUCAUUCUUAAUGUAUUCAACAAUGCAGCAGCAAUUAAAAGUCCUUGGAAAAUGCCAAGCUACUACAAUGACAUAACGAAAAACUAUAUCUCACCUUACCCCCUUGUUGGCAUAGACUGCAUAUCCGCCCUUGUUCGGGGUGAAUCAUAAUCCUGAACUCAAUUAUCAUCAUCGUUGAGAAUGUCAAACUUUAAAUCAACCAUGCAUGGAACAAAACUUAGAAAUUAAACAAUUAUCAAAGCUUAUGAAGAAUGCUAAACCCAACUAAUUCGAAACAUAAAGUAACCCAAAAGAGAGAAAACUUAUAAAUUUUACAUAAAUUAUAAUCCUUAACAGAAGGAUGGAACAAAGCAGGUUCAUUCUUGAGAAUAGAUGUAAUUUUGCACAUUGCAUAUAUGUAGAUUAAGGCUGGUGGUAACAUACCUUGUAAUUUGUACAAAUUAGGAUUUUCAUUCAAAGAACCAUAAUAUACACAAUUACAAAAACAGUGAUUCAAACUUGUUCUUCUCUUAAGGAAAUUACUCACAGUUGAAAUUCUGAAUGGACGAAGUUUUGGCAUCCCUUUCUGACUAUAUUUGAUUAACCUUUUUUUAAUCCAAUGAGUGCCUUCAUGAGAGAGAGAGAGAGAGAGAGAGGAAUAUUAGGUGAAAUGUAUUGCCAAAUCACACAGAGAUCAAAAUCUUGAAUAUAUAUGUUUAACCAUAUCAAAGUGAGUGUGUGAAAGGGUGUAGUCUGCAGAAAGGGCAACAUUUUCACUGCUAGAAAGUUGGAAACUAAACUUUUACACAGAUAUUGGAUUUUAUUAAUUCCCUCCGCGAAUUGAAAAGCAAAUUGUUCGAGUAAUGCAGGUAAAUUCGAUAUACAUAUGCGUUGAUCUAUGUAAGACAGUUAUAAGUUAUAACUGUAUCGUCUUAACACAAAAAUGAUCAUAAAUGUAAGUGUCUGUAUUAUGGAAGUAAGGGACUUACAGCAAUUGCUAUGAGCUAUAACAGCAGUCACUCCAAGUACCCUAUUAUGGAAGUAAGGGACUUAUAUCAAUUGCUAUGAGCUCUACCAGCAGUCUCUCAAAGUGGUGCAACGGCUAAAAUUAUAAAUAAAAAGUAAUUUAAACAAUUUAACUUAAUAAAAUAUUGUAAUUUAAACAAUGCCUAUAUAUUCAAACAUCCCAAAACAGGAAUGAACUUCCAAAAAACAUGCGCAUGAAAAUAAACGGCAUUACUCACCCAUUGAGUUGGACCAUCAAACUGGAGCGUAAGAAGGAUCAUCAUGUACCUAUGAAACCCAAAGGAAACUUUUAGCAACCCCAAAGCUUGUAUGCAAGCGUGAAUAAGUAUGCGUGUAUGAAUCUAUUCAUAGUGAAGAAGGCUACCUUAAGAAAUAUUUGCAUCUGCAGCUUCAUAUGGCCAUACAACAAAAAGCAUCGCAUAUGAUAACAAACCCCAGCUGCACCACAAAAGGAAUAUGAUCUUCCUCUCAACUUGUAUUUGCAGUUGUUACUGUAACAUCUGCAGACAGCAUACAUAAGCACUGAUUCGAAAAUUCUAAAGGAAAAAAAGUCCUUAUUCGAUAAUGCACCAAAUCCUAUCCGAAAACCAAGGGGGUGCCAUAUCCCUAGAUUAACAGAGCAUCUUUCUUUGUUCCAAAACAAAUUGCAAUUGGCUUUGGUAAAGUAGAAAGAUUACCAGAUACCGACUCUGUUCCAUUAUUCGACUGUCCUUUUAGUUCUGUCUCUCAACAUGGGAAAUACAAUAAGACAGUAAAAACAAAAGUUAGUGAUGCUAUUACAUAGUGAAAGAAAAUAAGACAUUCACAUAUUGAUAGCUAUUUACUGUCCUUUCUCAUCAUAAUCUUGGCCCAUAUAUAUAUAUAUAUAUAUUGAAUUUUGAAAGCAAUGAGAGAAAUAUACCUUUGGGGCGUCACUGCCAGAAGGGUGAGUGAGGGAUCUAAGAUGUUUGAGAGCAGAAAUUUUUAAGUAAUUUGUGCGAAAAAGUUGAAGAGCUUCGAACAGAGUGGAGUGGGUUGGCCUGGGCUAAAAUAAAGAGGAUGAACUCUAGAAAGUAGAAAAUGUUGUGUUCAACCAAACUCAAAAGUAAAGAAACCAUACAAUUAACAUAUAAAUAAGUUUUAUAUACCAAUGAUUACAUGUACGUUGUUUGAGAAGGUAAAUUAGCAACAUAUACAGUGAUCAAAAGAUUAACAGCAAUAAACUGCUCAUUAUUCAAAAUAUACAAGAAAGUUGUCAUUCACAUGAUCCAAAUGGUAGAGGACAAAACAGAAGGAAGCAAAUAUUAUAGCAGCAUAAGUUGAAUAAUUGCAGCAAGUAAACAAAUAGAAAGGCUAGCUAGAUUACACAAUCCAGUUCUAGGUCAGACUAACCAUGUUAGCCAUCCGCCCACCACCAUCACCGUCGGCUUCUUAUUAAAAAUGUAGAAUAGAAGACUCAAAAACUGGAAAUGAAAGUAGGUAACAUUGAGUUUUAAUAACCAAAAAGGGACACUGUUUAAGCAGCUCCACAACAGCAAUAAUACUUGGACGAUGAGCUGCAAAAACAGAAAAGAAAACACAAAUUAAACUAAAAAAAUAUAAAAUUUAACACUAAUCCAAGGAUUAAAUAUCAAAUAUAAAGUCAUUAGGAUUGGGACCUUUGCAUUGAGGAAUAUCUACUACAUUAUGAGUUCCCUCCUGAUAAAGCCCAAUCAGGGGGUUUUCCGAUGAGCCAAGAACGGCUAACUUUGCGUGACACCGCCAUCCCCACUAACACCAAACCAAGAUAAUAUCAAGAUCAAAACUAACCAAUACCAGAAAGAUUUUUUUAUUUAAAUUUUAAGAAAAGACCUAAACUUUACGAAAUUAAGGGGGAAAACAAAGUUAAGUAAAGCACCAAUUUGCAACUGUCAAAAGUGAAAUAUGAGACUGCAACUGCCUAGAAGAACUCCGUGGCCUCAUCGACGAUGACCGGAUGGUGGAGAUUGAACUGGUGCGUACACCUGGAGCACCUGAUUAUACACCGAACAUAGAACAAAAUUUAAAUCAAGUCGAACAAUAAUUGUGAGAAAAUAAACUAAAAGGGAUUUGAGCUGAGAGUUACGAUUCGAAGUGCGGCAAUGGAGGGUGCAGGUUAGCGGCGGCAGAGGAGGGGUUGAGCUUGGGCUCAGUGAGAGAGAAGGUAGUGCUAAAGGCACUAUUUGUCAGCCAAUCAUGUAAUAGGCACACCACUUUUCUAUAUAUGACAAAAAUUAGGAGUUCUCCAAACUAAAGCAUGAAAUUAGAUUCACCAGAGAAUUGGAAAUUGCACAUGAAAAAAAUAAUAUACAUCAUGCCAUUUGUGAUUUUGAAAGAAAAAAAGAAUACCUUCUUCAGGUCCGCUUUAGUAGGUGGAGGCUCUUGAUAGAAGAUUGGCAUUGGAGUCGUUUUACAAAUCAGUUUCUUCCUGAACAUCCUAAUGUCAGCUUCUAGAGUUUCCUGUAAAAGAACAGACAACAUUCAUAAUAAGAAAAUCUCUCUCUGCAAUCGUAGAAAUCCCUCGGGUUUCAGGAAGCAAAUGGAAAACGAAAUGCUUUUCUCCCGUAUCUCUCUCUCUCACCUCUGUCCCAUCUCUCUGUCUCCAAAUCGCAGAAAAGAAACCCUAAACAAAUCCCUGAAAUCCCUCGCCUAAAUCCUCCCACAUUUCUCUCGGACACCCCCCUCUUUCUCUCUGCAAACCCUAAACCAAAUCUCCUAAAUCCUAUCUUUGACACCCCACAUACAGCCAAGAUAUUAAAGCAAUCUCUAUAUAAUACUUUGGAACAAUGAAGAAAAAUGGUACUUACUUGUUCCUUGUCCAAAACCGUUGGUGCUGCCGCACAUUGUUAUCAAUUGUGGGUUGAUCAAAUCCUUCAUGGCUUAGACUGCAUGAAGAAUUAGAAACUAAAAGAUGAAUAUAUGCCGUAAAUCAUCAUAUAAAUGUAAGUGCAUUUAAAAAAAAAAAGGGAAUGACAAAAUUGAAUUCUAUUUCAUCAGUAUGUAACUGCAUGAAAAGUUACUUUGAAUGAAGACUCGAUCAAUUUCCCCAAAGUCAUUGUUAACUGAAAAUCAAUAUCAAACCCAUAAAUACCACAUUGAAUUUGACCAAGUUAAAGGAUAAAGGCACUCGCAUCAUCGUAUUACUCUUUGGGAAGAUCUUCUAAUAAUGGUUCUUCCUUUUUCUUGCUCUUCCUUAGAACUGCCAUAAAAACCCCAGAGAAGCAUACAAAUUCAGAAAAGAAAAGGUUCAAAACUGCCAUAAAAAAAAUCUAGAAAGCAUACAAAUUUAUCAGAAAGAAAAGUUCAAAUUACAAAUACCAAAUGAUGUGAGUAAGUAGUGAGAGGUUGUGUUAGGCACCUGAAACACGUUUUGGUUUCAAUUGAAAGGGCCAGAGACAACAUCCACAUUCUUUUUUCUUGGGUGAACUAACCAAAUCAUAUUAUAUACUAAAACGACAUAAAAAAUCAUUCACAAACUCACAACAAAAUAGAACAAAAAGAUUCACAAAAGAUUUGGGAGUUGAGACGCUAACAAAAACAUUUCUUUUCUAAACAAAUACACAACCGCUAAUCUGGGUUUGGUCAGUUUGACUAAAACGGUGCGCUAUUUUGCAUCUAAAUAUAGUAUAUCGCUUAAAUAAAAUUAAUAAAAAAUACACAUCCAAUGCUUUUAGUCUAAAGCUAGAAUUAGGAAUAACUGAGGAAGUUAAUGAAGGCAAAGCAGAGGGUAGGAAGCAGAACAUACCAAGAGACCAGUAGGCCAUCGGGGCCGGUCUGCCGAUGAACGCUGUGUACUGGUUGACAACGCCCAACGGAGUUGGCGCAGAAAAGAAGUAAAAGUCGAAACCACCCUCAAUGACCUUGUAGGUGAGAGAAGUCCCUCUGUAGAACACAUCCAUGCCAUUGCUGUUGAGCAGCAAAACGGAGUGCGCGUAAGCCUCGUUGCCCACAUUCCGGAGAUCCAUGUAAACUGGGUGGGACCCGUACAAAUCAGUGUUGAGAUUGAUCGCUGAGAAGUUAGUGGUGAAGAGGAUGUAUUUAUCGUUCGGGUAGAGCUUGAUCCCGUGCGGCUGAGAGUUCUCUUCGAGGCCGUACAAGGAGGAGUAUUUCGGCACUCGGGUGGAUAUCUUGAGGUCUAGUCCUUAAACACCAGUACUAGUCCAAUAAACCACUCCGCUUUUAUUGAUUUUCAAUUCAUGUUCAUUCGGGUCCCAAACAAGACUGAACGGCCCCAGAGCCGGGUUGUAGGUAUCUACAUAUGAUAUAAGUGCCCACGUGGCCAUCAUUGCGGUUGACACCUAACUUCAUACCCGGUAAAAAUGUGUAUCCAGGAUAAUCACUUCAGCCGAUCGAGGGUGAUUUGAGGUGUUUUCUAGCUGAAUUGGACUUCGACCCAAGUAUGAAAGUUGUUCCUCUUAUCGAGAUCUUCAUUCAUGUAAAAUUUGGGAAUUUUAGAAUUGUUGAAUUCUCCGGCGAGUCAGGGCUACCAGCCGCCACGUGUUUCGGCGCAUGGCCCUUUGGCCGCUGUCCCGUGGCGACUCGUGCGGUGAUGUAUGCAGGAAAACCUAAGGUUCCUCCUUAGGUUUUUCAAUGUACCAAACCCGAAUCCGCCGUCCUUUUUUCAAAAUUCUAACGUUUUCAUAGAGUUUUAUUAAACGACCUUUAAUUGUGUUUAGGUGCAUCGGUGGAGGUGACCUCAUUCUUGAUGGUUCGAGCGGCUUUCGGGCAAUGGAAAACUUGUGAGUGGACCCCUUCUAAACUUAUAUAUUGUUAUAAAAUAUUAGCCUAGCAUGCAUUCCAUAUUUCAUGAUUUGAAUAUGAUUUAUAAUAUGCUUUAUGGACUUUUAUAAUUAUGGUUUACGAAAUAGUUUGAUUUAUCGAAAUUACGUUUUAUUAGGUAUUGAAUUAUUGGAUUUGCAUAUAUGGAUUUCUAUGGUUUUCAAAUACGAUUUAUAUUACGGUUUUACGAACAUGAAUUAUUUUAUGGAUUUCAUGAAUACAAUUUAUCUUGGAUUUAUGAGAUGAGAAUUUGAGCUAGUGAGCUCCGGGUUUGAUAUAAGUUUUGAGAUAUGUUUUUGGUACUUAUCUAGUGGGUUAUCAUACGGCACAUCCGCACACCACGGGUAUAGAAUUGUAUGGCCAUAGGACACAGAUGAUGAGGAGGAGUAAGAUAUGAUAUAUUAUAUACCCCCAGUUCACUGUCGAAAGUAGUGUCAGAUAACUUCACUAGCCAUGGCUAGUGUCGGUAUGGAUGUUAUGCUAUUUCAUACAGCUUCACCUUCGGGUGAUAGACAGGUUAUUUAGCUUCACCUUCGGGGUGAUGGACAUGUACUACCUUCGGCCAACUAUGAUAGCCUUUGUUGAGUACUUCACUGACAAGAUUUACAAAUUUGCCUUCGGGCGACGGCAUUUUCAUUAUCAAGCAUUGGAUUUUACAUAUCUACCUUCUAAAUGGAUUUUCAUGGCAUGCUAGGGUUUUUCAUAAAGCCUAUAUGUAGUAUUAUAUAUGUUUUCAAAACAAGGGGUUAUUAUGUUCAUAAAUAAAAUGUUUUCCUAUUAUUAGUAUUAUUAAUAUAAACUUUGGUCCACUCACAUUUUCAGUUUUUGCGCCUCCACAGGAGUUAGGAUCGAGGCACAUGAUCCCGGCAUCAUGGCAUGUUGAUAUAGGUAUCCUUGAAUCUUCCCAGUGUAGAUAUCAUUCCCUUAUUCAUAUCUUUUUAUAGUGAUUCUUCCCUAUUAUUUCUAAUUAGUUGUAUGCUCUAAACACAUUCCUGCUUUGGUAUAAUCGUUAUAACUACUUAUCUUGUAAUUGUUUGCAUGUUUAAAAUGGUUUCGUCACCCUUGGGCGUGGGCUAGCACGUGCCUACCCUGGUAUGUUGGGAUAUCGGGGUUGGGGCAUGUCAAAGAUAGAGAGUGAAUUUCUAGCAGAUUCAAUGGUUGUCUACAUUUUAAAAAGAGCUUGCCGAAAAGAUUGAUUCAGAUGAAAUAACAAAGGAUUUCAAUUCCAUUAAGGAUUGAAGGGCACAACUUGAAUAGGUAUUUUUCUUUUUAUUUGUUAUGUUGUUAUGACAGGAUUGACGAUGUAUGUUUAUUUAUAUUGUAAGUUGCAACUUUAAAGGUUUUCUUUGUUAAAUCUAGUUGAAACUUGAUUCAUUUAGAGUUAAAUUUCUUACUUCAAAUUGUUGCUUUUAGGCUUAUUAUUGUGUAACUUUAUGCAAGCAACAAAAAAUUUUAACCAUUUGAUUUUGUACUAAUAAUUUUAGCUUAGCAUGCCACCAAAUAAUUCAUGGCUCCGCUAUAGAAAUCUUAGCAUGUGCAAUUUCAAAGUCUCGGUUGCCAAGUCUCCCCAGGCUGUUCAGCACCCAUUCUGAAUCUUGAUCGAGAUCUAGAGCAGUGCAAGUCAAGGAGUCUUCAUUCUCAUUUGAAACAAUGCUAAAAUUAUACCUCAGCUUGGACUCCUUGGGCAAAAUAUACCCAAAUGUAUUAGUACUACUUGUGGAUACACCACUAGUCCAAAAAAAUCACCUCUCCUUUCUUAAUCUUCAAUUGGUGAGGGUCCCAAUCAAGCGUGAAAGGCCCCGGCGCACGGUUGGCUUUAGUUUCCCAUGAUGAAAUCGACGAAACAUGGCCGUUUGUACGGUUGACACCCAAUUUCAUGCCCGGUAAAAAGGUGUCAACUGGUAAUCAAAGCUUUACGUUCACUUCUUCUUGUACAAAAUUUCCCGAAUCCAAAAGGAUAGCCACAACAGUAGCAAUACUGUACUUAUGUUGGUAGACCUAGUAGUUUGUGGAGCUGAGAAAAACGCAAUUGGAUUAGGAUCCCCCCCGCAUAAUUUUCAAGGUUUUAUUCCUGUCCAAGGCAAGAGUGCGUACAAAAUAGGGGCUUUACGGUUGCAAAUCCAAGCAAUGUUGCCAUCGGCCUUGUUGCUCUGGAUAGAUACGUAGCUGGUGCUUUUGGAACUGUCGUCGUGUACACAGGAACUGAAACUGAACUUCUCCGAUGCAGAGACCAAAGAACUUGAGGAGUUGAGAGUGUCUCCUGCUGGUUUCAGUGUGUCCCUUGCACUUGCAGCAUUGUGACAGGUCCACAGUCAGCAUGCAAAAAUGAUUAAGUUGAUUAUUGCCAUGAUUAAUUAAUGACCAUAACAUGAAGUUUAAUUUCUCCAUAUGAUGAGGAAGAAAGACAUGAAAUCCAUCACCAGAACAUGAUUAAGAAUUUAAUCAAGCAACGCGUCUUAGUUAAACCGUUACAAUCUUUGUACAAGGCAUUUAUAAAUUAAAAAAAAAGGGAAUAAAGUAAUAAUUACAAGUUUUACACAAGUGACCAUUUAUUACAAUGGUGGAAAGGUGUUAAGCUUUUGCAUGACGGUGUGAGUUCGAACCUCGUCGGUAGUUAAUCUAACUUAUAAUCUAAUAAAAUCUAUUUUUUGACCAAAAAAAAAUAAUUACAAGUUUUACUAAAAAUUUAGGGGUGUGAUAUCCACACACCCCUUUUUACUUCUCUCACACAUUUUUGAUUUCGACCGUCAAAUCGGAUGAGUUGAAGAAGAUCAACGGACAGAAAUUAACAAGGGAUGUGUGAGAAGUAAAAAGGGGUGUGUGGAUAGCACACCCCAAAAUUUACCGGAAGACUUGAUCACCCAUUUGUAUGCUGACAACGGUGACUAGAUUCACAACCUCUUUCCCACGUAAAUCACAUCAUCCAAUUUUAUUUUUCUUACAACAUAUCACGCAUCUGUCAUAUGCAAGACUUUUUUUUUUGUAUAACAUGAAAAAGAAGACUUUUUUGGAAUAUGGAGAGUGAAAUUGCAGCGGAAGCAUCCUAGAUUUUUGAUCGAAUAUUGAGUUUGGUUUGAUGACAGACUUCCUGGAUCAAACACACCCUAAAAAAUAUAUAUAAAAAACCAAUAAGGUCAUGUGAUACGACAUCAUUUCAAGAGGAAAGGUAAAAACAAUCUAGUUUCUAUACUAGGAAGAUUCACUCGAACAAAUUCUUGGAAACUAUGACUCAAACAAAAUUCUAGGAAUUCAGUAUUUUUAACAAAUGAUAAGCGUUUAAGAUAUAUUCUUUAUAAUAUUAGAGAAAUCGAACGGUUGAUGUAUAACUCGCAAAGUGGUUGUAGCUCAAGUAAUUUUACUCCCCAAUUUUACAUAAAACAUAAAAUAAAAACAAAUCCUAAUUUACAUGGUAAUUUUUUUUCAUAGCUAGGGACAACUUCGACUAUGGUAAUGCAAUUAAUAUACACUAGUUUUGGAUGGAGAAGUUUCAAGAUUGAGUAUGGGAUGGGGAGGGGCGAGAGACUUGGAUGGAGAGGUGAGGUUUUAUGAGUUAAACAGUGAUGCAAGGAUGUAUUACUUAAAACUUUAGAGACCGUAUGUUGGGCUAUAUAUAAUAUACGUUCCAUGGAUAAUUGUUUAACUCAUAAACGUUUUGAGUGUUUCUAACAUAUGCUUAUCAAAAGCCUUCUCGUUCCAUCAAACAAUACGAAAAUUUUCAAUUGAAUGAAAGACAUACUAUUUUAUAUAUCACAGUACUUCAUGGAUCAUCAUCAUCACAUAUCCUUAAUUCAAAGGUAAUAAAUGAGCAUCUAGUUUUAUUUUAAUUUUAUUUUAUAUAGGGACUACAGAAGCAAGCACCCUCUGUAAAUUAAACUCUAAAACUUCUCAAGUAUCUUGAAAGGUGCCAAAAGCCAUCAGCCAACUCCAGUUGAUGCAUAACCUCCUACAUUUACAAAAACAGCGUCGCCGUUAAUUUAUUGACUUCUUCCCAGGACACAUACCAAUUUGCGAAAGUGGUUUGACUGAUGCUAAUUAGUCGAGUAAAGUACAGUCUUUUCAAUUAAGCAGAUGCAAAACACUUAGUUGAGGCACUACAAAUAUGAUUUUUACCUUUAAUUAACGCGCUUCAAAAUCUGAACUGGACAUGUAGUUUGCUGAAGCAACAGUUUCAAGUUGCUGAUUCCCACUUAUACCAGCCUCCACCGUCCUCCUUCCAACAAAAAAUGCUGGCUUUGUUGGUGAUGCUAAUCGAAAGCUUUCAUUUGUCAACAUAGAUAUGACAUCUGACAUGGUAGGGCGAUCUGCUGCAUUUUCUUCUACGCAAAGCAGACCGACAUGGAUGCAUCUUAACAGUUGCUCUUUAAUAAACGAAUUUCCUAAUGUUGGAUCCGUUAAUUCUAGCCCUGCACCUUUUUUCCAUAACUCCCAUGCCUGAAGAACAAGGAUUGCAUUUCAUUCUAAAGAAGAAAAAUAUGAUUAUAAAUUUUAAGAGAGAGAUUUGUUUGUCAUACAUAUCCUACUAAAUUGAGUGCGCGAUCGUCAUUGUAAAAGCUGUUGUUUUUCCUUCCACUUAUGAUUUCAAGCAUCAAUACCCCGAAACUGUAGACAUCAGACUUUACAGAAAUAAUUCCCCCCACGGACUCUGGAGGCAUGUAACCACUGCACGAAAUGAAAAAGAAAAUUAGUCAGUAUACUUAUCUGGAAAAAUGCGUGUUUAGCAGUCAAAAGGGGAGGACCACGUCAAUGUGAUGCAGAAAUACUUACAGUGUCCCCACAACCUUUCUAGUGUUUGCUUCCAAUUCAUUUUGGGUGAAAAUCCUUGCCAUACCAAAAUCUGAAAUUUUUGGGUUCAUGUUUUCAUCAAGUAGUAUGUUACUAGCUUUUACAUCUCUAUGAAUUACUUUCUUUCUUGAGUAUUUGUGCAGAUAAAGCAACCCUUGAGCAAUUCCUUCGAGAAUGCUAAAACGCUUCUUCCAAUCUAGUAGUAGACCUCUGAUUGGAUCUGUCCAAUAUGUAGAGUUAAGUAGGACUAAUAUUAAUUAAUAGUAGUACUCUAUGAACUUUGACAGUAAAAUAAAAAUCAGAUAGUAAAUUUAACAAAUGAAAUCAAGUAUCUUGGUUCCUCACCAAAUAAAAAGUGGUCCAAACUUUUGUUCUGCAGAUACUCAUAUAUCAACAUCAUUUCUUCACCAUGAAUGCAAAAUCCGAAAAGGUGAACCAGGUUUGUAUGUUUGAGUUCAUAUAUAAGUAUCAGUUCAUUCUUGAAUUCUGAUGUUCCUUGCCCUGAACAUUUCGAAAGCCUCUUCACAGCUAUUUCUUGUCCCGUCGCCAAUUUCCCCUGAAUUGAUAAUCCAUAUCAUGUUUUUGCUGUCAUCUUUAGGCAAAUGAAGCUAAUUCCAUUUUUUUUCUUACAGCUUUUGAAUUAGAAGCAGAAAUAUUUUUUUUUCAAAAUGUUACCUUAUAAACCGGUCCAAACCCUCCUUGUCCUAGCUUGUUUUCUUCAGCGAAGUUUCUUGUGGCAGCCACGAUGGAUGAAUAGCUAAAAACGCUAAAAUCAUGAUGUCGCUUAGAUUUCAUGAAGAUAAGCAUUUCGUUCUCAAUCUCUGGCCAGUUCUCACCUAUACAGAUCAAUUAUAAGAAAUUAAAGUUUCAAUGGAGACAACAAUUGUCAAAGAUGUGAUUAAUAAUCCUGUCUUACUGGUGCACAUGAUUUAAAGAAAUAUACCAGCUGAUGCAAGGGCUGAUCUUCUUCGUCGGAGUAGAUAGUACGCGGUGCAAAGCACUAGAGCAGCAGCUAUAGAAAUGCCAAUCCAAACCCAUUUAUCUGCUGCAUCAUAAACAAUUAGCUAGCAACAUAUGCAAUAAGUGUAACACACACGCACAUGUACGCAUUAAUUGUCUUCAAUUUUUGGAUGAACUAGGUCUUGCAGGUUUCUUCCGGAAAACGAAGAAAAAUUCGAGACAGAGAGCAGAACUUAAGACAACAAUAACAAAGAUAGAGGUACCUAAUAAUACUGAUUCCACGCGUGUCACAGAUUUCCGGCUCAAAUCGGGUUUGCAGCCUCGGUAUAUAUCCUUCGGAUCAAGAAAAGAAAACCCUUUUGGGCAUUCGCAGGUUGGCCUUUUAUCUGGUUUGAGCAUACAGGUACUGUUGUAACCGCAAACACCAACGCCCAGUCGUAGGCAAAUAUCAUCCGGCAUAUACACCAGAGGACUAAUCCAACUUGCAUUUCCCGUGAAGUUUUUCGGGUGAGAAUAUAAAGCGAAAAUCCCAUCAAAAUCAAGAGUUGCCCUUAUGUAGUUGUCCCUCACCGACACUCCCUCUGUCCCCUUAAGAGGAACUCUUCCAUCAUUUUCUCUUAGAACAAACAUGUCCCCUGAGCUGCUGAACACCAAUCGUUUGCCUUGACUACCUGGCACGUUCCCUGAGGUGGUCUUCGUGGAGAAGUAAGGGAUGUUGGCAUUAUCUGUUGUGACGGAAAUGAGCACGAGGUUUCCAUCACCUUGCAAGCUCAGCUGGAACCGCCCUUUUGUGUAGUUAGUCUCCGAUUGUCUACACGAAAGCGUCCCGUUUCUCUCAAUUGUCUGUCCAGGCAAAACGGUGUCUGUAGGACUGCUGAAGGUCUCCCACAAGCUCCCCGAGUUUUGGUGUUGAAGGACAAAGUUUCCGGUGUCAUUCAUGACCCCGUUCGCAACAGUCCCCAAGGUUAUUUCGGAUUUCCAUAUCUCUCCACCCUGAGGAUUGUUAAGAACUAGUCCACUGUUGGCAGUCAAGUUCAGAACUGAUCCCCCAGGUGCAACCAUGGGGUUGUUACCGUCAUAUGCAUACCAAACUACGGUUUUGUCUGGGAUUUUCGCAUACCAUAUCGAAAGCAAGAAACGAUCAUUGUUUCCGAGGGGCGAAAAUCCAAACGCGAAAUCACCGGAUGGAGAAAGCCAUGAUGAGGAGUCGCCUGUAGUUGCAGUUAGAGAACUCCCAACUGCUACUCUUCCAUUAUUUUGGGAAAUCACAGAAAUUGGUAGCAAAAACAAAGAGGAGAACAAAAGCAUCUCCACAGAAAGAGCCACUGCCAUUGCAAAAGCACCCAUUUUUCAACUUGGCUUGAUUGAUUAGCUAUAUUUCUUAGUAAAGCAUUGGUCCUUGUUAUAUCUUCAAGUAAAUGUGUGUGCACCAUGUGCCAAUGUGCCAGUCAUUUUCUAAGUUUUUGCCUGGAAUUAAAGGCGUCUACACCAUUUUUUGAAGUCAGUCUUACCUAUCUGCCACGACAUGACCUCAGACCUCGCUACGUCACACACAACAAUAUCUCCGGGCCUACAGAAUAAUUCUCCGAACCUACACAUAUCACAAGAAUUUCACUUUGAAAAAAAUAAUAUAAUGAAUAGUUCUAUAUAUAAUGACACGAUAUUUUUGGUGAUAGAACUUAUUGUCUCUCCCAACUCUGUGUAAUGUUGCAAGUUGGAUCAAUAUUGAUGUAAUUAUUAAUGGCCCGCUAACUUGUCUCUCUCAAAUCUCUUUUCAUCCUACUCUCAUCCCUCGUCCGUUUUAUGAUUCUACUUACUUGAGCACUUAUAAGUGUUCCAAAUCAGCAAAGGACUUGUAACUUAAAUAAUUAAUAAUAUUUAUCACUACACUGGGGAUUCUAGGUUCCAAAAUAUAAUAUAUAAUAUAUAUGAAUGUUCCAAACCAAAAGGACAAGUAAAUACGAGCAUGACUCACGUGGCAUGUGUCGGCCAUUCAAGUCCAACAAUCAAAAUUCAACAAUGGGACCCACAAAGAAAAUUUGAAAACAGACCUCCAGAACCAAACAAAGACGACUAGGCCUUUAUGUCAAGUAUUAAGAGACUUACAUCAUCACAAAAACAAAGACGACUAUGUCUCUGACACGCCCCGAUCCCGAUGUCCUAGGGACAAAGGGAUGGUCACGUGCUGGCCGACACCCGAAGGGUGACGAAAGCCAUUUAUUGAGUGCAAAUGCUGACAACAAGGGAUAGAUAAGACUUAUAAAUAUAAAAGAAUAAAGAAUAUGCCUUUAAGGAACGUGUUCAGAGCAUACAACUAACUAGAAUACUAAAAGAAAUAAUAUAUAAAAAUUGAAUGAAUAACAGAAUGGGUCCUACACCAAGAAGACUCAAAGAUGCCGAUGUGGAAGUGCCUUGACGUCGGGAUUGUAUGCCUCGAUUCUAUGCCCUGAAGGGGGCGCAAAACAAACAUGAGUGGACCAAUUUGAUAUAUAUAUAACAAAACAGUUAUCAACGUACUAACCCCCAAGUUUUAUGAAAACACAUAUAUAAUGAUAAACAUAGGUUUUCCGAAACCUAGCAUGCCGUGCAAUGUCUCAAAUCAUAACUCAUACAUAAUAAUCACUAGUGAAUUGUCCGAUAACCCCCAGGCCCCAUGCCGGCUCCCCGUCUCUGAGCAGACAGUCAGAGGAAAAUACACUUCAGGCCCCAUGCCGGCUCCCCGUCCCUGUGCUAAAUAGCCAGAGGAAACACACUUCAGGCCCUAUGCCAACACCAAACCGUCGCCCGGGACGGACCAGAAUCUAUCCCUACGUCCCGUAGCGGAAAGGACCACUAGGUAAAUACAAAACCAUUGAACAUAUAUAUAUUGAAAAACAACUUCAUAGUAUAAAGUCAUCCAUCAUCUAUACUAUAAAGAGGUGUUUGAAACAUGUUCUAAAUAUCAUAUCGUCAUCCAUCAGAUAUUCUAUAAGAACACGGGUUAUAGGAAAAAUAGUAAUAAUUCAAACUAGCCUCAGUAAGCAUGUUAUGUCACAAAACGUUUCAUAAAACGUAAUCAUCAAAUCAUGCUUUUCAUGUAUGCAUUUCUACUAUAAAACAUGCAUUUUAGAAGGGGUCCACUCACAGUACUUAGUUGCCAAAUGCUGCGCCACUAGCGAAGACGGAAACGUCACAAUAAUUGCCCCUAAGCACAUAAAUGGUACAAUAAAUAAAACUAUAUAAUAGAAAUUGAAUUUGAGAAAACGGACAUUGGAAACGGAUCCAGAACGUCGAAUUACCCUAAGAAGGGUUUGAAUUAAAUAAAAUAGGGAAUUUGGAAUUGAAUGGGUUUAGGGUUUUAAAGGAUUUGGGUUAUAAAGGGUUUAGGGUGAAAAUGGGUGGUUUGGGCCUAAGCCCAAACACACACACGCACCACACAAACACACACACGCACGGCAUGCACAUGCAUGCAAGCAUGCAUAUACACACACGUACGCAUGCACUUAAACACACACACACACACAAACCACAAAGGCCUUAAGGCCUCACACAAGGACCGGGCUUUAAGCCCUUUCACUCAAAACCGGCCCAAGGCCCUUUGGGCUGCUGAAAAUAAAUAAUUAAAUAGAAUAAAAACAGGCUGGGCUAGGCAGGGAAGGCCCAAAGCCUUGGGUUUUGGUGGAUCGCCGGAUCCAAUGGGAGAGAAGGCCGGAAAUUCGGCCGGAAAACCAUCCCACUUUAAACGGCCAUAACUUUAACAAUACUCAACGAAAUCAAGCGAGACAAAAACGAAAGUUAUAGCCCUUGAAGAGACGAAGAGAAUGAUACCUCACACGAUGUCUAAUUCGCCGUGGUUUGGCCGGAAAACGCCUUGAAAGCCGUCGGACUCGCCGGAAACUGGGUAAGAUUCAAAUGAGUAUAACUUUUCCAAUACUCAACGAAAUUGAGUGAAACAAAAAGGAAAGUUAUACUACUCGACGAGACGAAGAGAUUGAUACCUUGCACGCCGGCCAACUCGUCGUGGUUUGGCCGGAAAUGGCCUCGAAAGGGGCGGUGCUCGCCGGAGCUUACUCCGUGUCGUCGAACUCGCAGGGCAGGGUCCAGGGUUCGUUGCGAGCCUCUCUUCGAUGGUGACUCGGUCCUAGUGAGUCCAGGGGAAGAGAGAGAGCCGAGAGACAUACAGAAGAAGGAAGAAAAGAAAACAGAAAAGAAGAAGAAGAAAGAAGGGAGUUCACGGGGGAGGGACAGAGAGAGAAGGAAGAGUGACGGGAAUGGGGGACACAAAAACAGAAGGUGGGCCCCUUGGGCACACCAAUUAAGAAUUAAAAACCAUUUUUAAAUAAAAUGGGGGUGAGGUGUUACAGUCUCCAUUUCUGUAUUCACAAAAAACAAAAUACUAACUGAAGUUUUUAAUGUAUGAUUACGUCGUUGGGGUAAAACACCCCAGGCCGAGUUGUCACAGUCUGGCGCAAACGGACGCAGAGACCCGAACCACUCAUUUUAAAUCAUACGGCCUUCAUUAGCCUAUCUUAUUGACCCACAUCACACAAGGGGUUCGAAUCUCUCUCUCUCCCCUCUCUUAAACGGUUUGGAUAUCUCGGUUUGUCGAUUUUGGAUUGCGAGAUUCAGAGAGAAUCUGAUUUCGGGUUUAAGGUGUGGUUCGACGACCAUUUGAAGCCCGUUGAGGUGUGGCCCAUCUCAUCAGGUCGAGUCAGCCAUUUUGUACCAGGUUGGAUCCCAGGUCAGGCCAACCAUUUCAUUAGCCUAAGAUGGACCUGACAGACGAGGCGCUUGGAUAUUGCCCACCGCGACCAAAUGGACCCAUGGGCUCAUUAGAUGAUGAAUCUGGACCCAGGUGUGUGUAAAGCCCACCUCAGCUCGAUCCAUAUUUGACCGAUACUACAGAGAAGGUGGAGAUGAGGUAAAGGUAGGGUAAGCUCCAAGUCAUGUGGAGGUCAGUCAAGAUUGAACGCACGUUCAUAGAAUCAUAGUAUCAAAUUCAAGUCCAAAUUUUAACACUACGAAACCAAAAAGCAUGCAACUCCGAAAAACAUUAUUUCAGUCCAACAACCCAAACUUCCUUAAAAAACUAAGACCAAAACGACGACACCAGGAAACGGAAAAACAUGCAACUCAGAAAACCAUUGCUCUAGUUCAAAUGAGGUUCCUCAAUGCCUCAAGCUUUUCUAAACACCAUAGCCUGAACCUUUUCCUUUGCGCCUUCUUUGCUUCACCAGAAACGUUCUUAAUGAGCUCCUCUUCAAAUUUGAGACGAGUAGGCAUUAGGCUGUGCACAAUGCUGUAAAUGCCCCUAGCCCUUGCCACACCCUAGGUGCGUACGUGUGCAUGUCCGACCUGAGUUAUCUCAUUACGCGCGCAGUUAUAUCUUCCCCUAUUGACAUCCCUGCUGUCUAUUCUCCUACGAAUCCUUCUGCUGGUGACUUCAUCCGGGUCCAUUUUCUUGCUCCUCAGUGCAUGUUCAUCUGCUUUUCCCUGUUAAUAAAUAUAGGAAUCCCAUAACAAACAGCAUUUGACAAAACAGAACCUAAUAAUAACAACAAAACUUGACUUCAUCCUCAGUUCAUGUUCAUCUGCUUUUCCACUUCAAAGCAGCUGACGGCACGAUUCGUACUUGGACUCCAAGAUGUCUAGAUUAUGGAGAAACCAGCCCUUUGUUCAAAACACACAAAAAAGUGUAUUUUCCUUUUAUACCAAUUAAGUGUGUUGAAGCAUGUCCCACAUGGCCACAUCGGAAACUUGUUGAAGUUUAAAUCCUCUUAUAUAGAAAGUUUGACUACUAAUUGCCUUGAGGACUUAAUUUUGUAUAAAACCAUACCUAUUGAAUUGCACACGUGCUUAAGUUAAGGUCAUUAUUGAUGGUAAUUAGUAGUGGGCCGCUGGGUCAUCUUCAAAAAACUGGUACAAAGGGCAAUUUAUAGAAGCAGUGUUGAGAUAAGGGCAAUUCACCUCUUUUUUUUAGAAGGAUAUAUAUGAAUGAAGCAAGGUUUAUCUGCUCACCCGUAAUGCGGCUCAGCCCUUCAUCAAAAAGUGAAAGAUCAAAAUUACUUUUACAGCAAGAGCAAUAACCAGAAGAUGUAAUCUAAAUUAUUUAUAUUUGGUUCCCUUGAAAUCCUUUUGACUGCUUCAACAUAUAUGCAGACAGAACCAGAACCAAGUCCAGACUCACUCGUAAUAGGUCUCCUCAUCCACAACAAUAUCCCAGCUUUCCCUUGUCGUGGUUUUCCCAUAUUUGUGCACCUUACUGCAAAGAGAGAGCAAGUUAACUUGUCAAAGAAAAACCAGAACAAUAGAUGCCAAUGCAGUUCAGAAAGUUUAUUUCCCUUCAUACCCAUUUCCAAAGUGCUCUUCUCCCCAUGUCCUCGACCAACCUAGACAUGAGAGAACAAAAACAGAGUUACAUCAGAUUAAAUUAUUGAAAGAAAAAGGUUCACUUCUGUUGUAACAAAUCGACAUUAGAAUCAAGCAACCACGCUAUGAAAUACAAAUUUAAAAUGUAACAAUUUACUGUGUCUGAAAGGAAUCUGUGAAAUAAAAUAGCUAAACCCUAAACAGCACCACUGCAAAUAGCAUAAGAAAAUUAAAAUUAACCCUAAAGAAACCGGGAGAGAAGAAUAUGAAAAGGGAAUACCUUUCGGCCCUUUGAGUUAUUGGAAAAAAAACCCAACAGAGCAAAAGAUAAACAAAAAUAUGGGAGGAAAGAAAGUAAAUUUUCAACUUGUAAGAUUCAUACCCGAACAGAUUGGCGGUCAAAAGCAUUUCGGAACUCAGAGCCAUCAAGCUUUUUGAUCUGCAUGGAAAUUAUUUAUGAAGUUUGAGAUUCUUAUAGACGCUUUAGACACAUCGACAUAUUGAAAAAGCAAUAUUCAACAACCUAGUACCCAUGCUCCGUAGAAGGUUACAGAAAAUAUGAAUGUCUGGACUCUGGAGUGAGAAAGUAAAAGGACUUACCGCAUACUUCAUAUCUUAUAAGUUUUUGUAGUCUACAAUCCCUAUUGUGCCUACAAAAAAAGGCAUAGGACAAAAGCUAAAUCAAUCGAAAUUUUGAUGUCUCAUGAUCUACGUCUUAGGAUUAAACUACUGGGAGCGGCUAGGGUUUGAGUAUGGAAGAUAUGAAAAAUGGAGAGAGCACCUGUUUUUGGCUGAAGCAACAACUCACACACUCCGGACAAAUCUGCAAAUGUCUAAAAGGGGGAAAAUAUAAUAAGAAACCUUAACAACUGAAUUCAAAGAAACAUUAUUACAUUGUAAAUAGCAUUUCACAAAAAACAAAAUACUAAACUAAACGAAUUACACUCGGAUUGCAAUGUUAUCAUUUAAUAAUAGGAAUUCCCUAACUUAGCAGAAGAUCCUGCAUCUGCAAAGGAUCCUUUAAAACCUAUUUUUUUGAACAACCCCGCACAUGCAACACAUCUAGGCAAGCUAAACCAAUAGCACCCUCAUGUUGAGCUCUUCUGUGCAUAUAUACCUGUCAACUAAAAGCAGCCAUGAGUAUUGGAUGGCUAGUGAAGUUAGGCUAGUCAACUUUCUUUAUGUAAAUUAGGCAAGUUAGGUAAGUUAGGCAAGUUAGGCAAGUUAGGCAAAGUUAGGUCUUAUGUCUUCUUUCUUUCCCUAUAUAUAUGUUCAUCUUGUAAUGAGAAAUAAUCAUCUAAUAUAUCAAGGAAUUAACUCUAUUUUGGCAUGGUAUCAGAGCAAUUCUGAUCCAAAAAGAGUUUCUAUUCUGAUUCACUUACUGGCACUACUGCCAUCUACCCAAUAAGACCUGCUAUUCCGCAGGUCUUCUACUUUCAUACCAAUCCAAUCUUACUCUUUUUUCAUUUGGCCAUAUCUGCCAACAUUAUUACCCAUAUCCAGCUUGUUAACCAUACAUAUUCCGCUUCAUCUUUUCCCAUAUUUUUCCCAUUUGCAGUAUCUCUGCAAAACCCAGAAAUCUUUCCACAAAAAAAAAAAAUAUACUACCCAAUACCUUAUAAGCCAUACCCGUUGGAAUCACCCAACAAAUUUACCCAUAACCUUUGAGGCAGUAAUAAUGGGUGACUCCAAGACCACUGUUUCAGCUACUGUUCAAAGUGAUAUGUCUCUACAUAUCACCCCAGACAAGUUGGAUGGGUCCAACUAUUCCUCAUGGUCCCAAAGUGUCUGCAUCUACAUCACUGGCAGAGGUAAAUGGUCUUAUGUCAGUGGAACAAAAAUGGCACCAGCAGAAGCUGAUGCAUUGUAUGUUAUAUGGGAGGAAGAGAAUGCCAUGGUUCAAUCUUGGUUACUCAACUCCAUGACCGGAGAUGUACGGGCCAUUUUUCUCCGACUCUCUACUGCAAAAGAUGUUUGGGAUGCUGUUACCCAAACUUACUCAAUUGAAAAAGAUGCAUCAAAGUUAUACGAACUUCGCCGUCAAGCACUGGUGACUCACCAGAAUGGAGAACCUUUAUCUGCAUAUUAUGGUAAACUUCAGCAAACAUGGCAAGAAAUUGAUUUCUUGCGUCCUGGAAAAUUGAAGUGCGCUGAUGAUAUUGCUACCCGAGAGACAGAAAUUUCGAAAGAAAGAUUGUAUGAUUUUCUGGCUGGUCUUGAUCCUCAUUUAGAUCAUGUUCACAGUUAAGUUUUGACUCAAACAACUCUACCUUCUGUUCGUGCUGCUUAUGCUCUUGUGAAUGCUGAAGCAAGUAGGCAAACCAUUAUGUUGGUUGGCCCACAAGUGGAAGGAUCCGCCAUGGUAGCUGCUCCGUCUCAAUUUCCCCGUGGAGUCUCCAAUUCUCGAUUAGGUGGAUCCAAAACUACUGAUACAAGGAAGUGUACUUAUUGUGACAAGGAUAAACAUACUAGAGACACUUGCUUCAAGCUGCAUGGAUAUCCUGAUUGGUGGGUUCAAAAGAAAGAAAAUAAAAAGAAAGGCAUUGGUGGAUCACAAGCACACCUGACACCAACGCCUUCCAUACCUCGGGUGGAUCAAUCUGCUCACUUAGUUUCUCCUACUACUGCUUCUACUUCCUUAGUCGAUGCAGGUAACUUUGGUUUUGCCUUGAACACUACAAUUGUUCCUCCCAAUAAACCUUGGAUCAUUGAUUCAGGGGCUUCUGACCACAUGACCAAUAACUCUACAUGGUUUGUUUCUCACACUACUCCACCUUUAAAUACCGUUAAAGUUGCUAAUGGUAUUUCUACUCCAAUGCUUGGAGCAGGCUCCAUCUCAUUAACACCAGGCUUAUCUCUCUCAUCUGUUUUACAUGUUCCUAAUCUUUCUCACAAUUUGCUUUCCAUUGGUAAACUUACAAUCAACUAAACUGUCUUGCCAUCUUUUCUCCUACCCAUUGUUGGUUUCAGGAUAUUCGAACGAAAGCAUUGAUUGGUCAUGGUAGAGAGAGGGGAGGUUUAUACUACUUGGACUUACCACCAGAUUGUGAGAAGACAAGUUACAGUUGUCAAGUGGAGGCCAAACAAUUUGAAGCUUCUGAAAAAAUUUGGUUAUGGCACAAAAGAUUGGGACACCCUUCCUUUCAGUACCUGCAAUAUCUAUUCCCUUCUUUAUUUUCUAAAGUCAAGGUUUCUAAUUUCCAUUGUGAAAAUUGCAUUCUUUCUAAAAAUCAUCGUGUCUCAUUUCCUUUAAGUUCCCAUAAAAGUAAUGUUCCUUUCUCUCUUAUUCAUUCUGAUGUUUGGGGACCAUUUCAUAUUCCUACUUAUACUGGUGCUAAAUACUUUGUCUCUUUCAUUGAUGACUGGACUCGAGUUUCUUGGGUAUACUUACUCAAAAAUAAGAGUGAGGUUAUGUCUAUUUUUCCAAUCUUUCAUCAAAUGAUUCAAACCCAAUUUCAUGCUAAAAUUCAAGUUGUUCGAUCUGAUAAUGGGAAAGAAUAUUUGAAUUAUGGACUUGGAACAUUUUUUCAACAACACGGUAUCAUUCAUCAAACAUCUUGUCCACAUACUCCUCAACAGAAUGGUAUAGCAGAACGUAAAAAUCAUCAUCUCUUGGAUGUGGCUCGCUCUUUAUGUUCUGCUAUGCACGUUCCUAAACGUUUUUGGGGUGAUGCCAUUCACACAGCUGUUUUUCUUAUCAAUCGCAUGCCAUCACGUGUUCUCCAAUUUCAAACACCUAUCCAGACCCUUUCCCAAUAUCAUUCUCUUCCUUCACUCCUUCAUAUUCCUCCAAAAGUGUUUGGUUGUGUUUGCUACGUUCACGUCCCCAUGCAAAAUCGUGAUAAGUUGGGUCCUAGAGCCAUCAAAUGUGUGUUUAUUGGCUAUUCUGCUACUCAGAAAGGGUAUCGAUGUUACUAUCCUCCCACUGGGAAAUUUUUUGUCUCUAUGGAUGUUACCUUUCGGGAACACAAGGCAUUUUUUUCAAAAGAAGAUUUGGCCACUUCUCUUCAGGGGGAGAUAUGGAGUAAGGAGGAAGAGAAGUUGCCGCUUGACAUUGGUGGUAUGCAUUUUUCAGAUGAACACUUGUCUGAUGUCGGUGAUGGUGCAAAUUUGCCUAAUGAUGAGGCACAAGGUGAAAAUAUUGAAGGUGUAUGAGAGGACAAGAAAAAAAGGAGAUAAAGAAAAAAUGGAUGAUGAGAUAGACCACCCACAAACAAAUCCCCACAUUGACCAACUUUCUGACCAAUCAGCUACUACUCGUACGAAUUAUCCUGAGGUAACCACGCAUUCUCCCUCUCUUCAGCCUACUAUAUUUGAUGAGUCCAAUCAUGAGAUUUCAUUAAGUGAUGAUCCAAAUGAUUCAAAUGAACCACAUCGUGAGUCUCAGGGUUCUCGUUAUCCUAUUCGAGAAAAUCGAGGGAUACCCCAUGUUCGUUAUGGUCAUUCUUCUACAAAGGGUAUUCAAUAUCCUAUAUCUAAUUUUGUUUCAUAUCAUCGCUUGUCAGACUCUUAUAUAUCUUUUGCAAGCCAAUUGUCAUCAGUCUCAGUUCCUAAUAAGUUACAGGAUGCUCUUAAAGAUCCAAAAUGGAAAAAGGCUAUGAUUGAAUAGAUGGAAGCGCUUCGAAAAAACUCCACUUGGGAACUGGUUGCACUUCCUGAAGGCAAGAAACCUGUUGGGUGUAGAUGGGUGUUCACAGUAAAGCAUAAAGUUGAUGGUUCAGUGGAAAGGUACAAGGCUAGACUGGUAGCCAAAGGUUAUACUCAAACCUAUGGCAUUGAUUAUCAGGAGACAUUUGCUCCGGUAGCAAAGAUCAACACUAUCAGGGUUCUUAUGUCAUUGGCAGCAAAUUUAGGGUGGCCUCUACGACAGUUUGAUGUAAACAAUGCAUUUUUACAUGGAGACUUGGAUGAAGAGGUAUACAUGGAUGUUCCUCCAGGAUUCACUACCACUUACGAUAUUGGCAAAGUAUGCAGGUUAAGAAAGUCCUUGUAUGGAUUGAAACAAUCACCAAGGGCAUGGUUUGGCAGGUUCGCUCAAUCAAUGAGAAGUUAUGGGUUCAAGCAAACUCAAGCUGACCAUACCUUAUUUCUUAAGCAUGAUAGAGGUAAACUUACAUCCUUAAUUGUUUAUGUGGAUGAUAUGAUGGUUACAGGUAACGAUGUCGAGGAAAUUCAAAAACUUUAGAAGUAUCUAGCCAAGGAAUUUGAAAUGACGGACUUGGGUACUUUGAAAUAUUUCUUGGGUAUUGAAGUUGCAAGAUCAAAGCAUGGCAUUUUUCUUUCUCAAAAGAAAUAUGUUAUAAACUUAUUAACUGAAACUGGGAUGUUAGCUUGUAAACCUGCAGACACACCAAUUGAGCAAAACCAUAGAUUGGGAGACUAUCAUGAUCAAGUUCCGGCUAACAAGGAAAGGUACCAAAGAUUAGUUGGGAGGUUGAUUUAUUUGUCUCAUACACGACCUGACAUAGCCUAUGCUGUAAGUGUAGUGAGUCAAUUUAUGCACAGGCCAAGUGAAGCCCACAUGGAUGCUGUACAAUGCAUUCUCAGGUAUUUGAAGUCUGCCCCUGGAAAAGGCUUGAUGUUUUCCAAUCAUGGACAUCAAGAAGUUGAAAGGUACACUGAUGCAGAUUGGGCUGGGUCAGUAACUGAUCGCAGAUCGACUUCUGGAUACUUUACAUUUGUUGGAGGAAAUCUAGUUACUUGGCGCAGUAAGAAGCAACAUGUAGUGGCUAGAUCCAGUGCCGAAGCUGAAUUUAGAGGUAUGGCACAUGGUGUGCAAGAAUUGUUAUGGCUCAGGACUUUGUUGAGAGAAUUAGGUUUUAAUUCUGCAAAGCCAUCAAAACUUUAUUGUGAUAACAAAGCUGCCAUUAGCAUUGCUCAUAAUCCAGUUCAACAUGAUCGUACUAAACAUGUUGAAGUGGAUAGGCACUUUAUUAAAGAAAGGUUGGUUGAUGGUACCAUUAACUUGCCUUAUGUGAAGAGUGAUGACCAGCUAGCAGAUAUUUUAACAAAGGCAGUGUCAAGUAGGAUUUUCCAUCUUUCACUCAGCAAGCUGGGCAUUCAAGAUAUUUACGCACCAACUUGAGGGGGAGUGUCAACUGAAAGCAGCCAUGAGUAUUGGAUGGCUAGUGAAGUUAGGCUAGUCAACUUUCUUUAUGUAAAUUAGGCAAGUUAGGCAAGUUAGGCAAGUUAGGCAAAGUUAGGUCUUAUAUCUUCUUUCUUUCCCUAUAUAUAUGUUCAUCUUGUAAUGAGAAAUAAUCAUCUAAUAUAUCAAGGAAUUAACUCUAUUUUGGCAAUACCCCUUAUAAGUAAUCUUAAUCAAUCAAUUACCAUGAAUAUAGUCAGUUAUCAUGAAUAUAGAACUUAUAUUAAUUUUCUACAAUAUCCAACACACAAAUAUAACAGAAGAGGAAACUUUUACUUAAGCAGCACAAAAUGAUAUCCUCUGCAUUUCAUUCCAAAAUCCAUCACUCUUAUGUCUUUGCCUACACAGUUUUUCUUCCAACAUAGCCUGCCAUGAUGAUAGCACUAUCAAUAAUUAAGACAUAAAGAAAGGCUAUCCUAGCUAGGUAUUAUCAUUGGAGUAAACCAACAACACCAUAAGUAAAGUAGCAGACCAAUUCUUUGUAGAAUUGAUGUCUUAACAUGUUUAAGUAGCGAAAAGAUUACAACACAUUGGAUGUGUUAACACAUCCACAAGCUGAUGACUCCCUCUCCGGUUUACCGCAUCAUUCUUAAUGUAUUCAACAAUGCAGCAGCAAUUAAAAGUCCUUGGAAAAUGCCAAGCUACUAUAAUGACAUAACGAAAACUAUAUCUCACCUUACCCCCUUGUUGGCAUAGACAGCAUAUCCGUCCUUGUUCGGGGUGAAUCAUAAUCCUGAACUCAAGCAUCAUCAUCGUCGAGAAUGUCAAACUGUAAAUCAACCAUGCAUGGAACAAAACUUAGAAAUUAAACAAUUAUCAAAGCUUGUGAAGAAUGCUAAACCCAACUAAUUCGAAACAUAAAGUAACCUGAAAGAGAGAAAACUUAUAAAUUUUACAUAAAUUAUAAUCCUUAACAGAAGGAUGGAACAAAACAGGUUCAUUCUUGAGAAUAGAUGUAAUUUUGCACAUUGCAUAUAUGUAGAUUAAGGACGGUGGUAACAUACCUUGUAAUUUGUACAAAUUAGGAUUUUCAUUCAAAGAACUAUAAUAUACACAAUUACAAAAAAAGUGAUUCAAACUUGUUCUCCUCUUAAGGAAAUUACUCACCAUUAAAUGGACGAAGUUUUGGCUUCCCUUUCCGGCUAUAUUUGAUUAACCUUUUUUUAAUCCAAUGAGUGCCUUCAUGAAAGAGAAAGAGAGGAAUAUUAGGUGAAAAGUAUUGCCAAAUCACACAGAGAUCAAAAUCUUGAAUAGAUAUGUUUAACCAUAUCAAAGUGAGUGUGUGAAAGGGUGUAGUCUGCAGAAAGGGCAACAUUUUCACUGCUAGAAAGUUGGAAACUAAACUUUUACACAGAUAUUGGAUUUUAUUAUUUCCCUCCACGAAUUGAAAAGAAAAUUGUUCGAGUAAUGCAGGUAAAUUCGAUAUACAUAUGCGUUGAUCUAUGUAAGACGGUUAUAAGUUAUAACUAUAUCGUCUUAACACAAAAAUGAUCAUAAAUGUAAGUGUCUGUAUUAUGGAAGUAAGGGACUUACAACAAUUGCUAUGAGAUCUAACAGCAAUCAAUCCAAGUACCCUAUUACGGAAGUAAGGGACUUAUAUCAAUUGCUAUGAGCUCUACCAACAGUCUCUCAAAGUGGUGCAAGGGCUAAAAUUAUAAAUAAAAGUAAUUUAAACAAUUUAACUUAAUAAAAUAUUGUAAUUUAAACAAUGCCUAUAUAUUCAAACAUCCCAAAACAGGAAUGAACUUCUAGAAAACAUGCGCAUGAAAAUAAACAGCAUUACUAACCCAUUGAGUUGGAUCAUCAAACUGGAGCGUUAGAAGGAUCAUCAUGUACCUAUGAAACCCAAGGGAAAAUUUUAGCAACCCCAAAGCCUGUAUGCAAGUGUGAAUAAGUAUGCGUGUAUGAAUCUAUUCAUAGUGAAGAAGGCUACCUUAAUAAAUAUUUGCAUCUGCAGCUUCAUAUGGUCAUACAACAAAAAGCACCGCAUAUGAUAACAAACCCCAGCUCCACCACAAAAGGAAUAGGAUCUUCCUCUCAACUUGUAUUUGCAAUUGUUACUGUAACAUCUGCAGACAGCAUACAUAAGCACUUAUUCGAUAAUUCUAAAGAAAAAAAGUUCUUGUUCGAUAAUGCACCAAAUCCUAUCCAAAAACCAAAGGGGUGCCAUAUCCCUAGAUUAACAGAGCAUCUUUCUUUGUUCCAAAACAAAUUGCAAUUGGCUUUGGUAAAGUAGAAAGAUUACCAGACACCGACUGUAUUCCAUUAUUUGAGCAUUUUACUGUCCUUUUAGUUCUAUCUCUCAACAUGGGAAAUACAAUAAGACAGUAAAAACAAAAGUUACUGAUAGCUAUUACAUAGUGAAAGAAAAUAAGACAUUCACAUAGUGAUAGCUAUUUACUGUCCUUUCUCAUCAUAAUCUUGGCCCCUAUAUAUAUACUGAAUUUUGAAAGCAAUGAGAGAAAUAUACCUUUGGGGCGUCAAUGCCAGAAGGGUGAGUGAGGGAUCUAAGAUGUUUGAGAGCAGGAAUUUUUAAGUAAUUUGUGUGAAAAAAGUUGAAGAGCUUCGAACAGAGUGGAGUGGGUUGGCCUGGGCUAAAAUAAAGAGGAUGAACUCUAGAAAGUAGAAAAUGUUGUUGUUCAACCAAACUCAAAAGUAACGAAACCAUACAAUUAACAUAUAAAUAAGUUAUAUAUCAAUGUUUACAUGUACGUUGUUUGAGAAGGUAAAUUAGCAACAUAUACAGUGAUCAAAAGAUUAACAACAAUAAACUGCUCAUUAUUCGAAAUAUACAUGAAAGUUGUCAUUCACAUGAUCCAAAUGGUAGAGGAAAAAACAGAAGGAAGCAAAUAUUAUAGCAGCAUAAGUUGAAUAAUUGCAGAAAGUAAACAAAUAGAAAGGCUAGCUAGAUUACACAAUCUAGUUCUAGGUCGGACUAACCAGGUUAGCCAUCCGCUCACUACCAGCACCGUCGGCGUCUUAUUAAAAAUGUAGAAUAGAAGACUCAAAAACUGGAAAUGAAAGCAGGUAACAUUGAGUUUUAAUAACCAAAAAGGGACACUGUUUAAGCAGCUCCACAGCAGCAACUAUACUUGGACGAUGAGCUGCAAAAACAGAAAAGAAAACACAAAUUAAACUAAAAAAAUAUAAAAUUUAACACUAAUCCAAGGAUUAAAUAUCAAAUAUAAAGUCAUUAGGAUUGGGACCUUUGCAUUGAGGAAUAUCUACUACAUUAUGAGUUCCCUCCUGAUAAAGCCCAAUCAGGGGGUUUUCCGGUGAGCCAAGAACGGCUAACUUUGCGCGACACCGCUGUGGAUGCAAAUUUCUUCCUCCUCGAUCUUGGACGAUUUUGCACCUACAAAACAAUUAACACCUUAGGUUAAGACCAAGAGCCUCACGCGCCCACGAUGAAUGGGGGGGGGGCUUUGGCCGAAGAACCUCCGAUGCCAAAGUUAGAAUUUAGAGAGAAAGAGUGUUUAGAGAAUUUUGGGAUUUUUGCCAAAGUGUUGGAAUUAGCUUUUUGGUGAGAAUGGGAGUAUAUUUAUAGGGAUAGGAGGUGGCUAGGGUUUUUAGGUUUAAUUAGCCAAUUUAUUUGGCUAUUAAACAUAAAAUGAAUGUUUUGGUGGUUUUUUGUAUAAUUGGCUAAUAAAAAGGAAGAAAUGGUGGGAAAAGGUAGAAAAAAGGUAAUGGAUUAGGUUUUUCAAUGGGAUAGCCGGCCCUCUUGUGUUUUUAGGUUUGAGUGGAUGUUUCAAAUUGACAAUUAAGGGAUUGAUUAGGUAAUUAAUCCCUUAAUUAGUCAAUUAUUAUGAUUUUAUGAAAUAUGAAAGGAAUAAGUAUAUUAUUUAGCUAAUUGAUUAGCUAAAUAAUGAAAUGGGAAAUAUAUGAAUAAAUUAGGUUUUAAGUUGAUACCUAUUUUGGGCACUUUUGACUUGGUUGAAAAAAUGAUUCUCUACUGCUCGCGUGUAGGAAACCCGGUAUGCCUCGAGGGUAUUUUUGUCCUCUUUUGUCCAAAAGUCCACCUGUCGCCUAGUGAAUAUUUUUGGCUCCACAAAUGCCCCCACACCUGUUGGGCUGCUCGCAAAAAAAGGGCAGCAGGUGUAGAGAUCUUCUUGCUUUAGGAAACUUAAGACUGCUUCCUAUUUUGAUGUUGAUUCUCUCUUUAAUAGGAAAUUAGAUCCUUCUAGGAAAGGGAAAUAAAUUUCUCUCAAAGCCUAUUUAACUCCACCUUAAGUGGGUUAUUAAAUCAACUUUGGAAAGCAAUUUAUUCUACCCUACAAGAGAGAGAUAGCUUAGAGGAUAUUUGUUCCCCCUCCUCUAGCAAUCUUCUACAUCUUGCCCGUGCAAAGGACCGUCUUUCGUUGCUUUCUUCGUCUUCUUCGUGCCGCACCGAUGUAAGAAAAAUUUAAUUUUUCUUGCCUUAUUCUUGGAUAGUGCUAUUGCGGGGCAGUCGUCGGGGUGGUGCGGCACAUCGGCUGGCAGGGGCCAGGAGUUGGCUCGGCAUGGGCCGAGGAGAUGUUGUGGCAGGGACCACUGCUUGGGCAGCUUGGCUUGGCUUGAGCCAAAAGGCAGCUUGUGCAACUAGGGUCGCGGAUUGUGGCGCUGGGGCGCAGUGCUAGGCGAGCCGCAUGGCUCAUGUCCUUUGGGCUCUUGGACCUGACUCGGGCCAGGCUGGUGAUUGAGAGAAAUAAAGAGAUUGCGGGUCUCAUGGGCUGCUGGAAUGUUGGGCAUGCAGGCCUCCUGCCUGUUGGAAUGCUGGGUUGAGCUCCCCUACUGAGUACCAUGAAUGUAGUUGGCUGCUUAGUCCUCUUUGCCGAAAGAAAGGUGGGUUGCUCCAGAAAGAGGAGGUAAAGAGGAUCAAGGCGGAUGCAUUGGCUCGUCUGAUCGCUGUCGUGGAGCUUACUAUGAAUGAAGAUGGAAAGAAGAGAUCUUCCCCGCCUGCUCAUGAGAUGCCAGUUAAGAAAAAACUGAAGACUUCUUCUGCUGCUCAUGAGGGUCCGCUUGCUACCGAGAGGUAUGUGAUUGACAUGAUUUUCCAAUGGGAAGAAAUGUAAGGCUGCUAGAUCUGAGCAUGUGGCGUCUUCCAUGUUGAGAAUGGCUAGUACAAUUGUGGAUAAGAUUACUCAGCGUAAAGGUUUUAUCAUGCCCCCAGUGCCGAAGUCUGUACCAGGACGUUCUUUGGGAGCCAAGUCUGGUUCACCUUUGUAGAGACUUGCUAUUAUGAAGAGUGGUAAGGUGGACUCUGCUGCUAAAGUGGCGCCAAAAGCCUGCUCCCUUUGCUGCUGAGAUUGAUUCGCCUCAGAUUCAAGAUCUUAAGCUUGCAAUUUCUGAGCUUCGUUUCGCUACUUAUGCUAAGAAGAGAGUGGAUGAGCUUCUCUAUUUCUCCGGAAGACUUGCUUGCUUUUACUUUUAAGGCUUCCAUUGGUGAAGUAGUUGGAGAAGUUAGUGCCCAGACUGGGGCAGCCGGGGGUGAAGCGCCGGAUGAUGCCGCUGCUAAGAGCGUUACGGCUGUUGAAGGUGUGGCGACCGAGUAGUCGUGGAAUGUCCAAGCUGCUGUAGUGUAGUAUUUUAGGUAGCCUUUAGGAUUUUCUUUGUUUUUCCUUGUAGCUUUUGUUCUGCUUGAACUCCUUCAACCUUUGCUAGUUGUUUAUAAACAUGUUUUCCUUCGUUUUUCUUCAUCUUCACUUCUUUUGUUCAUGCCCUAACCUUUAGACUUGAUAGACCAGUGGCAGGCAUGCUACUUUUUUAUAAGCAGACAAACUCGCGUAGCCUAUGCAGCCGUAGAUGUUGGUGUAGAACUUUGCAAAGUUGUUAGCCAUAGGGUUGGCAGCCGGAUGCCUUACUUACAGAAGCAGAGCAAGUAUCACAUUACGCGUAACCACUAGGCUGUUAACUUUGACUUUCUUCAAUUCCAUAGGUUGCGUAGCAAGUAUCACAACACUUUAGGACUUGGUGUAGGUUGUUCCGCGCUUGGCAGAGGUGAAGCUUAUCGACUACGUAGCAUGUCGGCAGUGGAUAAAACUUCGUAUAUGCGCGCUAGCUUGUCUAACCUUUCACAAGAAUGUGCGGUUGUAUAAGUCUAGUGCGGCUUUACUGCUCGAAGGGCAAGCCGUAGGCAAUCUUCCGGAAUCCGUAGGUUACCUUAGUGCACUCGGUAGCAGCUUUAGGAUUCCAGGGCAGCCGUCCAUCGGAUGUACUGCGUAAUGUGCCCUCUCCGUCUCUAGGGCCCGGUUCCCCACGGAUUAGGCCAAGAGACCCAAAAUCCUUCAGUUAGCUAAACCUUGAAAAAGACCAUUGCGGCUACUUCUAGGAAUCCCGGCGCAAGCCAUCGUGCAUCUAGUUAUACUAGGGCAGCCAGGCUCAUCCACGUCUGGAUAUUCGGAGUGUAAAGUUUAUCCUCCCGUCUUGGAGAGCUGACCCAUAUGGGUGUUGGAGAAUUGGUUUACCCUCUCGCACUGGAGAGCAUGGUUGGUCCCUCGGGGGGCGCAAUUCCUGCGAUAAGUCCCUAAGAAGGGUGCAGUCUUCUUUUGAAGUGCAAGAGUGAUUAGUUGUUGUAAGCAUGCAGCCAAGCCAAGUUGUGAUUACUUCUAAAUUCCUCAUUGAAAAACGAGUGAAACGAACGAGAACUUUAGCUGUAAAGUAGGAACUGCAUAACAACUGGAUAGUCCUCAGCUUGUGAGGUGGUGCCCGUCGAGCUUAUUGAGUCUUCGGGUUUUGAUGUAGCGGGAGGUCACACAUGGUACUUCUUCAGAUUGUAGGCCAUCCAUUUUUUUUUCAAUCUUUUUGCCGCUUCAUGGUGGUGAGGGUGUAAUUACUCUUGCCCCCUACUCUGCUGAUCUUGUACGGACCUUCCUAGAUGGGAUCCAUCUUUUUGGAGCCUUCUCUGCCGGCAGUGAUGAAGGCUUUUCUGCGCCGUCGACAUGCAAAUGCCAGAAGUCUCCAUCGGGUGGAGUAGGCGCAGCUAGAGUGUGCUCGGCUACUUCUGAGGCAUCGUUGGGCCGCUCUGUUGCGUCACCUAGGCUCGGCGUGAAGGCGCAGUAGGGAGCUAUGGAGAUGGGGCCAUGUCAUACGCAACAGGAGAUGCUCAACUGCGGGUAUUGGGCCACUCUAGAGUUGAAUCAUUGAGCAAAGGUCGGCUAGGGCCGUGUGAUGCGCAACAAGAAAUGGUACUCAACUGCCGUUACAUGUUGCUCCUAUGUAGAAUCCUUCAGGGUGACGAGGACAAAACUUGCUUUCAAGUGUAUCUUUCCAGUGUUACGUUCGUCAGAAAACUUUACAUCCGCCAGGGUCUACGCCUUUAUCGUCGCGCGUCUGGAUUGGGCAGAAUAGUACGUCAUUAAGAUGAUUGCAUGCGUUUGAAAGUAAGAUUUGUGUUUCUAGGUUGCAACAACUAUCGCCAAAGUUAACUUUUGAAUUUUUAAUAACAUCGAUGAGAGCUUUUGAACUGUAGAAUACAGGUAACUGUGGAAUACAGGUAGUCGGGCCCCCAUCUCUUCUCGCAUGAUGGUAGAGCUUAUUGCUACUUUAGAUAACGUCAAACAUGUGAAUAAGUCCUCCGCUGCUUCUAGGGAGGUGAUGUCGGGUACUUCUUCAAGUUCUUGAAUGUGCAUUGGCGAGCCUCAUCCCAAAGUGCAUACUUCUCUGCCAAAGCAAAAGAGUCUGCCAGAGUUAGAUCUUCUUUCAUGAUCAAUUUUCCGAAUAGCGGGUGGUCUGCUGGAAGUCCUUUUUGGAAGGCUGCUCUAGCUAUCGAGUCGUUGCAUCCGACUAUUUUUGCCUUCUCUACUUUGAACCUCCUCACAUAGUCGCGAAGCGACUCCUUUGGGUUCUUCUUGACGUUGAACAAAUGAUCAGACUUCUUUUUUAUUGAGCGAUAGGAUGAAUAUUCUUUGGUGAAAACCAAAGAAAGUUCGUAGAAAUCCCAGAUGGAUUGUGGCGGCAGGGUGUAGAACCAAUCUUGCGCCUCGCCUUGUAGAGUAGUGGCGAAUAUCUUGCACAUGAGCUCAUCGUUGUUUCGAUAAAGGAUCAUUGCGCUUCGGUAGCGCUUUAAGUGUCUCUCCGGGUCUUCAUCCCCUUUGAAAGAUGUGAAAUGUGGCAUGCUGAACUCUCGUGGAGGCUCUGCCUGCUCGAUCUCGUCCGUGAAGGGUGACCUGCUUAUGUUGGUCAUGUUCCGUCGUAGUGCCUCGUUGGUGACCUCGUUGCGUUGGAAAUCAUGCAAUCGCUUGGUCAAGAGUCUCUCUACUUCUUCCUGAAUUUGCCUUUGUUGGGGGUAGUGCAGCUCUCGGCUGCCCCCAGCCAUGACUUGCUGGUCUAGGCUGCUCUUCCAUGUGUUUUGGCUCGUCUAUGCCGCAGAUGCAGUGCAUAUGGUGCAUUCCUAGCAGGCGAGCGAGUUCUUCGCAGGCUGCUGGUUAAACUUGAGCUGGAUUGAGUGACUGCUUCUCUCCGUCCGUCGUGCUGCCUACUCUGAUGUGAGGUGGAUGAUGCUCCUUGUGGGCUUAGCCGCGAAUGAACAUUUUGUCUGGAAGGUUGCUCAUGUUGACUAUCGGAGUGUGACCCCAACCGUGAAUGUAUGCUCAUCCGUGGGCCUAGUCGAGAGUACACGCUCCUCCGCGCGCUAAGACGAGAGUAUACGCUAUCUCGGGGGCCCAAUCGGGAAUGUACACUGCCUGAACGUUCAGCUCGUGGCUGGUCGAAUGGCUGCUUGCUGGGAUGCUGCUGGAAAGGUUCGUCUGCCAUUGUCCUACUUCGGGAUACCUCAUCCGGGGCACGUUGGAUCCCGAUGCGUUGCAAAAGUUGAUUCACCAAAGUUGUCUGUUGUGCAAGAGUGCUCGUCAACUCUAUGACUUGUCGAGACAAGUGUUGUUCGCCAUUUGGAUUGGAAGAGCUUGGAAGGAAUGCGCCUCCUUGAGCAGUGGAAGGGUGGUAGACUCCGGGCGCGAGAUUUGAGUUGGGAAAUGUCAAAUCAGCGAAAAAAUGUGGUGAGAAUGCCCCCGGCUCAAUGGUAGGUCCAGAUGGUUGAGAUAGUUUUGGGCCGACUUGGGCUGCUUGGAAAGCCACGGGAGCAGUGUGGGCCUUAAGAGUGGGCUGCUCGUCGGGAGUGGGCUGCUCGUUGGGAGCAGGCUGGGUCACGAGAGCAGGCUGCUUGGCAGGAGCAGGUUGCUUGGCGGGAGCAGGCUGGGCCACGGAAGCAGGCUGCUUGGCAGGAGCAGGUUGCUUGGCGGGAGCAGGCUGGGCCACGGAAGUAGGCUGCUUGGCAGGAGCAGGCUGGGCCACGGGAGUGGGCUGCUUGGCAGGAGCAGGCUGGGCCACGGGAGUGGGUUGCUCGACGGGAGCAGGCUGCUCAAUGCGCGGUGCAUGUGAAUGCGAGGCUUGGGCUUGGGUCCACGUGAACUUGGAUGGCACGGCUUGGAUCGUGGUCUUGGUACCGUGAGCCUUGGAUGGCACGGCUCGGGCCGUGGUGAAGGCUCCAUGGACCUCGCCACGAGUGGCUACCGAAGUAGCCAUCGUGGUGGUUCCCAUGGUGGCCGUGGUGAAGGCAUCAUGGACCUGUAGCCACCACGGUGGUUCCCAUGGUGGCCGUGGUGAAGGCAUCAUGUGGAAGCUCGUGGUGAUGAUGCCGCUCCCCUUAUUGUCGCAUUUUGCCUUACGGAUCUCCGGGUCGUGGUGAAGGCUCCAUGGACCUCGCCACGAGUGGCUACCGAAGUAGCCACCGCGGUGGUUCCCAUGGUGGCCGUGGUGAAGGCACCAUGGACCUCGCCGCGGGUAGCUACCGAAGUAGCCACCACGGUGGUUCCCAUGGUGGAAGCUCGUGAUGAUGAUGCCGCUCCCCUUAUUGUCGCAUUUAGCCUCACGGAUCUCCGCAAUCCCAUUUCUUGAACAUUAGAAUUUUCACUUGUGGAAUUUUCUAAAUUUCUAGCCAUUAUAUUUUGCUUAUACGUUUUAUCAAAGAACCUUUGCAAGUAAAAAAUUCUAAUAAUAAGAACGUAUGAAAAAUAUUCAAAUGGACUAGAAAAUAAAGAAAAAACCUUUUUUGUGCAAGAGUCUUCUACGAGUAUGGAUUUCAACUCUCAAUGAAAGCACCAAUUUGUGGAUGCAAAUUUCUUCCUCCUCGAUCUUGGACGAUUUUGCACCUACAAAACAAUUAACACCUUAGGUUAAGACCAAGAGCCUCACGCGCCCACGAUGAAUGGGGGGGGCUUUGGCCGAAGAACCUCCGAUGCCAAAGUUAGAAUUUAGAGAGAAAGAGUGUUUAGAGAAUUUUGGGAUUUUUGCCAAAGUGUUGGAAUUAGCUUUUUGGUGAGAAUGGGAGUAUAUUUAUAGGGAUAGGAGGUGGCUAGGGUUUUUUAGGUUUAAUUAGCCAAUUUAUUUGGCUAUUAAAACAUAAAAUGAAUGUUUUGGUGGUUUUUUUGUAUAAUUGGCUAAUAAAAAGGAAGAAAUGGUGGGAAAAGGUAGAAAAAAGGUAAUGGAUUAGGUUUUUCAAUGGGAUAGCCAGCCCUCUUGUGUUUUUAGGUUUGAGUGGAUGUUUCAAAUUGACAAUUAAGGGAUUGAUUAGGUAAUUAAUCCCUUAAUUAGUCAAUUAUUAUGAUUUUAUGAAAUAUGAAAGGAAUAAGUAUAUUAUUUAGCUAAUUGAUUAGCUAAAUAAUGAAAUGGGAAAUAUAUGAAUAAAUUAGGUUUUAAGUUUAUACCUAUUUUGGGCACUUUUGACUUGGUUGAAAAAAUGAUUCUCUACUGCUCGCGUGUAGGAAACCCGGUAUGCCUCGAGGGUAUUUUUGUCCUCUUUUGUCCAAAAGUCCACGUGUCGCCUAGUGAAUAUUUUUGGCUCCACAAAUGCCCCCACACCUGUUGGGCUGCUCGCAAAAAAGGGCAGCAGGUGUAGAGAUCUUCUUGCUUUAGGAAACUUAAGACUGCUUCCUAUUUUGAUGUUGAUUCUCUCUUUAAUAGGAAAUUAGAUCCUUCUAGGAAAGGGAAAUAAAUUUCUCUCAAAGCCUAUUUAACUCCACCUUAAGUGAGUUAUUAAAUCAACUUUGGAGAGCAAUUUAUUCUACCCUACAAGAGAGAGAUAGCUUAGGAGGUGGAGGCUCUUGAUAGAAGAUUGGCAUUGGAGUCGUUUUCAAAGUUAGUUUCUUCAUGAACAUCCUAAUGUCAGCUUCUAGAGUUUCCUGUAAAAGAACAGACAACAUUCAUAAUAAGAAAAUCCCUCUCUGCAAUCGCAGAAAUCCCUCGGGUUUAAGGAAGCAAAUAGAAAACGAAAUGCUUUCCUCCCAUCUCUCUCUCUCUCUCACCUCUGUCCCAUCUCCUGUCUGCAAAUCGCAGAAAAGAAACCCUAAACAAAUCCCUGAAAUCCCUCGCCUAAAUCCUCCCACAUUUCUCUCGGACACCCCCCUCUUUCUCUCUGCAAACCCUAAACCAAAUCUCCUAAAUCCUAUCUUUGACACCCCACAUACAGCCAAGAAGCCAAGAUAUUAAAGCAAUAUCUACAUAAUACUUUGGAACAAUGAAGUAAAAUGGUACUUACUUGUUCCUUGUCCAAAACCGUUGGUGCCACCGCACUUUGUUAUCAAUUGUGGGUUGAUCAAAUCCUUCAUGGCUUAGACUGCAUGAAGAAUUAGAAACUAAAAGAUGAAUAUAUGCCGUAAAUCAUCAUAUAAAUGUAACUGCAUUUAAAAAAAGAAGGGAAUGGAAAAAUUGAAUUCUAUUUCAUCAGUAUGUAACUGCAUGAAAAGUUACUUUGAAUGCAGACUCGAUCAAUUUCCCCAAAGUCAUUGUUAACUGAAAAUCAAUACCAAACCCAUAAAUACCACAUUGAAUUUGGCAAAACCCAAAAACAAAAUUGCAAAAAUUUACUCAUAAUCACGGAAAAACAUGAAACUUAAGCACCCAUUUGGCCAAGUUAAAGGAUAAAGGCACUCACAUCAUCGUAUUACUCUUUGGGAAGAUCUUCUAUUAUUGGUUCUUCCUUUUUCUUGCUCUUCCUCAGAACUGCCAUAAAAACCCCAGAGAAGCACACGAAUUCAGAAAAGAAAAUGUCCAAAACUGCCAUAAAAAAAAUCCAGAAAGCAUACAAAUUUAUCAGAAAGAAAAGUUCAAAUUACAAAAACCAAAUGAUGUGAGUGAGUAGUGAGAGGUUGUGUUAGGCACCUGAAACACGUUUUGGUUUCAAUUGAAAAGGCCAGAGCCAUGCAUGCGAGGAAGAUGACGACAGGAUUCCAGAGACAACAUCCACAUUCUUUUUUCAUGGGUGAACUAACCACAUCAUAUUAUAUACUAAAACGACAUAAAAAAUCAUUCACAAACUCACAACAAAAUAGAACAAAAAGAUUCACAAAAGAUUUGGGAGUUGGGACGCUAACAAAAACAUUUAUUUUCUAAACAAAUACACAACCGCUAAUCUGGGUUUGGUCAGUUUGACUAAAACGGUGCGCUAUUUUGCAUCUAAAUAUAGUAUAUCGCUUAAAUAAAAUUAAAAAAAUAUACACAUCCAAUGCUUUUAGUCUAAAGCUAGAAUUAGGAAUAACUGAGUAAGUUAAUGAAGGCAAAGCAGAGGGUAGGAAGCAGAACAUACCAAGAGACCACUAGGCCAUCGGGGCCGGUCUGCCGAUAAAUGCCGUGUACUGGUCGACAACGCCCAACGGAGUCGGCGCAGCAAAGAAGUAAAAGUCGAAACCACCCCCAAUGACCUUGUAGGUGAGAGAAUUCCCUCUGUAGAACACAUCCAUGCCAUUGUUGUUGAGCAGCAGAACGGAGUGCGCGUAAGCCUCGUUGCCCACAUUCCAGAGAUCCAUGUAAACUGGGUGGGACCCAUACAAAUCAGUGUUGAGAUUGAUCGCCGAGACGUCAGUGGUGAAGAGGAUGUAUGGAUCGUUCGGGUAGAGCUUGAUCCCGUGCGGCUGAGAGUUCUCUCCGAGGCCGUACAGGGAGGAGUCUUUCGGCAGUCGGGUGGAUAUCUCGAGGUACUGGUCCUUAAACACCAGUACUAGUCCAAUAAAACGCUCUGCUUUAUUGAUUUUCAAUUCAUGUUCAUUCGGGUCCCAAACAAGACUGAACGGCCCCGGAGCCGGGUUGUAGGUAUCUACAUAUGAUACAAGUGCCCAGAUGUGGCCAUCACUGCGGUUGACACCUAACUUCAUACCCGGUAAAAAUGUGUCUCCAGGAUAAUCACUUCGGCAGAUCGAGGGUGAUUUGAGAUGUUUUCCAGCUAAAUUGGACUUCGACCCAAGUAUGAAAGUUGUUUCUCUUAUCGAGAUCUUCAUUCAUGUAAAAUUUGGGAAUUUUAGAAUUGUUGAAUUCUUCGGCGAGUCAGGCCUGCCGACCACCUCGUGCUUCGGCGCAUGGCCCUUUGGCCGCCGUCCUGUGGCGGCUCGUGCGGCGAUGUAUGCAGGAAAACCUGAGGUUCCUCCUUAGGUUUUUCGACGUACCAAACCCGAAUCCGCCGUCCUUUUUCCAAAAUUCUAACAUUUUCAUAGAGUUUUAUUAAACGACCUUUAAUUGUGUUUAGGUGCAUUGGUGGAAUUGACCUCAUGCUUGUUGGUUCGAGCAGCUUUCGGGCAAUGGAAAACUUGUGAGUGGACCCCUUCUAAACUUAUAUAUUGUUAUAAAAUAUUAGCCUAGCAUGCAUUCCAUAUUUCAUGAUUUGAAUAUGAUUUAUAAUAUGCUUUAUGGACUUUUAUAAUUAUGGUUUACGAAAUAGUUUGAUUUAUCGAAAUUAUGUUUUAUUAGGUAUUGAAUUAUUGGAUUUGCAUAUAUGGAUUUCUAUGGUUUUCGAAUACGAUUUAUAUUACGGUUUUACGAACAUGAAUUAUUUUAUGGAUUUCAUUAAUACAAUUUAUCUUGGAUUUAUGAGAUGAGACUUUGAGCUAGUGAGCUCCGGGUUUGAUAUGAGUUUUGAGAUAUGUUUUUGGUACUUAUCUAGUGGGUUAUCAUACGGCACAUCCGCACACCACGGGUAUAGAUGUGUAUGGCCAUAGGUCACAGAUGAUGAGGAGGAGUAAGAGAUAUAUUAUAUACCCCCAGUUCACUGUCAAAAGCAGUGUCAGAUAACUUCACUAGCCAUGGCUAGUCGGUAUGGAUGUUAUGCUAUUUCAUACAGCUUCACCUUCGGGUGAUAGACAAGUUAUUUAGCUUCACCUUCGGGUGAUGGACAAGUACUACCUUCGGGCAACUAUGAUAGCCUUAGUUUCACUGACAAGAUUUACAGAUUUGCCUUCGGGCGACAACAUUUUCAUUAUCAAAUAUUGGAUUUUACAUAUCUACCUUCUAAAUGGAUUUUCAUGGCAUGCUAGGGUUUUUCAUAAAAUUUAUAUGUAGUAUUAUAUAUGUUUUCAAAACAAGGGGUUAUUAUGUUCAUAAAUAAAAUGUUUUCCUAUUAUUAGUAUUAUUAAUAUAAACUUUGGUCCACUCACAUUUUCAAUUUUUGCGCCUCCUCAGGAGUUAGGAUCGAGGCACAUGAUCCUGGCAUCAUGGCGUGUUGAUAUAGGUAUCCUUGAAUCUUCUCAUUGUAGGUAUCAUUCCCUUAUUCAUAUCUUUUUAUAGUGAUUCUUCCCUAUUAUUUCUAAUUAGUUGUAUGCUCUGAACACAUUCCCUCCAUGGACUCUGGAGGCAUGUAACCACUGCACCAAAUGGAAAAAGAAAAAAUAGUAAGUAUACUUAUCUGCAAAAAUGCGUGUUUAGCAAUCAAAAGGGGAAGACCAUGUCAAUGUGAUGCCGAAAUACUUACCGUGUCCCGACAAUCUUGCUAGUGUUUGCUUCCAAUUCAUUUUGGGUGCAAAUCCUUGCCAGACCAAAAUCUGAAAUUUUUGGGUUCAUGUUUUCAUCAAGUAGUAUGUGUUCGUGGCAGGAAUUUCCGCCGGGGAUGCUUUCCUGGCCAACGAGCACACAGCUCCCCUGGGAGGUCGGCGCCGGUUGAGGCUGCUGUCAGGCUUCUACUUCGCGGUCGGGCUUUCUCGGGCAAGACUUGUCGGGCAAGUCUCGUCGGGCAAGACUCUUCGGGUAAGGCUCUUCGGGCAAGGCUGAAAGAGAAGGACAACAUUAACUUUGAGAGGUGCCUUUGUGGGGCCUUAGGUGUAGGCCUUGAGGCUCACAAUCAAGGUUAACAUUUAAGUGCUCAGGCGUGCCACUGCCAUCUUUAGCAUGGCAGAUGUAGAAUGGUUGUCGUGCUUUAGUUGUAUAUAUGUAUGUAUCCAAGAAACCGUGUUAGUUAUAACAAGUGCCUUUGUGGGGCCUUAGGUUUAGGCCUUGAGGCUUCCCAUAAAUAACUAAACCAGUGCUCGAACACAUCAUAUUUAUUCUUGCGAUUGUAGGAGUUUUCUAACUAUUAUACUUCUGAUUACCCGAAUCCAAGAAGUAGAAUGAACCCAAAUAGGUGCCUUUGUGGGGCCUUAGGUGUAGGCCUUGAGGCUUCCCAUCAGAGUUCAUUCUUAUACUUAGACUCUUUAGAUCGCAGAACGGAAUGAAUCCAAAUGGAUGCCUUUGUGGGGCCUUAGGUGUAGGCCUUGAGGCUUUCCAUCAGAAUCCAUUCCAUGCUCAAGCGUUCUAUGGAAAUCAUGAUAUAAUAGAAACAAAACCAAGAGGUAGGUCGAUUACUUGCGCCCCAAGUAACUUCGGACUUCUCGUUUAUCAAGGAUUGUCGUGGAUGGGUUGAGUCCACAUAAAGUUCUUUUUUAUGCCUUGAGGCCAAGGACUUUUAAACUAAUCAUUUUUUACAUGCCCGAAGGCUUAGGACUUGGAUCUGAUUUAAAUACUGAAGAUAUAUUCAAAUCGGAUCCAAGUACUGAGAAAACUUUGUCAUCGUGAUUUUGCUAGAAACAACUUGCAUAUAACUGGAAGUAUACAACAUAUUGCUAGAUUUUAAAGAAAGACAAGACAAAGACAGAGCAAAGCAGGUCGGGCAAGAUUAAACCUUAUCAAUUAAGGCUGAUCGUCUUGCAGGUCCCUAUCUUUGUAGUUUUGUCAAAGGUCUGAAAGCUUAGAGGGGGAGAGGGGGAAAGGAGAAUAUAAAAGGUGAAUCAAUACUACAACAAGUUCGAACAAGGUAGCAGAGCUAUUACAGAGGUUGGGAGAAAAGAUUAUCCCGCGGGGGAUGAAGGCUUGUCCCGAAUGGGAUGAAGGCUUGGGCUGACUACAGCUUCGUUUUGAAAGGCAAAUCUGGCUUUUUUAGCAGAGUUUGUGCUUUUGUUUGUUUGAUUGAGUGUCUUUAUUCCUGUCUUCUCUUCCUCCUUUUAUAGACGACUCGGUUUGGCUCCUGUAGCGACAGCUUUGCCUGAAUGCGGUCUGAGGGUGAUGACUCAUCAGCUUUAUUACAUGUAAUGCCACCAUAAAGUACUUUAUGGGCUGUGCAGUCUGAUCAGUCUACACCACUUGGUCCUUGGGUAGGUAGGCAAGUGGCCCUUAUGAAUUGUAUCAAGUCAGAAAAAGCCCUUUCCUGUUUUCCUAAGUUUCGGCCGGGCCUUGAUCUUCUAUUCCUCCAGGCCUCCUUUUGGGCCGACUCCAUCCUUGGGCCAAAAAUCAAGUUUUAAUCCAAACAGUGCCCCCUUCAAUUAAUGUGAAGGUUGGAAUCCCAGGCGUCGACAUUGAUUGAAUACCCGCAUGCAUGCAUAUCCGUCCUUGGGAAUUUAUGCUUCCGGUGCCCUUUGCUCUUCUCACGACCCUUGAACUGUCCUUUGGGCCCUAUAAAAUCUAGCUCGGGACUUCUCCUAUCAAACUACCAAAUCCCCUUUAGCUCUGGCCUUCAACUUCCAUCCAUCUUGAGCGUUCUUGUCUCCUCUUAGAAACUGAGAAAUGGGUUCCUCAGGUUUUGAGUGGAGUUUCCUAAAACUCCCCUUUCGCGAGAAAAUGAGGUUUCACCUGAUGACUGCUAUCUCCAACACCCUUGGUCAACCACCCCUCUAUCUCCAACACCCUUGGUUAGGCGGCUUCCUCUUGAUGGUUUGUCUUCCCGCAAGCUGCGGCGAUAAGUCGGGCUUCACCAUCACAUAUGGUGACAGCCCCGUCGGAGGAUCCUCUACCAAGCGCAUGUUGGCCGCACAACCCGAUCACCCGAUUGGGUUCCAUCCCUGAAGACAUCGGGAAACCAGCUGAAGACACCACCAUAUUCAGAGAGAAUCAAAUGUAAUACAUAGGAUUGAAAUUCUGUAAAUUUCAUCAAUUUGUCGACAUGAAAUAAAUACUAUUUUAGCAAUUUCUGUCUUUCUGCCUUCUUUGAAUGUUUGAUGAACAAAAACACUGCAUAUGAGACUCCCGAAGCCUGUUUCACUCUGCCCCCUCUUCAAUGUAACAAUCCCUAACAUCCCAUAAUGUAGGACAAUAUUUUUUUAAGAAUCUAACAUUAAUGGGAUGUUUCUGCCCAUUUCCUUCGAGGUCCGCUAGGUAGUAUCCUCCUUUAUUCAAAACUCGACUAAUAAUGAAAGGACCUUCCCAUGUCGGGCUCCACUUUCCAAAACCCCGAAGCUGAGCUCCCAGCGGGAGGACUGUUUUCCAUACUACAUCUCCCUCUUUGAAAGACUUUACCUUCACCUUCUUGUUAUAAGCUCGGGCAACAGCUAUCUUUCCUUCUUGAUCUGGUUCAAGGCUUCAAUUCGGGCUGCAUCCAGGUCUUCAAUACCUUGACACAUGGCUUCGAUAUAUUCUGCACUAUGUAACCCAAAUUGGUUUUGAAUUCUUACGGAACUAACGUUGAUCUCCAUGGGGAGCACUGCAUCUUGCCCGAACGUCAAGGCAUAAGGAGUUGUGCCUGUUCCCGCUCUUUUGGAAGUCCUGUAUGCCUACAACGUAUUCCCCAGCAUCUCGUCCCAUUUUUCUGGACUAUCUAUCACCAUUCUUUUAAUAAUGUUGACCAGGAUCUUGUUGCUAGCUUCGGCCUGCCCAUUUGACUGAAGGUAGUACGGACUGGAUUGGAUCAUCUUUAUCUUGUACUUGCUUGCAAACUCCUCGACUUCUUUUGAAAUAAAAGAUGGCCCAUGGUCUGUUACUAUAGUCUCGGGCACCCCAUAUCUGUGCAGGAUCUUGGUCUCGAUAAAAUUCUUGACUACGGCGGAAGUUAUGGAUUUUACUGCUGAUGCUUCCACCCACUUGGUGAAGUAAUCCGUUGCUACAAUUAUAAAAGUAUGCCCUUUACUAGAAGCUGGAUAAAUUUGCCUGAUGAAGUCCAUCGCCCAUCCUCGGAACGGCCAAGGCUUGACCACUGGAUUCAAAGGCACUGAAGGCACGUGUUGGAGAGGUCCAUGCCUCUGACAUUCUUCACAACCGCGGGCAUAAGACUUGUAAUCCUUUUCCAUAUCGGGCCAGAAAUAACCGUACCUUCUGAGUAGCCAUCUCAUCUUUGUCCCUGCUUAAUGUGCUCCACAUAUUCCCUCAUGUACUUCGGCCAUCACUCUCAUGGAUUCUUCUUGGCCUAAGCAUUUUAGUAGUAAUCCAUCUGGGGUUUUUCUUAGCAGGUUCUUCGCCCAUAAGACAUAUUUGGUUGCUUGCUGCCUAUUCUUCUUACUUGUAGGUGAAGAGGGAUCCUUCAAAUGAUGAAUGAUGGGUGCCCUCCAAUCUUCCAUCUUGGUUUCUAGAACCAUUACAUCCAAACUAAAUCCCCUGUCUAAGAUGGAAGGAAGGUUUCUUGUUUGGAUCUCGACAUCUAUUCCAUACUUUCUUUCCUGUAUUGGCACUCCUGAGGCUAGUUGCGCCAUUUCAUUGGCUGCUAAGUUAGACCCCCUAGGAAUAUGAUUAACUGAUAUCUCAGACUCACAGAAACUCAACAAUUGUGUUGCUGCCAUAUAGUACCCCGCCAUAGUGAUAUGUCUGCACUUGAACUUGCCAUUUAGCUGGUUUAUUACCAACUCUGAAUCACCAAAGACUUCUACUUCUGCUGCCCCCAAAUCCAACAGGAUUUCUAGACCAAUAAUCAAGGCCUCAUACUCUGCCCGAUUAUUAGUAUUUUCUUGGUAAUCGAGCAGGAAUGAGUAAUAAUGAUAAACCCCUUGAGGAUUUAUAAUCACAAUCCCAGCCCAUGCAGCCUUCUGAGUGUGGGAUCCAUCGAAAUACAACUUCCAAUGAGUAAUCCAGAGGCCCGUUACUCUUCUUAUCUCUUGCUGGAUCCAAUCUUCUUUGCCCGAAACAUCACUUCUUGGUGGGAUCCAAACGCUAGUAACCUCCAAACUUCCCGGGAUAUUGAUUACCUCACUUUGAGGUUCCUGAUGUUCGGUCAGCAAGUCAGCAAUUGCCUGGCCUUUGACUGCCCUUUGGGGUACAUAUUGAAAACUGAAUUUUGAUAGUGCUAGAAUCCACUUCCCAAUUCUUCCUGCUAGCAUAGGCUUUGACAACAUAUACUUUAUCACAUCUAUUUUGGCGAUGAUGUGCACGUGACAAGGUAACAUAUAAUGCCUUAGCUUGUUGGCAGUAAAAUAUAGAGCCAAACACAAUCUCUCCACCGGAAAAUAUCUUGUUUCUACCUCGGUCAAAAUUCUGCUGAGGUAGUAUACGGCCUGCUCAUUUCCACCUUCAUUAUUUUGGGCUAGCAAACUCCCAAUUGAUUUUUCCGAAGCAGAAAUAUACAGCUUCAAUGGCUUUCCCCUUUGAGGUGGUACCAACACUGGUGGAGAAGUUAGGUAGGCCUUGAUGCUGUCAAAUGCCUGCUGGUGGGUCGGCCCCCACUCGAAAUUCUCUUUAUCUUUCAAUCUUAGUAGAGGAGUUAGCGGUUGGAUUUUGCCCGCUAAAUUGGCAAUGAAUCUCCUCAAGAAGUUGAUUUUGCCUAGUAGCCUUUGAAGCUGUACUUUGUUGGUGGGUGGAGGUGACUCCAAUAUUGCCCGAGACUUGUUCUUGUCCACUUCCACACCUCUCUGAUGCACCAAGAAUCCCAAGAAGUGGCCCGCUCUUACUCCAAAUACGCACUUCUUUGGAUUCAUCUUCAAUUUGUGGAUCCGCAUCCUUAUCAAUGCUUGCCUGAGAUCUACUAGAUGCUGCUCUUCUGUUUUAGAUUUCACCACGAUGUCGUCGAUAUAUACCUCUAUGCUCUGGCCAAUUAGAUCAUGAAAAAUGGCAUUCAUUGCCCUUUGAUAUGUUGCGCCAGCAUUCUUGAGCCCGAAGGGCAUGACCAGAUACUCAUAUGCCCUCACAUGACCAGGACACCUAAAAGCUGUUUUAUGAAUAUCAUCUGGAGCCAUCUUUAUCUAAUUAUAUCUGGCAUUUCCAUCCAUAAAAGAUAAAACUUUAUGCUUUGCUACUGCAUCUAUGGAUAAAUUAGCCAUGGGCAUGGGAUAUUCAUCUUUUGGCGUAGCACUAUUAAUGUUUCUAUAGUCAACACAACAUCGUACUGCUUUUGUUAUAGCUUUUAAAACGGGUACAAUGUUGGCUAGCCAUUCCACGUAUUUGGCCGGUCUGAUAAAGCCAGCUUUUACCAGCCUUUCGAUCUCUUCUUUGACCUUUUCUUCUAUCUCCUUCGACAUCCUCCGUGGUGCUUGCUUAACAGGCUUAUAUCCUUCCUUGAUGGGCAUUCUAUGUUCCACCAAGGCUGGAUCUAACCCUGGCAUCUCGGCAUAAUGCCAAGCAAAACAAUCUUUGAAUUCUUGCAAAAGACAAAUGAUCAUUGCCCGAUCAACAAUUCCCAAUAAACCACUGAUUUGUAUUGGUCUUGGAUCCUCCUCCGUGCCUAGAUCAAUAACUUCCAAAGGAUCCUGAACUUCUGGUGAUGGCUUAUCAGGUUCUGCACAUAAAAAUUCGACCAACUCUGGCUCUCGGGCAAGUUGUCUGGCUCGUCUAGAUCAUAUAUGCAUUCAGCCAUUUGAAUGGCCCUAUCCAAUUCCUCUUUGCAAGAUUCCUCUCAAUUUCCAUGCUGGCUGGUUGAAGCUUCUUCCUGCCAUUCUUGCUAUUCCUGCUCCCUUUCUUGUCUUCUUCCCUUCCCAUAUACCAGCAGUCUUUUAAUCAGGGAUCUAACUGCCAUGACCUGAUCUUUCUUCUUUUGUUCAGUCAUUGAUGGUGUAGGGAAUUUGGUAUGAGACAAGGUUUAUCCCACUCCUCCUUAGUAAGGAGCAUUCCUUGUUCCAAAAGCUUUUGGGCCGUCACCUUGGUAGGGCGGCCGUUCUUAUCAGCUCCUGAACAUUUCAAGAUUCCUACGUUGGGAUUGUAGAAACUUGCUUCCGCAACAUUGGCUGAGGGGAGGAACGGCCGUGAUUCGGCCUCUACUAUUUCCCAAAAGCUUGGUCCUUCAGUACCUGCCUCAUGAUAUACAGCUACUUGUUGAUGAAGAGUGGAAUGUAUGGCUAAACUUUGGUGGAUCCAAUCUCUUCCGAGUAAGGCUCCGUAAGUGGAGGUGCAGUCCACCACAAAGAAUGCCAGCAUUAUCUUUUUGGAUCCCAAGUCCACCUCCAAAGGUAAUAUCCCAUGAGUCUUAGUGAUAGCACCUGAGAAGCUAGAGACCGUAAGGUCCGUGGGAAUAAGAUCUUCCGUACCUCUCCCAAUCUUUCUCAUCUGCUUGGCCGGUAACACGUUAACAGCUGCUCCUCCAUCAAUUAAAAUUCUUUUGAAGGGUACACCUUCCAAGUGAGCUGAAACAUAUAUAGGCUUCAGAUGGUUGGCCAACGAAAUACUCGGGCGGCUGAACACCAUCUCGUCUGUGUAAAUCCUUAGAAGACCACCCUUGGAUACUUCUGAGGGUUCAGCCUUGCCCGAGACUUGUUCUUCAGCUAUCUCCACAUUGACUUGUGCCAUCAUUGGCUCCGUUGUUAAGUAAUCACCCUCCAUAGUAGCAGGCUGAUCAGGUCUGGCACCAAACGUGGCGGAUAAUACAUACGCCAUGUUGAUGUGGAAAUUACUGGGCUCGAGUACAUCCUCCUUCUUGCUCCCAAUUUGGUCCAUGAAUUCAUCUAACCAGGCCAUCGCAUCGGCUGGAAGUAGUGGUUCUGGUAUCCCUUCCUGUUGUGGUUGAUCCAUGCCCUCGUACAGUGUUUGUUUUGGAACUUCACCAAAGGGAUCCACGAAUGGCAGAGAAAGUGGUCUUCUUUCAGAUGCAACAGUUCCCAUGUGAAUAGGCUCCGGCUUCCACCCAGGAGUUGAUACCAUGAUCAGAUCUUCUUGAGCUCUUCUCAAUAUCCUAUACUUCCCAGGAUGUUGGCUCUGCGGCACAUGAUCCCCCACACCCUCUGCUUUGCUAUUGGCUUUCUCUACCUCCUUUUUACUUCGCCAACGGAGCUGGCUACUACCUCCAGAUGUUGCUCUUUCCAACUUUUGAUUUUUUGAGGCUUCAGAGGUAGUGGGGGUCUUCAAAGAAUUCAUGUAGGCUUUGUGCUGCCUUUGAACCCUCCUGACCAUUGAGGCUCCCAUCGGUUUGGUGGGUUGUCCAUCCUUUCCGACUAUAUACCAUUUUCGCCCAAGAUGUGCAGGAUUCCCUUUUCUGCCGGGAUUAGCUAUCCCAUCAGUUCUCUUGACUUCCCCCCCCAUCUGGCCAUUCUGAAGAUGAUCUGCACCUCUCUGGAUUUUAGCCUCCAUUUUUUCUGCCUCGUCAGAAGCUUCAUGGUUUCGAAACACUUCUGACAAAGCCUUGGGUUGGGAAUCACCUCCUAAGCGUUGAAAAACACUUCGGGAAGUAUCCUUCUUUGUUGCCUGCUUAAUCUUUUCGCGGGCUUCUCUUCUUGUAUCUUCUUCUUUCCUCCUGAUUAACUCGUGAUCAAUGAGGACUCCAGCCGAGGGAAUCUCGAGCUCACAUUCACACUGGCAUUUACUACACAUAACCAUCCCCUUGAUUAUGGCAGCCUUUGGAUACUCAGGCAGUUUGAUUAUUCUCUCUGUAGGUUUUUCGGCCAGUCUUUCUUCUUCUUCCCUUGUAAUCUUCCCUUUUCCUUUCUCCGCCCAUGUCAUAUUGAGCAUAUUUAUAGGGGCCUCUAAGAAGGGAAAUGCAGGGUUGAUUACGACCAUCUCGUCUGGCUGGCUGUUUUUACGUCUUUUUCCUUUGGGAGGAACCACAUCUAUAUCACUUCUAGAGCCUGUGGAGGCUUUCUCCAAUCGUUGCAGCAUUUGAAACAACGUGGUCUAUAAGUCUUCUGGCAUAUCUGUUUCUCUAUCUUCUGAUUAGAGAUCCCACCGGGAGUGCCAAAACUAUGUUCGUGGCAGGAAUUUCCGUCGGGGAUGCUUUCCUGGCCAACGAGCACACAGCUCCCCUGGGAGGUCGGCACCGGUUGAGCCUGCUGUCGGGCUUCUACUUCGCGGUCGGGCUUUGUCGGGCAAGACUUGUCGGGCAAGUCUCGUCGGGCAAGACUCUUCAGGCAAGGCUCUUCGGGCAAGGCUGAAAGAGAAGGACAGCAUUAACUUUGAGAGGUGCCUUUGUGGGGCCUUAGGUGUAGGCUUUGAGGCUCACAAUCAAGGUUAACAUUUAAGUGCUCAGGCGUGCCACUGCCAUCUUUAGCAUGGCAGAUGUAGAAUGGUUGUCGUGCUUUAGUUGUAUAUAUGUAUGUAUCCAAGAAACCGUGUUAGUUAUAACAGGUGCCUUUGUGGGGCCUUAGGUUUAGGCCUUGAGGCUUCCCAUAAAUAACUAAACCAGUGCUCGAACACAUCAUAUUUAUUCUUGCGAUUGUAGGAGUUUUCUAACUAUUAUACUUCUGAUUACCCGAAUCCAAGAAGUAGAAUGAACCCAAAUAGGUGCCUUUGUGGGGCCUUAGGUGUAGGCCUUGAGGCUUCCCAUCAGAGUUCAUUCUUAUACUUAGACUCUUAGAUCGCAGAACGGAAUGAAUCCAAAUGGAUGCCUUUGUGGGGCCUUAGGUGUAGGCCUUGAGGCUUUCCAUCAGAAUCCAUUUCAUGCUCAAGCGUUCUAUGGAAAUCAUGAUAUAAUAGAAACAAAACCAAGAGGUAGGUCGAUUACUUGCGCCCCAAGUAACUUCGGACUUCUCGUUUAUCAAGGAUUGUCGUGGAUGGGUUGAGUCCACAUAAAGUUCUUUUUUAUGCCUUGAGGCCAAGGACUUUUAAACUAAUCAGAUUUACAUGCCCGAGGGCUUAGGACUUGGAUCUGAUUUAAACACUGAAGAUAUAUUCAAAUCGGAUCCAAGUACUGAGAAAGCUUUGUCAUCGUGAUUUUGCUAGAAACAACUUGCAUAUAACUGGAAGUAUACAACAUAUUGCUAGAUUUUAAAGAAAGACAAGACAAAGACAGAGCAAAGCAGGUCGGGCAAGAUUAAACCUUAUCAAUUAAGGCUGAUCGUCUUGCAGGUCCCUAUCUUUGUAGUUUUGUCAAAGGUCUGAAAGCUUAGAGGGGGAGAGGGGGAAAGGAGAAUACAAAAGGUGAAUCGAUACUACAACAAGUUCGAACAAGGUAGCAGAGCUAUUACAGAGGUUGGGAGAAAAGAUUAUCCCGCGAGGGAUGAAGGCUUGUUCCGAAUGGGAUGAAGGCUUGGGCUGACUACAGCUUCGUUUUGAAAGGCAAAUCUGGCUUUUUGAGCAGAGUUUGUGCUUUUGUUUGUUUGAUUGAGUGUCUUUAUUCCUGUCUUCUCUUCCUCCUUUUAUAGACGACUCGGUUUGGCUCCUGUAGCGACAGCUUUGCCCGAAUGCGGUCUGAGGGUGAUGACUCAUCAGCUUUAUUACAUGUAAUGCCACCAUAAAGUACUUUAUGGGCUGUGCAGUCUGAUCAGUCUACACCACUUGGUCCUUGGGUAGGUAGGCAAGUGGCCCUUAUGAAUUGUAUCAAGUCAGAAAAUGCCCUUUCCUGCUUUCCUAAGUUUCAGCCGGGCCUUGAUCUUCUAUUCCUCCAGGCCUCCUUUUGGGUCGACUCCAUCCUUGGGCCAAAAAUCAAGUUUUAAUCCAAACAGUAUGUUACUAGCUUUUAAAUCUCUAUGAAUUACUUUCUUUCUUGAGUAUUUGUGCAGGUAAAGCAACCCUUAAGCAAUUCCUUCGAGAAUGCUAAAACGCUUCUUCCAAUCUAGUAGUAGACCUCUGAUUGGAUCUGUCCAAUAUGUAGAGUUAAGUAGGACUAAUAUUAAUUAAUAGUAGUAAUCUAUGAACUUUGACAGUAAAAUAAAAGACAGAUAUCAAAUUUAACAAAUGAAAUCAAGUAUCUUGGUUCCUCACCAAAUAAAAAGUGGUCCAAACUUUUGUUCUGCAGAUACUCAUAUAUCAACAUCAUCUCUUCGCCAUGAAUGCAAAAUCCGAAAAGCUGAACCAGGUUUGUAUGUUGGAGUUCAUAUAUAAGUAUCAGUUCAUUCUUGAAUUCUGAUGUUCCUUGCCCUGAACAUUUCGAAAGCCUCUUCACAGCUAUUUCUUGUCCCAUCGCCAAUUUCCCCUGAAUUGAUAAUCCAUAUCAUGUUUUUGCUGUCAUCUUUAGGCAAAUGAAGCUAAUUCCUUUUUUUUUUUUCCUACAGCAUUUGAAUUAGAAACAGAAAUUUUUGUUUUUUUUAAAUGUUACCUUAUAAACCGGUCCAAACCCUCCUUCUCCUAGCUUGUUUUCUUCAGCAAAGUUGCUUGUGGCAGCCAAGAUGGAUGAAUAGCUAAAAACGCUUAAAUCAUGAUGUCCUAUAUUUCCAUCAUUUCGGAGACCAUUAACAUCAUCAGUAGGUCAAUUAGAUUUCAUGAAGAUAAGCAUUUCGUUCUCAAUCUCUGUCCGGUUCUCACCUUUACAGAUCAAUUAUCAGAAAUUAAAGUUUCAAUGGAGACAACAAUAGUCAAAGAUGUGAAUAAUAAUCCUGUCUUACUGGUGCACAUGAUUUAAAGAAAUAUACCAGCUGAUGGAAGGGCUGAUCUUCUUCGUCGGAGUAGAUAGUACGCGGUGCAAAGCACUAGAGCAGCAGCUAUAGAAGUGCCAAUCCAAACCCAUUUAUCUGCUGCAUCAUAAACAAUUAGCUACCAACAUAUGCAAUCAGUGUAACACACACGCACAUGUAUGCAUGUAUGCAUUAAUUGUCUUCAAUUUUUGGAUGAAUCUAUAUCAGGUGGUAUGAAAUUGGACUUGUAUGAUUACCAAUUUUUGUGCCAGAGGAUUUCGUUGAUUGGAACCUUCGGACGCACCCUCCAUCGGUGUCAUAGCCAUCACAGUUCUGUGCUUGUACAAUAUUCAUCUGUCCUUCAUAUUCCUGAAGUAUCCCACUGCUGUAUAGCACCCAUUCUGGUUGAAGACUCUGAUCACCUACAGCAGUGUAAGUGAGGUAGCCAUAAUUUUCGUUAGAUACAAUGCUAAAAUUGUACCUCUGCUUGGACACAUUAGGCAAAAUAAAUUCAAAUGUUCCAUCUGAUCUCAAGACUCCACUAGUCCAAUAAACCACCCCGCUUUUAUUGAUUUUUAGUUCAUGUUCAUUCGGGUCCCAAACAAGACUGAAAGGCCCCAGAGCCGGGUUGUAGGUAUCUACAUAUGAUACAAGUGACCAGAUGUGGCCAUCACUAUGGUUGACACCUAACUUCAUACCCGGUAAAAAUGUGUCUCCUGGAUAAUCAAAACUUUGCCAAAAAACCCUCGAUCCAUUCAUUUCUUGUAAUUCAAGAUUGCCGGAAUCCAAAAGGGUAGCCACAACACCGCUACUAGUACUAUUACUAGUUUGUGGAGCAGAGCAAAUGACAAUUGGGUCUUCACCCGUUUGAGUAAUCUUCAAUGUGUAAUUAGAAUCCAAGGUAAGAAGUGGAGAUGAAGAUGAUGAAAUAGGUCUGUUUCUGUUGCCAAUCCAAGCUUUGUUUGGGUUGUAUUUAUUGCGACGGAUGGCUAAAUAUUUGAAGUUGGAAUUCCGUUGAUCAACGAAAGACAAGGUGAACUUUGCCGAUGCAGAUUCUAAGGAACUCGAGGAAUCAAGAGUGUCCCCCGGUGCCAAUGUGUCCCUUGCAUCAUGACAAGUCCACAAGCAUGCAAAAAUGAUCAAGAAAAUUGAGUUCUUCAUCAUCACACAUGUAGCCAUGAAUGACCAAAAGACAAUGAAAAACUUGGCUUCAAAAAAACACAAUUAAGAGGUGUGUGAGUUUAGUAAACACUUUGGAACUACAUAAUUUUUUUUUACAAUUACCGGAAGACUUCCCGUUUUCAUUCAAAAUUCAAAGAAAGACUUUUGACUUACUGAUUUAAUAUUUCGGACGGCAAUGAUUUUCUAUUAAUUUUGGUUAGAAUAUAACUUGCAUUUAGAACAAUGACCUUCUCCUUUCUUUCUGCGCAAGUCACAAUACCCACCUACUUGUGCCUCUCUACUUUCUCGUUGGUUUCUUUCUUCAUCAGUACACGGGUUGAUCUCUUCUUUGAAAGAGAUGGAAUUAACACAUUUGUGGAAGAAUGAAAAAACAAUAAUAUCAGGUAGUCAUAAAUAAACCAGAGUACUGUACUUGACAGGUAUAUUUAGCCGGGUCACACCAAGCAUGAUUGAUACCCCUAACGCGCACCAAGGUCCGAAUUCGACAAGGCACCAUCUACUGAAAUAAUUUCAAUUAAGUUGUUAAACUUUUAUUGUAUUAUUUCUUCGAGGUUUUGGCUACAUGUAAGGGUGAUAUUCGAGAAACUACCUAUUUAAACCAUAUUUUGUAGACCGAUUGUUCUUGAUUGGAUUCUUUCUUUAAAUCAUUAAGAACAUGAUCUUCCUAAUAUUUUUUUGGAUAAAUUACAUAAAACUACUUCAACUAUGAGUCGAACCACAAUCUCACACCUCAUGUUUUAAACAUUGCAAUGUCAUACCUUAACUUAUUAAUUCGCUGCAAUGUCAAACCUUCAUUAAAUACUCUAUCAAUUUGACUUUUAAAUGCUCAUAUAACAGACAGCGAGCCCACUAACUCAUACAAUUGGGUUGAUAAAUUAAUUAAAAAUUAAAAAAUUAAGAUUUUUUCUUGUAACAGAAAAAUUAAAAUAAUUAAGAGGGUCCCACCACUAAACACCCAUUCCCAUCACCAUCGUGCAUUCUCACUUCCACACAAGACGCCACCCUCAUCCAGAGCUGGCCUUGAGGGCGUGCAAUAGGUGUCACCGCACAAGGCCCCCGAUUCAGAAGGCCCCAAAUUUUCAUUACAUGUAUACUUAUACAUAUAAAUAGAUUAGAUGCAAAAGACAAUCAUAUAUGUGGUUCUAGCGCUAGCGGUUUAGCUCUUUUUCCUUAUAUACCUUGUGCUUCGAAUCCCUGUGAUAUUGUUUUGCUAUUAUAAAUUUUUGCAAAUUUGUAAACUUAAAAAGGAGAUAACAAAAACGCAUCCAAAAGUUUUUGCCUUUGAAGGUAAGGAAAAACACCUAACCAAUCAAACAACUUAUUUUUAUUGUAGUAACUUGUAAUAUUUUAGGUUUAUAGAUGAAAAAAUUGAAAAAAAAUAUAGCAUUAAAAAAAAUGAAGGGUCUCCCUCUAAAUUUUGCACAAGCCCCUAAAUACUUAGGGCCGGCCCUGCCCUCACCUUCAUAACUCCGGCAAAGUCCUCUUCAUCUCCUGCCACCCUCACCGUUUCCCUGAGAUCCUCCCAAUGUACGACACGCCCCGAUCCUGAUAUUCCCCGAAUACCAGGAUGGGCACGUGUUGGCCGACACCCGAGGGUGACGAAAGCCAUUUAUUGAGUGCAAAAGCUGAAAACAAGGGAUAGAUAAGACUUAUAAAUAUAAGAGAAUAAAUAAAGUGCAUUUAAGGAACGUGUUUAGAGCAUACAAUUAACUAGAACACUAAAAAAAUAAUAUAAAAUUGAAUGAAACAAAGGAUGAAUCCUACACCGAGAGGACUCGAAGAUGCCGAUGCGGAAGUGCCUGGACGUCGGGAUUGUAUGCCUCGAUUCUAAGUCCUGAAAGGGGCGCAAAACAAACAUGAGUGGACCAAGUUGAUAUAUAUAUAUAUAUAAUAAAACAGUUAUCAACGUACUAACCCUCAAGUUUUAUGAAAACACAUAUAUCAUGAUAAACAUAGGUUUUCCGAAACCUAGCAUGUCGUGCAAUGUCCCAAAAUCAUAACUUAUAUAUAUAAUAAUCACUAGUGAAUUGUCCGAUAAUCCCCAAGCCCCAUGCCGGCUCCCCGUCUCUGAGCAAACAUUCAGAGGAAAAUACAUUUCAGGCCCUAUGCCAACACCAAACCGUCGACUAGGACGGACCGGAAUCUAUCCCUACAUCCCGUAGUGGAAAUGACCACUAGGUAAGUACAAAACCACUGAAUAUAUAUAUAUAUAUUGUAAAGCAACUUCAUAGUAUAAAGUCAUCCAUCAUCUAUACUAUAAAGAGGUGUUUGAAACAUGUUCUAAAUAUCAUAUCGUCAUCCAUCGGAUAUUCUAUAAGAACAUGGGUUACAGGAAAAAUAGUAAUAAUUCAAACUAACCUCAGUAAGCAUAUUAUCUCAAAGCAUCUCAUAAAACAUAAUUGUUAAAUCAUGCUUUUCAUGUAUGCAUUUCUACUAUCAAAACAUGCAUAUUAGAAAGGGUCCACUCACAGAUACUUAGCCGCCGAAAAGCCACGCAAACUAGCUACCACGAAAACGUCACAAAUAUUACCCUUAAGCACAUAAAGGGUCCAAUUAAUAAAACUAUAUAAUAGCAAUUGAAUUUGGGAAAACGGAUGUCGGAAACAGAUUCAAAACGUCGAAUUACUUUAAGAAGGGUCCCGAAUAAAUUUCAUAAAAGUCAACAGAAUACUCCAGAUGAUAUUCCCUGACGGAAUAUUCUCUGAUGGAAUAUUCCAUAAAAAGGUUUGACCCGGGUAGGGUUUAGGGUUGGAAUGGUUAAAGGGUUGAGGCUUAAACUUUUAGGUGGGUUGAGUUUAGGUUUUUAAACUAAAAAGGUUUAGGACUUUAACAUAAAUAGGUUGGGGUUUUAAAGAGUGGGCUUAAUGCCAAGGGCCUAAGACUUAAGGAAUGGCCCAAAGGGCCUUUAACAUUAAAACAAUAAAUAAAAUAAAUAAUAAAAACUGAAAUGGGUUUUGGGUGGGCUCGGCAGGAAAGGCCCAAAGGCCUUGGGAUUUUUGGGUUGCAGAAUUCAAAAGAAAGAGAAGGCCAGAUUCGGCCAGAAAACUACAACAACCUUAAACAGCCAUAACUUUGUCAAAAAUCAACGAAAUCGAGUGAUUCAAAACAAAAGUUGUAGUUCUCAAAGAGAAGAAGAAAAUGGUACCUCACAUGACGUCUAACUAGCCGUGGUUUGACCAAAAAAUGCCUUGAAAGCCUCGGAGGUCGCCAGAAACUAGGUAAGAUUCAAAUGAGUAUAACUUCUUCAAUACUCGACGAAAUUGGUGAAACAAAAAGGAAAGUUGUAGUACUCAGCGAGACGAAGAUAUUGAUGCCUUGUAAACCGGCCAACUUACCGUAUUUUGGCCUAAAAUUGCCUGGAAAGUGGCGGUGCUCGCUGGAAAAUUUGGAAAAGCUUUCCCGAACUAUUUUCUGUGAUUCAAACGUAUACACAACUUAAAACAAGCUUCAAUCUAACCCUAAAACACAUCCCCAGGGUUUUUAGAAGCUUACCAACGUUGAAAAAUCAAGAAACUCGUCGGGGAAGAUGAUGAACAGUACCGCCUGAAUGGAAGAGAGGGGUUUGGGGUGUCAUUUCUUCGUUUUUUAGAACACAAGGGUGAUGUUGAUGAUGUUUUGUUGUUGUGGUGGUGUGGUUUGUUGGUAAGAAAAGCCCUCGGAGGGGCUGAGAUAGAGAGAGCCGAGAGAGUGUAAGGGAGAGUGAAGGAGAAGAGAGAGAGAGGAAGACUUUUCAGAAGAAAGAAGAAAAAAAAUAAAAGAAAGGGAAAGGGAACCAGGGGACAAAACAGGGGGUGGGCCCUUUGGGCACACCAUUUAAGACCUAAAAACCAUUUUAAAAGCAAGAUAACCUCAAACUUAGUGAAAAUACAAUUUAAAUUAGGGGUGUGUGUAACAAUAUAAAUCUUGGAGAAUAUCCAAAAACCGAUCCAAAAGCAAAGCAUCGUAUUCGACCAACUUGUCAUCCUCGUUCACUUUGGCUGGAAGCAGAAGCCGAAGUUGCACCUCAAUGGACGCCAUCUCCAAACUCCUGUUAGCCAUUACUCCCCACAGAUCCUCACUCUAUGGACAACUAACCCACCACAAAAAUUAUAAAAUGAGAAAUUAGGUUCUCAUCCUCCAUUUUGUUAUUCCAUUGAUUAAAAUCUUAUUCAUUUUCAAUUUUUGAUCAAGGUCCUUGUAUUAAUAACAUCAUUAAUUAUUUUAAUAAUAAUUAUAUGUACCCAUGCUAAUUAUAUGUACCCAUUCAUGCAAAACUUUUUAAUCUUAAAAUGUACUCAUUCUUAAAUAUACCAAUUUGUUAUAUGUGAAAUGUACCAUUUUUUUUUUAUAUAAAAUCUAUUCAAUUUUUUUCUAAUCCAUUUUUAAACUUAUAUGGGUACAUUCUUUUUUCUUUGAUUUUAAAAUGUAUCCAUAUCAAGUUUAAUCAAAGAAAUUUACUAAUGUUAUUAAACAUAUAUCUUUUUUUUUCUUUCUUUUUUGGUGAUUCUGAAGAUUAUACCCAUGUUUUGAUACAAUUAUUUUUUUGGUUAAUUUUGAUAAAUGUACCCAUGUUUAUACACACACACACACACAAACACAAUAAUAUAUUUAUAUUUUAAUAUUUUUAAUCCCACAAAUUAUGAUUUUUUAUUUAAAAUCUCAUUUAUAUAAACAACUAAAAUUUCUAAUUUUUAAUUUAAAAAAUAUAGUAACGUACAUAGAAAUAAAUUAUCACAUUAAUUUCAGAGACUUUGAUCAAAAAUUAAAAAUCAAUAAGGUUUCAAUAAAACAAUAUUCAUAGUUAAGGAUCGCACCCAAAGUUUUCCAUAUAAAAAAAAUUCAAAACUUAAAAAAUAAUAAAAACCCAAAAAAUGAAAAUUUGAACAUAUGAGCUUGAAAUCUCGGAUUGAAUCAAAACACAAUGGCGCAAGAUUCUGAUCAGGACCCACAAAACUAGAGCCUGAAAAAUGGUGGAAUGAGCCACAUUAAGGGCUACCCUGGGCUGUAGCCCAGGUAGCUUCGGUAGAGAAUAAAAUUUUACAUGUAAUUUUUACUGAUUUUUUAAUGUAGCCCAUCAUAUAUUUAGUUAUUAAUUCGAAUUCUCUCGGUUUAAUUAUAUAAUACAGUUUACAAACCAUCUGUUUUUUUUCUCACAUCUUGUUUUCAUCGCUUCUUGUACAUAUACAAGUUUGAAUUUGUUUGAAUAACGAAAAUUUUUGGCUUACUUAUGAAAAUUUUCUUAAGCUAGCUGAUACGGUGAAAAUUUUUCUUUGUUUAUAAAUAUUUAAAUCUUUAAGCUAACCCACCCGGUAAAAAAUUUCUAGCUCGGUCAUUGUGGGCAAAAACCACGUGUAAUGUGGAGAUGACCCAGAUAAGAAUGAUGGAGUAUUUUGUUGUUGAUAAUAAACAAAUAAUAUGGGCUACCUGAAUCUGGGGAUGUUUGGAUUUUCAGCAAGAAGAUGAAGACGAAAAGUGGGAUAAGUGAAACCACAGAGAGAGAAAGGUGUGAGAUCCAAAUGAAAGGGUGGGAGUGAUUAUAUAUAGAAAGUAUCUAGGCCUCGACUGUGAGAAACCAUGACGGACGACCAAUACUUCAACAUCUCCCUCGGCGGCUGUGGCGGCCUGGUGAGUCUCUCUAUUCCUGAUUCCGAUUCGUGGUAGCUUCAAAUUUUGGGAUUUCGUUCGUCGAUUAGGGUUUUUCCUGCUGAAUUUUUCAAAUGCCAUAUGAAUGGGUUUUCUUUGAGUUGGGAAUGAAGGUGGUUUCGGUUUAUUUGGAUCAGUGAAAUUUCCGGGCUCUAGAGGGAGAAAAAAGUUUCUGUAAUAAUCAAUCGCCGGCGGAUUCGAUGGCCAGAGAUGAAGAGGACAUCGCCGGGGUUAUGGACGUGAGGGUGGCGUCUGGUGUGGGAGUGAGAAUGCAAAUUGGUGAUGGGAAUGGGUGCUCAGUGGUGCGACCCUCUUCAUUAUUUUAAUUUGAGUUAAUUUCAGUUAAUUAAAAAAAAAAUAUUUUCAACAUUUAAUAUAUAAAGUUUUUUUUAUCCUAGAAUGAUACAUAAAAUCUUAAUUUAAGAACACUUUCAUAUAUAUGUUAAACUUGUUAUUAAAUCAGCCGUUAACUAGAGACGUGACAGUUACAUAGACAGUGACUAAGAACCACAUGUCAUAGAGCCCUACAAAAAUAUUUAAAAAUAAAUAAAUUUAAAGUUAAAAAAAAAAAAAGUUUAUGGGCUGUCCCCUACCACAACCUCCAACCCCCUCCUUCCCUUCUCUCUUUAAGUAAGUCCACCUCUAAGGAUUUUGCGCUAGCACACAACGCAUUUAUUCACUCAAGUAAACAGUAAUAGACUGGAGUGAACAGUAAUAGGCCAAAGCAUCUCCAUCCCUAAAAAAAAUGCGCUGGCACCCAGACGCAUUUAUUUGGUGUUUUUUUUUUAAGUUUAUUUCGGAUAAAAUUUCAAAUACACUUAAAAAAAAUACACACUAAAAUAAAAUUACAUACUCAUCAAAUAAACUUUAAAAAAAACACACUAAAAUAAAAUUAAAUAAACUCAUCAAAUAAACUGUAUAAAAAAACACACUAAAAUGAAAUUACAUAAACUCAUCAAAUACACUUUAUUCUUCAACCACAAACUUUAUUAUUUAUAGAAAAAAAUAACAUUUUUAAAAAUUUUAUGUAUUUUUUUUAAUUUUAUGUAUUUUUUAAUAAUUUUUCUGUAUUUUUUAUAAUUUUUAAUAAUUUUUAAUAUAAUUAAUUAAUCUGGACCAUUGGAUUUGAAAAAUAUUCAAAUCCAAGAGUCAAAGAGUUGGCACGUGGCCACUUGCCCAGCUUCUUGGUCAGUCAGUUUUGAGCUGGCGUAGAGACCAGCAUGGGCUGUGCCCCAGGCUGUUGUGCGGGCGGGCUGGAGAUAAUGGACGGGGUGCUGGGCUGUUUUUUGGACUGAGUGCUGGGCAUUUUGCCCAAUCCGGUCGAAUUGCUCUUCUGCACACCCUCUCCUCACACCCACCCUCAAUUCCCUCUCCCAACCGUCAACGCUAUUAAUCUACACUCUCUCUCUCUGACCCUCCUCUCUCUCCUCCACUUCACAGCCUCCUUCACUCCCUCAGACAACUAGCUCAUCAACUGCAGCUCACCCUCCAACUCCUCCGUCUUCAACCGUGUCAUUUCGGCGGACCAGUACAGAUCCCGGCCGGGUUCCAUUUCAAUCGCCGACCAGAACCCACCUCCCAAUUCGACCCACCUCUACCGCACGGCCAAAACCCAUCAUCCCUUCCCUCUCCACAUUGCCGUCUCGAACGCAAGCACGAACUCCCGCCGACCACCUCUUCUUCCAGAUUAGAUCCAUCGGCGCUAUCUCUCUUGUCGAGAGACCCAUCCUCAUUGAUGCAACGACUCCUCCGUCCCCGUCUGUUCGUAGGCCCAUCCCUUCCCGUCGAAUCGCAGGCCUACCCCUUCCCUUCGUCAAAUCUCCAAAAUCCUAAAUCAUAAUCAAAUUCAAAAUCCAAAAUUUUCGAAUUCGAUUCAUAAAAUUAGGUCCAUCACAAGAAUUUGGCAGAGACUUGAAAUUGGGCAAUUACCUGAAAAGAAGCUCGAGGCUUUCGUCGGAGAUGACCGUCCUCUUGAGGCGGAGGUUUUCGAUAUUUUCUGGGGCUUCGACGGCGGCGAGGGGGCAUAUGCGGGUGUCGCGGUGGGUGAGGGAAGGCUUUUGGGGGUUGAAGGGGAAUUGGAGGGUGGGCUUGGGGGAGUAGGAGGGGGAGGGUAUGGCGCGACGGCGUUCGACGACUCCGAUCCCUUUAGUUAUGAACAUCAGAUGAUGGCGGCGGACCGGCUUUUUUCCUAACCUUGUGGUUAAAUGCUCCAGCAUGCACACCCAUGGUUAAUGGCUUUGAAAGCUGGUACUGGAUACAUGCUACUCAACCAGCCAUAUGUCAGCAAAGUCCGCACUGAAGUUCUUAUCAACACAGACAACCAGCCAUAUUCUACUAAAUUUAGCACACGCUCAUCACUAUAGAAGCUGUUGUUUUUCCUGCCACCUGUGAUUUCGAGCAUUAACACCCCAAAACUGAAGACAUCAGAUUUUAUUGAAAAUAUUCCCUUCGUGGCCUAUUCUGGAGACAUGUAAUCACUGCACCAAGUGAAGAAGGAAAGGUGUAUAUAUAUUGUACACAUCUAUAAAAUUGCAUUACAUGUAUCCAAAAGCAAACAUGUGAUAAAAUGAAUGCAAGCAUUGCAUCCUUACCGCGUCCCAACAAUCCUACCAGUAUUUGCUUCCAAUUCAUUAUCGGUGAAUAUCCUGGCUAUACCAAAAUCUGAUAUUUUGGGGUUAAUAUUUUCAUCGAGCAGUAUGUUACUAGUUUUCAAAUCUCUAUGAAUUACUCUCAAUCUCGAGUAUUCGUGCAAGUAAAGCAAUCCUUGAGCAAUUCCUUCAAUUAUACUGAAACGCUUCUUCCAAUCUAGUAGAGCUCUGGUAGAAUCUGUCCAUUAAUAUAGAGUACGCUAACUAAGAAUAUAUCAAUAAAUAAACAGUUCAAGCAAAGGAAAUCAAAUGCUAAAUUAAUGUAGUUCUAAUUAGUUCCCAGUUACCAAAUAAAAAGUUGUCCAAACUUUUGUUUGGCAUGUACUCAUAUAUCAGCAUCCUCUCUUCACCAUGAAUGCAAAAUCCCAAGAGCUGAACAAGGUUCGUAUGUUGGAGUUCAGAUAUGAGCAUUAAUUCAUUUUUAAACUCCAAUGUUCCUUGUCCUGAACAUUUUGAAAGCCUCUUUACUGCCAUCUCUCUUCCCGUCACCAAUUUUCCCUGAAACAAUAUAUUUAUCAGUUGAUAUAAACCGAAAAUACACUUUGUACUAGUUAAAGUGUUACCUUAUAAACAGGCGCAAAGCCCCCUUGCCCGAGCUUGUUUUCUUCAGAGAAGUUGCAAGUGGCAGCCAAGACAGAUGCGUAGCAAAAUACACUUAAUUCAGAAUUCCCCAUCUUUCCAUAAUUUCGAAACCCACCACCAUGAUCACCACGUCUGUUAGAUCUCAUGAAGUAAAGCGAUUCUGAUUCAUUCUGAAUCUUUCUCCCGUUAUCAUCUACAUGUUUAGUUUAGGGUAGAAAUUAAGUUAACAUUUCAAUUUAGGAAAAUGCUCGUUAAAGGCACUACAAGAAAACUUAACAAUAGUCAUCGACUCUAUAGUUGUACAGAACAACGGGGUAAAUGACAUAUCAGUGACUAACAAUCUCUUAGCCAGUCAUAGGCCUUUUACCAACCGCAUUAGAAACUGAUAGAACUUUUACCAACCAAAUUCUGUACAACUAAUGUCAGUGGCCAUCGUCAAUUUUUCUUGCAGAUAUGUGAAACUCUGUCAAACAAGAACGUGUUAUUACGCUUCAGAAUUUAAUUACCUGAAAGUGAAAAUUUUCUUCUUUUUAGUUGAUACAAGAUGCAACUCAACGCUACAAGUAGAGCAGUGGGAAUAGCAAUGACAAUCCAUAGCUUACGUGCUGCAUGCAGAAUAUUAAUUAGCCAUGUUCCUCCAUAUAUACAUAUUCUUGAAUCUAGUAUUACACGCCCCGAUCUCGAUGUCCUCGGGACAUCGGGAUGGUCACGUACUGGCCGACACCCGAAGGAUGACAAAAGCCAUUUAAUUAAGUAAAAGCUCAUAAAUAAGCUAAAACUGCUAAUUAAUAAAAUUAUGGUCAUACACAUAAGUUCAGAGCAUACGUCUAUUACAGAGUACAAACAGAAUUUAAGAUAGAGAUGUGCUAUAUUACAAUAGAUGUCGAAGCACAGGAAAUAUAGCACUGAAUCAUUGGUAGGGAAAUGUCUCAUAACUUAAAUCGUAAUCCUCGUUCGUAGGUCCUGAAGGGGGUGCAAAACAAAAAUGAGUGGACCAAUUUGAUAUAAGUAUAAUAAAACAAUUAUCAACAUAUUAACCCCCAAGUUUAUGAAAACACAAAUAUAGUGAAAAACAUAGGUUUUCCGAAACCUAACAUGAUGUGUAGUAUCUCAAAUUCAUAACUUGUAUAAGUAAUAAACACUAGUGAUUUAUCCGAUAACCUCCAGGCCCCAUGCCAGCUCCCCAUUUCUGAGUAGACAGUCAGAGGAAAAUACACUUGAGGCCCCAUGCCAGCUCCCCGUCUCUGUGCUAAAUAGCCAGAGGAAACACCCUCCAGGCCCUAUGCCAACACCAAACCGUAGCCCGGGACGGACCAGAAUCUAUCCCUACGUCCCGUAGCAGAAAGGACCACUAGGUAAGUACAGAACCAUUGAAUAUAUCUAUAUUGAAAAACAACUUCAUAUUAUAAAGUCAUCCAUCAUCUAUACUAUAAAGAGGUGUUCUAAACAUAUUCUAAAUAUCAUAUCAUCAUCCAUCGGAUAUUCUACAAGAACAUGGGUUAUAUAAAAAAUAAUAGUAAUUUAAUCUAGCCUCAGUAAGCAUGUUAUUUCACAAAGUACUUCAUAAAACAUAAUUGUUAAAGGGGUGUGCUAUCCAAACACCCCAUUUUACUUCUCACACAUCCCUUGAUAAUUUCUGUCCGUUGAUCUUCUUCAAUUCAUCCGGUCCGACGGCUGAAAAUUAAAAAGGUGUAUGACAAGUAAAAUGGGAUGUGUGGAUAUCACACCCCUUGUUAAAUCAUGCUUUUCAUGUAUGCAUUUCUAUUAUUAAAACAUGCUUUUGAAGGGGUCCACUCACCGUACACUAAUGGUGCAAAGCUGUACCAAAAAAGUAUAACGGAAUCACCGUUAAUAAUUGCACCUAUUCACAUAAAGGAGUACCUUUAGUCAAACUCUAUUCAAACGAUUGAAUUUGGGAAAACGAACUUCAAAAACGGGUUCAGGACGUCGAAUUAAGAUCGAGAACCCAAGAUCGAAUGGGUUAAGACCGAGUUAAGAUCGAGAACCCAAUAUCAAAUAGGUUAAGACCGAAUUAAGAUCGAGAACCCAAUAUCAAAUGGAUUAAGACCGAAUUAAGAUCGAAAGCCCAAGAUCGAAUGGGUUAAGACCGAACUAAGAUCGAGAAACCAAGAUCAAAUGGGUUAAGACCGAAUUUAAAUCAAAAUCCAAGAACGAAGGUUAAAUUAUGAUCAUGGGAUCGUAACCAAGGCUAAAUUAUGACCAAUUGAUCGCAUCUGAAGGAUAAUAUAUGACUUUGUGAUCGCAACCAAAGGCUAAACUAUGAGGCUAAACUUGUAAUGAAAUUUCAAGUCACAUGAUUUUUUGCAAAAGGAGUAUUUUUCCUCUACAAACUAAGAUGACAUACAUGAGGGUAAGGCUAGCCGACAUUCACCUCUCCCAGACCCUGCGUAAAGCAGGAGCCUUGUGCACUGGGUACGACCUUUUUUAAACUAAGAUGACAUACAUUUGCAGAGAAAAAAUGGGGCAUCUGUGGGUGCAAAAAAUAAGGCUGAAGCAAGCAGCAACUUCCUAAAUUUGGGGGAGUGGAGCUAGAAUAAAGGGGCUUGAUCAUGGAAGAUGGAACAUGGAGAAAUAGAAGGAAAGUGGGACUUGGAGCCCAAGUAUUUUAUGCCUAUAAAGGAACUAGAAUCUAAGGAAGGGGGGAUUAGAUGGCUUUACAAUGUCUUGCAAUUAUUUUGAACAACGACUGACUUGAGCGUCGGAGUGUUUCCUUGCAGGUCCCCUCGCUCUCAUUGUUGACAAGCGAAGAUAGUGUCCAAGGCUUCUCAACAUGUUCAAGAUGUGUUCAACAUUACUUGUUGGAGGAUUGGAGGAACCGAAUUUUUCCGCUCCAACAGUUGGCGCCGUCUCUGGGAAUUGAACGAAAAGUCAAAUUGAGAAGCUAACGAAAUAUUAUCCAUCCCAGCUAUAUACCUUGGGGGCACGGGCUGAGACAUCAAGCAGAGAAGCACUCCUACUUUUUCUCAUAUAUACCUCUACUAGUGGACAUAUGGGGUAUGUCUUGAGGCAGCCACCAACCAACUUCGGGAGGGUACGAGUGUCCUUAUUCAACGGCUGCUCCACAGAUGUUGUUUAAGCUACGGUGUGGCAUGAUUCCAAGGCUUCGAAAGGCAUUCAAUGGAAACAGUCAAAGUGGGGGGCACGAUCUAAUUAGCAGGAAUGGUAGAAAAUGAAGCAAAGGAAAGACAUUCAGUUGCGAAUUAUUAAGUAAAACGUUCACUAAAAACUAGUGGCCACACUCUCGCUUCUCUCAAGAGCAAGAUAAGAAUCCUCUCAUCUGAUCCAUAAUGAUUUUCGCAGGAUAUAAUAGAUUAUUCACAAUGUUUACAUGCAUACAUGAUUUCGUUGGGUUUUUGUGCAUUCAGAUUUAAAUGUUUAUUAUGCAAUUUCCUAACUCUUUUCAUUUGCGUCGAGUUCUUAUUUGGCUGAACUGAACUAUGUACCAUGAUGCUUUUAACGGCUAUAUUGGGAAUGAAAGUGAAGGAAAAAGAGGAAAUGCAUGUGGCUGUUGGAAGUGAGACUAACCGACCGAGAAUUUGGGGCACAUCGUGUACCGUUCGAAAAAGAAGUGAUUCAGGGUUCAACGUUGGACCAACCAGCUUUACACACGUUGUCUUACGAUGAAGCGAUCAGACCUGAUCGUCAAAUACCUACAAAUGAGAAACUCAAAGGAGAUGUCAUUUCAGAUAAUACUCGGAUCGACAUUGGCGGCGCGCCGGACAAUACUGGCGGAGAUGGGAUACCAUUUCACUGUCAUGACUGCAGAUACUGAUGAAAAAAAAGUAUAAGGAUGGAUAAGCCUAAAGCAUUGGUCAUGGUUCUAGCUGAGGCCAAAGCAGAUGCUAUUAUUUCAAGGCUCCAAAAGUGAGAGACCAAUUGAAUGGGGAUGCUCCUGCUACACUGUUGAUUACUGCAGACACGGUGGUGGUGCAUGCAGGGAUAAUAAGUGAGAAACCAUCUUGCAAGGAAGAAGCAUGGAAUUUUAUCAAGGAUAUUCUAGUGGUCAAGCAGCAGUUAUAGGAUCUGUACUGGUAACCAACCUUAAAAACCUGAAAAAGAAACAGUGGUUGGCGCAGAGCAGAGGUUUGUCUUUAUGUCAUACCAGAUGAGGUGAUCGAUUGCCUAAUAGAGGAGAAAAUUACGCUCAAUGUUGCUGGCGGUUUGAUGCUGCAACAUCCAUUGAUUUUUCUAUUUGUAGAAGCAGUGAUACUGAUAGGGUUGACAACGUUAUGGGAUUGCCUAAAGAAGUCACAAAAAAACUGAUUCUGGAAGCAGUCUAACUAUAUAUUGUUGUAGAGUGGUGAUUGGGUUCUUAUUUGAAACUUAGCAGCUGCUGAUGAAUCUACGAUUUCCAAAAAACUCCUAACACCACGAGGACAAAGAAUGCAUGCAAGAUGAAAAAGUUUUGGAAAAUAUUGAAGGGCUUUAACACACUCUUAACUUUUCUAUGGCGUCGGCAACAAAGGCAAAGAAAUUGCCUAAAAGAUAAGAAUUCCUUCACUCUUUUCAAUUAUAAAUUAAGAUCAAUGCAAUUCACAGUCACUAUUUGGAAGGAAAAGAAGGAGAACGAAGUUUUGCUGCAUACCAAAAAUGUACAUGGGCAAAUAAGGAGGCUAGGCCAUUGAACACUAAUUGGUGCAGGAAGCAUGAGCUAAACCCAAAAGGGGAAGAUUUCUAUUCUUUCUGUUUUUAUUAUUCUACGAAUUAUUGCAUGAAAUGCAUUUUUAGCGUAAUACAUAUGAUAUAGCAAAAUGGUAUAAUCAUCGUAUAUUUUAUUGCCGUAGUGCAGUAUGAUAAGCAGUUGUUAAUUUGUUAGAAUCAUAAAUCAUUCACGUUUUGAAAUUUUAAGAAAAUUUCGGUUGAAAAAUCAUUAAAUCGGAAGUUUAUCCAAUAGUAACAUAUGGAAUAUGUGCAGAGAUAUUAGGUUCAGUUGAAAAUUCAUUUAUUGAGUUUUAAAUCUUUAAAUUGGUGAAGGUCCUGGAGAAUUGGGGACAUGCAUGGCUUAAAACUUUCAUAAAGGUUUAUCUAAAUAUUGCUGCAACUGUAUUAAUCAUGAAAUGUUUUGAUUUAUAAAGAGAACAAAGAAGCCAGAAUGGCCGAAAGAGAAACUGAAAGGAAGAGGAAAAUUAGACAGCGCACCAAUUAAAUUGGGUUGGGGGCGUGGAAGCACCACCUAUCAAAUACAUAAAGUGUUCAGCCUUAAUGCAUUUAUCACCAAAAUAUUUGACUCUUUUUGUCUAGUUGAACAGGGCAUUUGUUACCAUGGUAUAUUGCUAAUACACAUAUGGGCACCUAAAAGGAAUUGCUACAGGCCCUGUAUAAUCAAGGGAAGACAUCACGUAUUACAAGGAAGUGAUUCAUUCAAACUACAUGUUGAUUUCCCAAUCUACAUCAAAAUCAGAUUGUGAUUUAGUAGAAAGUUAAAGAGUCAUGUUUCACUCAUUAUCUAAAUACUUUGGUCACCGUGAAUAUAUGUUUAAUUGUUUGAUCUCGAUCAGAGCCUUGUGUGUUCUUGAUUUUGUACAUGUUGGAUAAAGACUUACCCAUAAAGAUUUUAACGUGAUCAGGAGCUCUUAGCAGAUACGAGUGUUUGUAUUGUGCCCACCAAGGAAGUAAACACCUAUGUAGGUGUGCGUUCCACGCUACUAGGAAAGCCAUGUGCGAUGGCGAUACAGUAUUUGAACAUCACUUGGUUGCGGAUCAAGAUUUGAAAUUCAUGCUAUUCAUUGUCUAGAUAAGUGAACUCAUCAGAGCAUGAACGAACCGAUUAGAUGAAGAUGUUCGUAUCAUGAUAAUGGCAGGUUUUGUGGCGAUAAGGGCUUCCAGGCCAGGAGCAUGUUCAGACUUCGACCUCUAUCGGAAACGAGAACCACUUAAUUUCAUUAAGGGUAAAAUGAAGAUUGGGGUUAGCUAUUACUCCAGCGAAAACAAGUAAGAAAGUUUAGAAUUUUUCUUUUUUUUCCUAUGAUUGGAUGUUCAUCAACUUUUAUAUGGUGUGUCAAACUAGGCAAUGCUACUCUUGAAAUUUUGCUUAGUUGUUGUCAGAGAGCGAAAACCAAUGCAUUUGAACAAUUCUGGGGGCAUGAGUGUACUACCAGAAUUAAGAUCGAAACCCAAGAUCGAAUGGGUUAAGACCGAAUUAAGAUCGAAAACCCAAGAUUGAAUUAAUGGGUUAAGACCGAACUAAGAUCGAAAACCCAAAACUGAAUGGGUUAAGACCGAAUUAAGAUUUAAGACCGAAUUAAGAUUUAAGACCGAAUUAAGAUUGAAAACCCAAUAUCAAAUGGGUUAAGACCGAACUAAGAUCGAAAACCCAAAACCAAGUGGGUUAAGACCGAAUUAAGAUUGAAAACCCAAUAUCAAAUGGGUUAAGACCGAACUAAGAUCGAAAACCCAAUAUCAAAUGGGUUAAGACCGAACUAAGAUCGAGAACCCAAUAUCAAAUGGGUUAAGACCAAAUUAAGAUCGGGAACUUAAUAUCAAAUGGAUUAAGACGAAUUAAGAUCGAGAACCCAAGAUCGAAUGGGUUAAGACCGAGUUAAGAUCGAGAACCCAAUAUCAAAUGGGUUAAGACCGAAUUAAGAUCGAGAACCCAAUAUCAAAUGGAUUAAGACAGAAUUAAGAUCAAAAGCCCAAGAUCGAAUGGGUUAAGACCGAACUAAGAUCGAUAAACCAAGAUCAAAUGGGUUAAGACCGAAUUUAAAUUGAAAUCCAAGAACGAAGGUUAAAUUAUGAUCAUGGGAUCGUAACCGAAGGCUAAAUUAUGACCAAUUGAUCGCAUCUGAAGGAUAAUAUAUGACUUUGUAAUAGCAACUAAAGGCUAAACUAUGAUUGUAGCCGAAGGCUAAACUCGUAAUGAAAUUUCAAGUCACAUGAUUUUUUGCAAAAGGAGUAUUUUUCCUCUACAAACUAAGAUGACAUACAUUUGCAGAGAAAAAAGGGGGCAUCUGUGGGUGCAAAAAAUAAGGCUAAAGCAAGCAGCCACUUCCUAAAUUUGGGGGAGUGGAGCUAGAAUAAAGGGGCUUGAUCAUGGAAGAUGGAACAUGGAGAAAUAGAAGGAAAGUGGGACUUGGAGCCCAAGUAUUUUAUGCCUAUAAAGGAACUAGAAUCUGAGGAAUGGGGGAUUAGAUGGCUUUACAAUGUCUUGUAAUUAUUUUGAACAACGACUGACUUGAGCGUCGGAGUGUUUCCUUGCAGGUCCCCUCACUCUCAUUGUUGACAAGCGAAGAUAGUGUCCAAGGCUUCUCAACGUGUUCAAGAUGUGUUCAAGAUUACUUGUUGGAGGAUUGGAGGAUUUGAGGAACCGAAUUUUUCCGCUCCAACAGGGUGUGUUAUCCACACACCCCAUUUUACUUCUCACACACCCUUUGAUAAUUUCUGUCUGUUGAUCUUCUUCAAUUCAUCCGAUCCGACGACCGAAAAUUAAAAAGGUGUGUGAGAAGUAAAAUGGGAUGUGUGGAUAUCACACCCCUUGUUAAAUCAUGCUUUUCAUUUAUGUAUUUCUAUGAUUAAAACAUGCUUUUGAAGGGGUCCACUCACCGUACACUGAUGGUGUAAAGUUGUACCAAAAAGGUAUAACGGAAUCACCGUUAAUAAUUGUACCUAUUCACAUAAAGGAGUACCUUUAGUCAAACUCUAUUCAACAAUUGAAUUUGGGAAAACGGACUUCAAAAACGGGUUCAGGACAUCGAAAUUAGCCUGAGAGAGGUUCUGGACGAAACCCCGAAAAGUCAACUCAAAAAGUCAACGUUGACCGUUGACUGGUCAAAAUCAAAGUCAACUCUGACAGUUGACCAAGUCAAUGCUGACUGUUGACCUAGUCAACAGUUAGAGUCAACUGGUUAAAGUUGGACUAGGCUUGGAUUGGGUUGUGCCGAAUGGGCCUUAAGGGUUUUGGGUUUAAACUAAGGCUAAAGGGUUUGGGAAAGGGUUGAAAGCCCACUUUCUAAUUGGCCCUAAGGCCUUAAUUCCUAAAACAGAAAUUUAUUAAAACCUAAAAAGGUUUUGGGUUGGGUCACGGGCCUCAAGCCCUAAACAUAAUGGCCCGAAGGCCUUUUGGGUCCUAAAACAAAUAAAACUAAAAUUAAAAAGGAAAUGGGUUAAGGUUUUGGGCUAGCCUCACCACACGGGCCUAAGGACCGCUUGACUUGGAACCGGCUUGCACGGCCUGGCGCACCAGAGAACACCGGAGCUUCUAGAGCUCCGGCCGACCACCAACCACAACCCUAGACUCCGAUCUAGGUACCAAAACGAAGUACAAUACGAGGGGAGUGUUUUUAUACCUUCCUUUCGCCUUGGAACGACCAGAGAUGGCCAGAAAGUCCCUCGACGCCCACGGUUUGCCAGAAAUGGGUGUGCCUACACCCGCCUUGAUUUCAUCCUAAAACCUCCCAAAAUCACGAAAUAAACUCAAUUAAACCACAUCUCACAAGAUUCUAGGAUGAAAAAGGGAAGAAUUGAGGCUUACCUUUCUGGUUUUCUGUGUUCGCAGCACCGGAAAGAGGGAGAGAGAGAAGGAUGAGGAAUGAUGACGAUGGUCUUCCUCGAGCACGAGUGUGUCUCUGUGCGUGGUGUCACUGGGCGAAUUCGGUGAAGAGAAGGAGAGAGAUAUGAGGGAGUGAGGGUUUCGAGAGAGAAGGGAGAGUGCAGAGAUAUAGAGAAGAAAGAGAGGGGGUCUCCCGCUCGGGGGGGGGGGGGAGGACAGAGAGAAGUGAGGGGAUAAUUGGGGUGCUGCCAUGUGGCAGCUUGAGAAAGAAAAGGAAUCCAAAGUUUUAGAUCCGGAUUGGUAGUCAAAAUAGGACCAAAUAGAUAGAUUCAUAACAUUUUGGGGUAAUUACAUAAAUAUAUUUUAAUAAAUGGGGUUGGGUGUUACAUAGUAUGAGCUCAAAUAUAAAAAAAAACCUAAUAAUAAUACAUACACAUACAUCAGCUUGUUGAUUUGUAAGUUAAACAAGUCUAGCUAAUUGAAUUAAACAAAUAAAUUACUAGCAAAAAAAAAAAUGAAAACAAAAAACUACAAACAAACGAAUAUGAUUACCGAACAACCGGCAUCUUAAACAGAAGGAGUCGUUAAAUUUGUAGUUGAAGUUUUUCAUUUUUUUCUACAUGACAUGUAUGUUGAGAAGAAUGAACAUAUGUGCGUAGCUAGAGUUUAGAGUCACGGAUAAAAUUUUGUGAUGAAGGUUUUAUUGGCGUGCUUGAUUUUCUUGGCAAAACAAAACUACCAUUUGUAGUACCCGAGCCGGUGAUGUUUUCAACGAACUGACAGUCUACAAUCCAAAAUCGGCAUCCAGUGUGAUUAUCAGAUAUUGGGAAGUCGAAUCCAAGGCAGUCACAGUUUUACCAACAAGUAGCCUUACAAUCAGUAUUACUACUACCAAACCAGUAGGGGUCUCGUGAUGUAUUAGUGAUAUUGCUUGGUUCAAAAGAACCAUUUUUGAGCUCAAAUUCACCACCAAAUUCUUUCAUACAUUCACUCGGGCGGUCCUUUUCACGCACCCUCCCUCAGUGUUAUAGCCAUCACAUUUUUCUGCUUGUGCAACAUCAAGUUGUACACGAUACUCAUACAGUGACCCAAAGGGGUACAACACCAACUCUUGUGGAGAGCCACCUUCUGCAGCAGUGUAAGUAACGUAGUCUUCAUUUUCAUUUGAAACAAAGCUAAAUCUAUAUUUCAUCAUGGAAUCAUCGGAUAAUAUAUAUUCAAAUCUCCCAUCUGAUUUUAAGACUCCGCUAGUCCAAAAAAUAACCCCUUUUCGCCUCAGUUUCAGAUGCCCUUGGUUGGGGUCCCAAUCAAGGGUGAAAGGCCCAGGAGCUGGGAUGAAGAUACCCAACCAUGAUGAAAGAGACCAAAUGUGGCCGUUCCUAUGGUUCACACCUAAUUUCAUACCAGGAAGAAAGGUAUCAAUGGGAUAAUCAAAACUUUGCCGCAGAAAUACCCGGUUCAUCGAUCCGUCCACAGAAUUCACCUGUUGUAGUACGACAAGAUUGCCAGAAUCCAAAAGGGUAGCCACAACACUAGUAUUACUAUUACUAGUAUGUGGAGCCGAACAAACCACAAUAGGAUCUUGAUCUUCAUCUGUUUGGGAAAUCUUCAAUGUAUUGUUGAAGUCCAAUGUAAGUAGUGGGGAUGAAGGGUAUAAAACAGGCGAGUCUCGGUUGCCAAUCCAUGCUCCAUUUGCAGUUGCAGAAUCUCCGUGAUGAUAGCUAGAAAGCUACAGUUGGAACCAUCUAUGUUAUUUACAAUAAAAGACAAAGUGAAAUUGCCCCAUGCAGAGACCAAGGAACUUGAGGAAUUGAGAGUAUCACCUUGUUUCAGCGUGUCUCUUCCAUCAUGGGAACUCCACAGGCAUGCAAAAAUGAUCAGGAAAACUAAGUUGAUGAUAGCCAUGAUCAACGAGCACGAGGCUGGUGUUAAAAUAUAUUGAUGUAUUAAUGUUGUUGGGGUUUUAUGAUAAAGCCACAUUCGUCAAAGCAUGGCUGUGCAAGUAAUAUUUGUUAGACCGAGUCAAUCUUAUCCCAAACUAAGCUGCAACAAACUCUUCAUAGGAUAAGAUUGCUAGGUCCGGUUUCAGUUUUGAAUAAUUCAAAGAUAAGUUGUUGUGAUUUUGUAUUUUUGAAUUCAAAGUUAUCCGUGUAAAUAGGGUAUUCAAAACCCUACUUGUAAUCUGAAAGUAUUGUAUAAAUACACUGCGACCCAUCGUUAUAUGGGUGUGCAAUCAAAAGCUGAAAACCCUAGUGCUCUAAGUUUUACAUGGUAUUGAGCCCUACAGUCUAAUGACAAACGAUCCAAUUUUUUUUCCACCCAUUGUCGCUUCCAUGGCUGCCACCAACAACACCAACAACACUAACUCCACCACUCACAUCAAUCCUUCCCCCUACCCACUGCUCAUUCCUCCAUCACCUCUAUGACUAGUGUGGUUAAUAUCAAACUUGACCGCUCGAAUUAUCCGCUUUGGCUCGCUCAGAUUUUGCAUGUUCUCAAGAGCCGUGACCUGAUGGGUUACGUUGAUGGCUCCAUUGUGUGUCCUCCUAAGACUCUGGCUGGCACCACUGACGUUAACCCAGCCUACAUGACUUGGAUUCAACAUGAUCAGAUGAUUCUCAGUUGGAUCAACAGCUCUCUCACUGCUUCUGUUUUGUCGACAGUAGCAAGCAAACGCACGUGCCGUGCAACCUGGGAAGCAUUGGAACAGUAGUAUGCAUCAACUUCCCAGAAUCGUAUAUUGUUUCUGCGUACAGAACUGCUGUAGACGAAGAAAGGUGACCUCUCUGUAGCUGACUACUUGGAUCGUAUGAAUGCGAUCGCCGACAACCUUGCUCUGGCCGGACAACCAGUAAGUGAUGAUGAACUGGUUCAAAUUAUUUUAAAUAAUCUUGGUCCUGCAUUCGAGAUGACUGUGAAUGCAGCACAAGCUUGUGAUACUCCAAUCACUUAUCCAACACUUGAAGCUCUUCUGCUGACAACGGAGAGACGGAUGACGGAGCAAGCUGUGUUGACUGAAACUGCUCCGAUCAAUGCUUUUGUAGCGUCACGAGGCCAUGGUGGUCGCUCUCGUGGCAAUGGACAUGGAGGCUCUCCGUUCAAUCGUGGUGGUGCCAUCAACAAUGGCAAUCAACGAGUUGGUAUUCCUCGCAACAACAACAAUCAAUGUGGUGGUGCAUCUGCAAGUACUGGUGACCGGUGCAACCUUUCUGGAGAACGCAUCAAAUGCCAAAUUUGUGGCAAACCUGGCCAUCCGGCUCUGGACUGUUACCAGCGGAUGAAUACAGCUUAUGAAGGACGCAUCCCCACCAAUCGUCUUGCUGCCAUGGCGUAUUCUCAAGUGAUGCCUAAUAAUGGAAAUUGGCUUCUUGACACGGGUGCCAAUGCUCAUGUCACCCCAGACCUUCAGAAUCUUGCAAAUCCAAAAGAAUACACUGGUAAUGACAACAUUGGUGGAGUAGGUAAUGGUUCUCAACUUUCCAUUGCACAUUCUGGUUCGAAUCAAAUUUCAACUAAGUCUUGCUCAUUUAACCUCCAUGACAUUUUACAUUGUCCAUCCGCAUCCACUAAUAUCAUUUCGGCACACAGAUUCACCCUAGAUAACCAUUGCUACAUACUAAUAUUUCCUUAUUUCUUCCUUGUUAAGGACCUCAAAACCCGGAAGACACUUUUCCGCGGGAGAUGUGAGAAUGGAUUGUAUCCAUUUCCUGGUGGUGGUGGAUUGUCCAACUAUCCUAUUUCAGUGUGUGUCGGUGUUAGAGUCUCACCUCAGAAAUGGCAUUUAUGUCUUGGUCAUCCUGCUUAGUCAAUUAUUAAAUUUUUUAUUACAAAUAACCAAGUACCAUUAUCUGGUACAAGUACUGUAACGUUUUGUGACUCUUGUCCAUUAGGCAAAAGCACUAAACUUCCCUUUAGCAAGUUUGUGUCCGUGUCUUAUUGUCCAUUAGAAAUUUUGCAUUCUGAUGUUUGGAGUUCACCUAUUAUUUCUAAUGAAGGUUUUCGUUAUUACUUGUUGUUUGUGGAUGACUACUCACGAUAUUUGUGGAUCUUUCCCAUGAAAAAUAAAUCUGAAGUGUUUGGAAUUUUUGUGCCAUUUAAAACACAUGUUGAAAAAAUGUUUAACAAAUCUAUUAAAGCUCUUCAAUGUGAUGAAGGUGGUGAAUACAUGAGUCGCGAUUUCAAAACUUUUCUUGCUACACAUGGGAUUUCCCAACGUUUUUCGUGUCCAAAACAUCCUGAACAAAAUGGAAUUGCCGAACGAAAGCAUCGUCAUAUAGUUGAAACAAGUGUUACAAUGCUUUCUCAUGCUCAUAUGCCUUAAAAAUUUUGGUUCAAUGCAUGUUCCACAACUGUUUAUAUUAUAAACAGGCUUCCAACAAAGGUUUUAUCUAACGUGUCUCCCUAUGAAAAAUUGUUUCAAAAGAAUCCAAAAUAUGAGGCAUUUAAAGUGUUUGGUUCAAAAUGUUUUCCACUGUUGACUCCUUAUACACGGCAUAAACUUCAACCAAAGUCCAAACCAUGUGUUUUCUUUGGAUAUUCACUGAAUCAUGAAGGAUACAAGUGCUUGGACUUAUCCACGAGACGCAUUUACGUGUCUCGCCAUGUUUUAUUUGAUGAGGAUUCCUUUCCAUUCAAGGAACUUGCAUCUCCCAAUGACGACGUCACUAUCACAGGUACACCUUUGACCCCUGACUUGAUUUUAACCACAACACCCUCAUCAAUCUUGGUACCUUCCAUAUCUUCACCAAAUCUUGUCGAAUCUCACCCUAGCCUCAACCACCAGCCUGAGUCAAACUUGGUGUCUAGUGAUCAGCCACAUAUCACGCCAACUUUUACUCCCCAGCAAACUGUUUCAAAUUUGGACCUUACUCCUCCUCCACCUAUCAUUACCAUCCCUUGUUUAAAUAGGACACCUCAACCUAGUUCAACAUUAGGUCCCACCAAUGAGCAAGACUUGGUUCACAUUCCAUCCGUGCAAAGUUCUCAGAAUCCUUCUCAUUCAUCAAAUUUAUCUACCACAUCAUCUUCCAUACGAGAGACUACUCUCCCCCACUCAAUAACAACAAGGUCAAAAUCUGGGAUUCAAAAGCCAAAUCCAAAAUACGCUUUGCAUGCAAUCGCUGACUCCAAGUUUGUUGAGCCGUCUUGUUUAGUCAGGCUAUUAAAUAUCCAGAAUGGAGGGCAGCAAUGGCACAAGAGUUCAGUGCUUUGCAAAGGUGUGGAACGUGCUUGUUCCUUAUUGUCAUUGAAUGAACCUGCUGCCAAACAAAUAGGUGUUUAAAAUAAAGAGACGUGCAGAUGGUUCUCUCGAAUGUCACAAGGCUCGACUUGUGGCUAAUGGUUACCAUCAGCAAUUCGAAAUGGAUUAUAAUGAAACAUUUAGUCCAGUCGUGAAACACAGCACCAUUCGGCUUGUUUUGAGUCUUGCAGUGUCGAAAAAGUGGACGGUGUGACAGUUGGAUGUACAGAAUGCAUUCUUGCAUGGCUAUUUGGAUGAGGAUGUGUACAUGAAACAACUGCUAGGUUUUCUUGAUCAGCAGUAUCCCAAUUAUGUGUGUAAAUUGCAGAGAAGUUUGUAUGGAUUAAAACAGGCUCCCAGAGCCUUGUUUCGAAGAUUCUCGGAUUAUCUGCUUCAACUUGGGUUUGAAGAAUCAUUAUGUGAUUAUUCAUUGUUCGUGUUUAAUCAACGAGGCGUUUACUUGAUCUUACUUAUCUAUGUGGAUGACAUUCUUCUUACAGGCAAUAAUGAUAAACAAAUGCAAUGGUUGAUAGAGAAGCUUGGCACUUUGUUUUCUAUGAAGGACUUAGGUCCUUUAAGUUAUUUUUUGGGUGUCGAGGUUACUUAUUCUGGGGAGAAUAUGCAUCUUACACAGUCCAAGUAUGCGUUGGAUCUGCUGGAGCGCACCAAGUUUACUGCUGUCAAACCAGUAUCCACUCAUGUACCUGCGGGACAAAAGCUUAGUCAGUAUGUUGUUGAACCUUAUUCUAAUCCCGAACAAUAUCGAACGGUUAUUGGAGCGUUACAAUACUUGACAAUCACCAUACCCGAUCUUUCUUAUGCUGUGAACCAGGUUUGCCAGUUCAUGCAUAUGCCUCGAACUACACAUUGGACGGCGGUUAAGAGGAUUUUGCGGUAUUUAAAGGCCACACAUGAUCACGGUCUUGUCUACAAACCUGGUGAUGUUCGAUUAAAUGCUUUCUCUGAUGCUGAUUAUGCGGGAAAUCCGGACACACGUCAUUCAACUGGUGGCUUCUGUAUCUAUUUGGGCACGAAUUUGAUUUCCUGGAGUUCAAAGAAACAGAAGACUGUCUCAAGAUCUAGCACAGAGGCUGAGUAUAGGCAGCUUGCUUAUACUGCCGCUGAGUUGUCAUGGUUAGGAAGUUUAUUUUGAGAUCUCCAUCUCUAUCUUCCACGGCCGCAGAUAUGGUGUGAUAAUGUUUCGUCCAUUGCUUUGGCUUCCAAUCCAGUUUUCCAUGCACGGACGAAACACUUGGAAGUGGACUACCAUUAUGUACGCGAAAAGGUGGUCCGUGGAUAGCUUUUGGUUCAUUUUAUUUGCUCCCAAGACCAGAUUGCCGAUUUGUUCACCAAGGGUCUUUCCUCUUCACGCUUCAACUUGUUAGUUUCCAAGCUUCCCGUCGUUGCUCGACCUAUCAGCUUGUGGGGGGAUGUUAGACCGAGUCAAUCUUAUCCCAAACUAAGCUCUGCAACAAACUCUUCAUAGGAUAAGAUUGCUAGGUCCGGUUUCAGUUUUGAAUAAUUCAAAGAUAAGCUGUUGUGAUUUUGUAUUUUUGAAUUCAAAGUUAUCCGUGUAAAUAGGGUAUUCAAAACCCUACUUGUAAUCUGAAAGUAUUGUAUAAAUACACUGUGACCCAUCGUUAUAUGGGUGUGCAAUCAAAAGCUGAAAACCCUAGUGCUCUAAGUUUUACAAUAUUCACCGACUAAAAGAGAAGACUAAUCUCCACCACGGAAAAGAACCGUGCAAGAUAAGGUUGAAGAUAUAUCUCAACACAUUGAUGGGACAAUGGACAUUACAAAGUAAAAGAGAAAGAAUGUAUACGUGCAAAGCAAAAGGUUUUGUUCCUAAUGUUGAGAAUGAAUCCGACAAUGAUGGGAGGAAAGACUUUGUAUAAACUUAUAAGUAAGUUGAUAUACUCUCAUAUUGCCAUUGGUUUUACGGUGAACUCUUUGACGCCAACCUCUUAGUUUCAAAAUUUAUAGUUUUUCUUCUUCUCCUCCUUGUCAAAAUUCCAACAGCCAGCGGUCCUAAUUCAAUUUCUGCAGAUGAUGAUCAUGGAAACUUGGCAGAAAUUGACAUGGCGUGCAUAGUUGAAUUUUUAAGGUCGACGGGCGGGGGCCCCCUUUCUAGCUAACGAUACCAAUAGUGUCUUCAACUUAAUAAUUACCAUUUGUCUUAUUUAUCAGGUGUGAAGUUUUAUUACAAAGACUUCGAUACUAAUUAUAAUGAGAUAAUCACAUUUAAUCUCAUUAUUUUUUCUUCCCCCGAGGUGGGAUAGCUAACAUGCAUGACAAUUGAGUUAAAAAAAUCAGCCAAAUUUAUGGGCAUAACAUUUCAACUAGAAAUCAGCAAAAUAUAUUAUACAAUAUUCCACUUAAUCGAUGAUUUUUGUUUUCGUUACCAUAUCUACUUUAUCAAUGGGAACAAUGUUUUAUUACAGGAUUGUUGAUUGAUUUCUCAACGCCCACCAAUGUCGGAAUGAGACAAAACAUUUAUCGAUCCAGUUUGCUCUCCCGUUUCACGUAUACCAGUAAAGUCCACAUUUCCUUGUGCGUAAUAUGCCGGCUUUUUUGGUUUCGGCAACUCCAUGCUUUCGUUUGUCAACAUCGAUAUCACAUCCGACAUGGUGGGUCGAUCGGCUGCGUUUUCAUCCACGCACAGUAGACCGACAUGGAUGCAUCUUAACAGUUGAUUCCCGUUAUAGGAGUCGCCUAGAGUUGGAUCCAUUAGUUCUAGCUCUUUAUUUUCUUUCCAUAACUCCCAGGCCUGAAAAAAUGUUAACAUGAUCAUUUAGCUAGGAUAUCACAAUAAUGAAAUGCUACUGACAGUCAUUCACAACCACCGUUGAUGGAAGUGAGGUCCCACGAACCAUCAACGACGCGCUUGGGUGGCCAUCCCUAGCACAGCUCAACCUUAAAAACAAGAAUAUAGAAAAGGUUACUUACAUAUCCUACUAAAUUGAGUAAGCCAUCAUCAUUGCAGAAGCGGUUGUUUUUCCUGCCGCUUAUGAUUUCCAGUAUUAACACCCCGAAACUGUAGACAUCGGUUUUUACAGAAACUAUUCCUUCAAUGGUCUCAGGAGGCAUAUAACCACUGGAAAAAAUGGAAAAGAAAAAAGUCAUCAAUUAGUACAGAACUACACAUCUACAAAAAUACAUGCUUAACAACCAAAAGCAGAAGCCAUGACAACUAAGAAUUUAUACACAUUUACUUACAGUGUCCCGACAAUCCUACUAGUAUUUGCUUCCAAUUCAGUGUGGGUAAAUAUACUUGCCAAGCCAAAAUCUGCAAUUUUAGGGUUCAUGUUUUCGUCGAGUAGUAUAUUACUAGCUUUCAAAUCUCUAUGAAUUACUCUCGUUCUCGAGUAUCUGUGCAAGUAAAGCAAUCCUUGAGUGAUUCCUUCUAUUAUACCGAAACGCUUCUUCCAAUCGAGUAGCCUACCUCUGAUUGAAUCUGUCACAAUGUAAAGAGAGUUAAGUAACAAUACUCAAUAUGUUUUUACACUCACAAAUUAAACAAAUAAAAUCAAGUACUAAGACUAAAUUAGUAUUGAUUCCAAACCAAAAAUAAAGUAGUCUAAGCUUUUGUUUGGCAUGUAUUCGUAUAUCAACAUCCUCUCGUCUUCAUGACUGCAAAAUCCAAAGAGCUGAACAAGGUUUGUGUGUUGGAGUUCAUGUAUGAGUAUCAAUUCAUUCUUAAAC
rnacentral:lncRNA from 1 species